rnacentral:lncRNA from 1 species
UACUUAUAUAUCUUUACGGAGGGAGUAGCUCUGAAAGAUAUUUUCCAGACCAGUUUAUUCCCAAAAGAUUUGGCAGCUAAUCAGAGUAAAAGCACUUCAUUCCCAGGCACUGUUCCAAAGCAGGAAAACCAUACAAGAUCUCUACAAUACAUCUGCGGUACACAGUGCAGCUGCAAAAUACAAUGCACAGGUGCCUCAUGUAAAACAUGACGGUUGUACCAGAAUUACACCCACAGGGAAAGCAAAACAGAUAUCCAGACAAGCAAACAAGCGCAACAAGCGCCACCGUGCGGAAGAGCUACCCCUUGAGAUGAAACUAGUCAUCAUCCUUGUAGGGGUAUUCCUCCGGGACUUGCUUGGUGAGCUUCACCCGCAUCUCGUAGGCAUCAUCACCGCGAAGCAUAUCACGGACCCAUGUAACCUCCGUCUUCACGGAAACCUGCACCGCAACAUCAAUUAAACUUGAUCAGCGAAUGGUAAAUGACUUCUGAAACUCAUAAGGAAAAAAAGGAAGAUUGUCAGAGCAUAAAGCCAUAAGGAGGAUAGCAGAAGGGGGAACCUGCUAGGGGAUGAGUUUGAUUGUUCUAAGAAGAAAAAAAAAGUGUUGAACAACCUUGAAAAUAUGGUAGUAAGUCUUGGGCCUUCGAUUAAUGAACAAGUUGAGGUGCAUAAGAAAUGAGUUUAAUGUACUACAUAGAGAAUCUGUAGAAGAAAGAGAGGGCAUGGAAUGUCCCUGAAUGGUGCAUAGCUAUGGUAGCAGUAAAGAAUGCUAUCACCGGACAAACAUAGCUGAGUGUCUGCAUCUCAUAAAAUUGAAACCACUGUUAUACAGUGGUAAAAACUGCCACACUGUCGACUUCUGUUGACUAAUAAACAUAUGUAUUCCCUUUCUGGCCUCUCAAAACAUUUUGUCUCAAAAGUCUAGGCAUAUGAAUACAGGUAAAAGAACUUCAAAAUAUGCAUGCAUUACUUUUGUGCUAAUCUCAACCAGAGAAUAGCAAGUUUAGCAAAUGACCUUUGCUAUAGUAUCAGCAGUCUCCUUGAAGUCAGCACAGUUUGAUACAUUUGACUUGGCUAAGAAUUCAUCGACCAACCGAGUUCCAAUAUUGUAACCCCUGAAUAUUAAAGAAGAUAUAACAUGUAAGAAAGGUUUCCCAAGCAAAGUUAAAAUACAGCAAUCAUAUUAAUAGCUACCAGCAAGCCUGAGAAUUAAUUCACUAAAUAAGCUAUAAACCAGCAACCAUAGUAGGAGACUAUUGAGAAUUCAUAUGUGAUUCACUUCCCAAGCAAAGUUAAAAUACAGCAAUCAUAGUAAUAACUGCUAGCAAGCCUUGAGAGUCAAUUCACCACAUAAGCUAUAAACUAGCAACCGUAGUAGGAAACAUAUUAAUAAUUCAUAUGUGAUUCACUUUCAUAUCCCGCCAUCCCUCUUUGUUCUACAAGUGAUGCAUGGCUUUAAUUCUUAAAUGUGCUAGAUCCAUGCUCCUCGACUCAGUACAAAAAACAGGAUCAGGUUUGGAGAGUUGGAGUAUAGUGCAAUUGGACAAUCUCCUCCUCCAUGGAACAAUGGAACAUAAAUGAUGUGUUGCCACACCAACAAUGACAACACCAGGAGUUGUAUAUAAUCCGGGUAGGAUAAAUCUCUUCAAUUGAGAAGUUGAUACAAGAUCACCAAAUAACACAAUCUUCUGCUCACACACAGACUACACGAACAUUAGUCAAUUAGGGCGCGAAAUGCAUAGCUACAUCUAUUUGGAUUCUCAUUCUCAGAAUAUUGCAGCUAGCUCACUGUUAAACCCUCACACCUGAUCCCUGGGUAAAAGAACAGCAAAUUCCCAGAUUCCCACUUCUAGAUCUGAUCCCUCAAAUGCCCCAUCAGACAUCAGCAGUUUCCAAAUUUCCCUAGAAACUUAAGAGGCAGAUGAAGUAAGAAAACGGGCGUACAUCUGAUCGAGCUGCUUGUUGACCUCCUCGACCUCUUCGAGAUCCGUGAGCAGCUGCCGCACGAUGGUGCCAUACGUGAGCGUGAAGAGCUCCGCAUUAUGCAGAACAACACAACCAGAUCAGCGCGGGGCGCAGAUGUACGGGAGGCCAGGGGGAGGGGGCGGGGGGUGGGCUGUGGUUUGGAAGCUUACUAUGCGCUCGACGCUGGCGAAGAGGGCAUCACCGGACUUGGGGGUCGUGAGAGGCGGCAUCGCCGAGAUCGGGGCCGGUGGCGAGAGAGAACAGAGAGAACCACUUGCAGAGUCGCCGGUCUCUAGUACUUUGGUUAUAGGCCAGUUUGGGCUUAUCCUUUUUGUUUUGCGGAUAAAGUUUGGGCUUGGGCUUGCCAACUGUAUAGUCCAUCGGCCCCUAAAAGAGUAGAACGGCCCAUUCUUUCCCACUAAAGAAAAUAAACUAGAGGUUCCCUUUUAAAGCAACAAUUUUCUUUUCCCACUAAAGAAAACUAAAGGUUCCCCACCAAUCCCCUCAAAAACCCUAGUACCAAACAAGGCCUAAAGUAUGAUUCAGAGAACAUCACACGCUGGCACACAUCCAGAUAGGAGGGAAACGCAUGUUAGAAAAAUCACAGCGCAACAAAAACAGAUUAAAACGAUGCAUUUCUAUGGCGUUGCCAGGUGACAGGUUUACUGAAGCAGCAGCACCCCCGACACUUAGUUUGCAACUUCCUACCAGAAAACAAAAGACAUGAAAACAAACACAUAAUGGAAUACUUUCUUGUUGCAAACUAACAUGAAAACAAAAGACAGUACAUUGACUAAAUCACAGGAGUGCAGACAUUAUUAAAACAUACUGUAGAAGGCAACAGGGUUGUAACUGAGUGAAAAUAAAAUAAGGAACUGAUUAUCAUGACAAUACUUCCAGCAUUCUACAUCCAAAAUGCCACAGGAUCUUGAACGAGUAACGACUUGGUGGUUGCUUUGGGCACUUUGUAGUACUGCGAGUGACAGGUAUCGCCAGUUGUCAGUUCUUUACGCUGAUCGUCCAGGCUGAGAGAGAAUGUUGUCAGUUCUUUACGCUGAUCGUCCAGGCUGAGAGAGAAUGUUGUCAAGAGAAUGUUGUCAAGCGACCUCCUUGUUGACACACUGCACGAGACAGAAUUUGCUCACGCCUCCCAUAUAGACAAGGGUAGCACCUACAUGCUUAUCCCUUGGGUCACCAGAAAUGAACAGAUUCUCCUUGCGGAGAUUCAUCGAAGGGACAGGGCACUGCCCUUCACAGGUACCAUAGAUGGGCACGUCGCAGCAGUAAAUUUGGCCGAGGGUGUCCGGUUCUUUGGAGAGCCCGACAAAGGCCUUGAGGUGCUGGUCAAAGUGACCCUGGCCGUCGAAGGGCAGAACCCAAUUGCCAAGUAGUUUCGAUGAAUGCCUCUCCGUGUCAAAGCUGAAGGUGGCCUCGGUGGUGUCCUUCUUGGUGCUGAUGAGGAAGGUCCGUUCUUCAGGGUGCAAGGAGUAGGAAGUGACGUCACAAACAUUAAAUGGCUGCUGCUCGAGCUCUUUCCACGACCACUCUUUGCUGGAAUUUCGAUGCGAUACCUUGUCUGAGAGCUCCUCCAAGCAGAGCAUCUCGAAGGAGUAAGAGCUCAUAGUGAAUGGCUUGUUGCCGACCGGGAGGUGGUAGAUGGGAUAAAAAAGAUCUCUCUGCCUAGGGCCAGUGGUGACACACCGCGAGCGGACGUCCAACAUGGGGAAGUAACCUUCCAACAAGUCACCCUCGGGAUCUCUCGGAUGCAUCGCCAAGAUCCUGGUGCCAAAGGCUGAUGUGAAGUACUUAGGAGAUUCACGAGGCGCCACCAUGCGGAAGAAAGGCCGAGGAAAAUGUGGCACCUUGUCUUGGUCGUCUUGGUCUGAGAAAGCAGUCUGCUGAUGGUUCUCGCCGGGCAACAAGUUCACCAUGCGGAUGCUAUAUCCAUGGCACCAGUCAUCAAAGACAAGGUAAAGUCGCUCACGGCCGCCGCCAUGCUUACAUUUCCGCGGCCGCUUUGGCAUCCUGUUCUGCCUAAUUGUAAACAGGCGGACAAGGUCCAGAUUUUUCCUGAAUUACUCGUGUUACUUUUAAAGGCACAAUCAAUUAGGGGCAAGCACAAUCAUCCUACUGCAACUCAACCCGAUAAAUCCAAGUAUCCAGAUCAGAAUCUGGGGCAGCGUGGAAGAGAAGGAAAUCGCAGGUACUGUACGUACCUACAGAGUGCAGCGGCAAAACAUCACGACUCACCAACACAGUGGGCCUAACAAUUGAUUGUGUUGGGAGACUACAGCGGCGGUGUGCGUUUGGGCGGCGGGCUUGGGCAGCUGCGGCGGCGGGGGAGGCUCGGAAGCGAAGGGUUUGGUGGAUUAAGGGAGGAAACCCUAGGAAGUUCCCGGUGAGGCGGUGACCGGUUGACCUCGUGGGCUGUUCGCAAGGAAAAACCAACUCAUGGGUCGUUGGGCCUCGCCCUCCCUGCGCAGCCCAGCUCUUUUAUUUUUCCUUGCUCAUCGUAAUUUAUUGUAUGAUCAAAAGUUAUUUUUCCUCAAAACUUUAUUUUUGCUUUGAUGCUAAUUGCAAAUUAUUCGAAAUUUUCUAACAAAAUACUUAGUAAUCAUAUAUUUAAAAAACAGCUGAUCCCACAAAUUUAUUUAUCACAAUAGUAAACAUGUCAUCUCAACAUACAAUCAUGCAUGAGCUUAACAUGAACAAAAGUUAGGAUCAUGUUUUUUUUUCAGGAAAAAACUUUCAAUCCAUUCAUCUCCAACAAUGGUAGUACAACGAACACUAAAAAAAUAAAAAAAUAUUCAGUUCCAUAGACCACAUAGUGACGACUACAAGCACUAAAGCAAGCCAAAGGCGUGCCACUGUCAUCGCCCCUUCCUCGCGCGGAGCCGUGCAAACCUUGUUGUAGUAGAUAGCCGGAAAGUCAUCGUGCUAAGGCCCCAUAGAACCAACACACCAGAACAGCAACCGCCGCCGCUGAAGAGUAUAGAUCAGAAGGAUCCAAUCUAAUGACACAAGAACAUAUACGAACGACGAAACAGAUCCGAGCAAAUCCACCCAAGACUGAUCGGAGACACACCUCCACACGCCCGCAGACGAUACUAAAUGCAUCAACAAAACGGGGACUAAGCGGGAAGACCUUUAAUCCAUUUUCAGAGAGCCACCGCCGUCUCGCCUUUCUGAGCAGGACAAAAACUCUAACAAAACUCGAAAAAAGAUCUAAAAACGAAGCGCUCCCACCGGCAAGGGCCGGGAUCCACUUCGCUUCCAUGGCCCUAAAGCCACCAAAGACAGGAUGGACCGGCGACGGCGCCGGCGGGAGGCAGAGAAACCUAAGCUUUUUGGGAGGCGGCGGCUAGCUAGUCGUGACCAAUCGGCCGGGGCUGAACCUUGACGGGAGGGACAACAAGUUGAUGCGAGGAUCAUGUUAAUUGUACACUACUUGGGUAUUAUUCAUAACUUUUGUAAUGGAAAACUUACUAAUUUUGAAAUAAUUAUCAAGGUUUCUAAACAUCUCUUUUAUUUUCUCCUUCACUCGUACCCUUUUUACUCCAAGGACAUUAAAAAGCCAGUAAAACUAAGGCAGUGAUUAGAGAUGCUAGGCUAUCGGAUCGAACUGGCCAGCGUACCAGAUCAAUUUAGCACCUUAUAGUAUUGAAUAAAUAGGCAAUUUCUCGAUUAAAUUAAUCCAUGAGUAAAUCACUAGCAUGGCAUUGUCACAAAUAAACGCAUACUGAUAUUCAGUCAAACUAGCACAUACUACGCUAAUUGCAGAAAGAUCUACGUAUAACGCUAGCAUGGCUAAAACAGAAAACAGUAGGAGCGGGAUAAACGAGUUAUACCCUCCAGUAGGCCAUGCAGAGGCCGCGGCUUUGGUGCCAGCAGCGGCGGCCUCGGCGGCCUUCUUGUCGGCUUCAGCUUUCUCGACGGCGGCACGUUCGGCGUCGGUGGACAUGGUGAUGAUGAAGGCGACGCGGACGUAUAGGAAGACGAUCGGAAGCGAGCAGUCGCGUAAUCGCUGCCCAAAAACCUAUUCGCCCCUCACCCCGUAUAGGAACCAGAAGGGCGUGGUUUCGGAGACCUGCUCUCCCGUCGACCUUGUACGCGGCGGACGGGAUGGAGUCACCGGCGGCAGCAGCAGCAGCAAGGGAACGACGGUGGACGUGCGCGUGGGAGCAGAUGUGAUCUGUUCGUGGCCGCUAGGGUUAGGAGACACCGCACACUUAUAUAGGCGCAGUUGCAUGGAGAGACGUGGGCUCGACCCAUGUCCGAGUCCGUGACAGCCCAUGAUCCGACAUCUCAGAUCGUGGCCCAGCUGUCAGAAACUCUUCGUUAGUGACUGGCAAAAAUAAGCGCGUAGGUGUGAGCUCGGCUCGGCUCAAUACCGCCACCCGCGGCGCGGCGCGGCGCGACGCAUCGUGACGAGGCGUGGCGGGCGGCGGAGGAGGAGCGCGCGAGGGCCUCUUCUCUUCUCAAGCUCCAAUAGCAUGUAGAAGAGAAACCCUUAUAAGGAGGUCCAACUUCUCUUCCACUUUCGGGGUGGGACUAAACUUCCCACUACACCUAGUGCCAUAUAACCCACAUGGGCCCUUAUAGAUUUUUCAGAAAUUGCUAUAUGGGCCUAGAGCCCAUCUUAAAUUUCAGCAAUCCCCCACCAGAUCUCGAGGGCCCAUUGUGUCCUCUGUUCCAAUUACUGUUUCGGUAUACCAGUGUUUCAGUGAAGACCUGUUAAGGUUGAGCUUCACCUAGAGCAAGUAGUUACACUCCUUCACAACUGAACAAUGGACUAUGCCUUGAAUUGUCAGUUUGGCGUAAAGAAGUUUCACCACAUGUCUUACUAGUACUAGGCUGCCGAAGGCUGACCCCUCGGGUGGAGCAUGUAAGUCACACUCCUGGCCUAUUCAUGAGCUUACUAGAGAUCACCCCAAUCUCAUAGACUGUGACCAGCAGUCGGGCCCAUAUAGGUGUGUUCCUCCAAAGAUCGCUCUGUAGGAUAGCAUCUUGCUUAUAUAAGCUUCAGAACACAUUAAGACAGUAGUCAUCCUACCAUACAAUAUCGAGAGUAUUGCAUCUCCAACAGAGUGGAUUAGUAUAGUUACUCUCCACAGUUCACCACUGGCUUGUUUUCCCAGGUCCUAAUUCACGGGAUCUCCGAUCACAUAGGUUGGGUUACUACCAUGGCAACUCAUGUUGGUCUCAUACCCAUCUCCCUCGAUGCAUUAUCUAUCACUACACGUGAUAGCCCUUUCGUAAAGGGAUCUGCCAGAUUCUUAGCUGUAUGGACAUACUCCAACGCUAUCACUCCGGAGUUUCUUAAUUUUCUGACAGCCUUUAAUCUCAUUCUUAUGUGUUUGUUGGACUUCAUGUUGUCCUUUGAACUUUUCACCUUGGUGAUGACAGUCUAAUUAUCGCAGUUGAUUAGGAUAGCCGGAACCGAUUUAUCAACCAAUGGCAAGUCCAUCAAAAGAUCUCGAAGCCAUCCUGCUUCGACACCAGAUGUGUCUAAUGUUGUUAAUUCUGCUUCCAUUGUCGAUCUGGUUAAGAUCGUUUGCUUGCAAGACUUCCAGGAAACAGCGCCACCUCCAAGAGUAAACAUAUACCCAGUUGUGACCUUCAUCUCAUCAGCAUCAGAGAUCCAAUUUGCAUCACUAUACCCUUCAAGUACCGACGGGUAUCCGGUAUAGUGAAGUCCAUAGUUCAUAGUACCUUUCAGAUAGCGCAUAACUCUUUCAACAGCAUGCCAAUGUACAUCACCCGAUUUGGAAACAAACCGGCUCAGUUUGCUCACAGCAAACGCGAUGUCAGGCCUCGUUGCGCUUGCUAGGUACAUUAGUGAACCAAUGAUUUGAGAGUAUCUCAAUUGAUCUAUAGCCGUGCCUUUGGACGUUCAAAUCAACACGCUAGGAUCAUAUGGUGUUUGAGAUGGUGUGCAGUCCGAAUAUCCAAAACGACUCAACACCUUCUCAACAUAGUGGGAUUGCAGAAGUGUAGUCCCACCCUCAUUAUCUCUCAGUAGCUUGAUGUUCAAGAUAACAUCAGCCACACCAAGGUCUUUCAUCUCAAAGUUCUGAGACAGAAACGACUUGACCUCCCCAAUGACUUUGAGGUUGGUUCCGAAUAUCAGUAUGUCAUCAACAUACAAGCACAGUAUAACUCCUUCGCCCCCACCAUGGCGAUAGUAUACACAUUUGUCAGCCUCAUUAACAACGAAACCAACAGAUGUCAGAGUUGUAUUAAACUUAUCAUGCCAUUGCUUAGGUGCUUGCUUCAGGCCAUAUAAAGAUUUCAGUAACCUACACACCUUUCUUUCCUGACCAUCUAUCACAAAGCCAUCUGGCUGUUGCAUAUAGAUUUCCUCAUUUAGCUCUCCAUUCAGAAAAGCCGUCUUAACAUCCAUUUGAUGGACGAGAAGACCAUGUGAGGCCGCCAACGAGAGUAAUACUCGAAUGGUGGUCAGCCUAGCCACAGGUGAAUAAGUAUCGAAGAAAUCUUCCUCUUCUUUCUGGUCAUAGCCCUUGGCCACAAGCCUAGCCUUGUACUUUUCAAUCGUACCAUCGGGCCUAAGCUUCUCUUGAACAUCCACUUACAUCCUAAUGGUUUGCAACCAUAAGGACGAUCAGUGAUAUCCCAUGUCCCGUUAGCCAUGAUGGAGUCCAUCUCACUACGGACCACAUCCUUCCAGUAAUCAGCUUCUGGAGAGGCAUACGCUUCAGAAAUAGAAGUGGGAGUAUCAUCCACGAGGUACACGAAGAAAUCAUCACCAAAGGUCUUUGCAGUCCUUUGUCUCUUGCCCCUACCAAGGGUUUCCUCGUCAUCCUCCUCAGGAUUUUCAUCAUGUGUUUGUUCAUAAUAUUCCAUAGGGAUGGCAGGUUCAGGAGUCUCCUCAGAUUCCUGUCUAGAAGUGCUUUGCAUAUCUCUCAUAGGAAAAAUAUCCUCGAAAAAUGUAGCAUCCUUAAACUCCAUAAUUGUACCGACCUUCUGGUCAGGUACCUCAGAUUUCACUACUAGAAAUCUAUAGCCAACGUUGUUCUUAGCGUAGCUCAAAUUAACGCAGUCCACAGUCUUGGGUCCAAGCUUACGCUUUUUGGGGAUCGACACAUUGACUUCGCCAAACAGCCCCAAGUAUGCAAGUACGAAAGUGUUGUCCUUCUCUUCGCCCAUUUCUCAUAGGGAGUGAUCUCAUUAUCCUUUGUCGGAACUUUAUUCAGGACAUGACAAGCCGUCAAUAUAGCCUCCCCCCACCAUGCCUUGGAUAAACCCGAUGUAUCUAACAUGGCGUUAACCAAAUCAGUUAGAGUAGGGUUUUUCCGCUCGGCAACCCCAUUUGACUGGGGUGAAUAGGGAGGCGUCCUCUCAUGAAUACUGCCGUGUUCCGCACAAAAAGAAUCAAACUCACUCGAGAAGUACUCUCCACCACGAUCUGACCGGACUCGUUUAAUUUUCUUUUCAAGUUGAUUCUCAACUUCUGCCUUAUAGAUUUUAAAGUAGUGUAGAGCCUCAUCUUUAGUAUUUAACAGAGACACAUAGCAAUAUCUAGUGGAAUCAUCUAUCAAUGUCAUGAAGUAUUUCUUUCCACCUUUAGUCAACACAUCAUUCAUCUCACAAAGAUCAGAAUGUAUGAGUUCUAAUGGUGCCAAGUGUCUCUCCUCCGCGGCCUUGUGAGGCUUGCGAGGUUGCUUAGCUUGCACACAUGAAAGACACUUAGAACCUUUGGCUAAAGUAAAACUUGGGAUUAAAUCCAACUUGGCUAGCCGCGUCAUAACACCGAAACUAAUGUGACAAAGACGUGAAUGCCAAACUUCAGAUUCAUUAACAUUUGAAUGAACAUGGUUCAUGACUUUAUUACAAAAAUCUGCGAGGGAAAGGCGGAACAUCCCUCUGCUCUCAUAACCUUUUCCAACAAAGAGUCCAUAUUUCGUAACACCUAAUUUAUUAGACUCGAAAACCAACUUAAACCCUUCUCUACAUAGAAGGGAGCCACUAACAAGGUUCUUCUUGAUGGCGGGGACAUGCUGCACGUUCUUCAAUUGCACGAUCCUUCCCGAAGUAAACUUCAGAUCGACCGUGCCAACACCAUGAACAGAAGCACUCGCGCCAUUCCCCAUCAAUACGGACCCGUGGCCUGUGGCCUGGUAAGAAGUGAACAAUGAAAUGUCAGCACACACAUGUACACCUGCACCUAUGUCCACCCACCAAUCGGUGGGCUGAAACACUGAAAAAACAGUAAAUAAAUUACCGUACCCAGGUGCACCAUUCUCAUUGUUGUCCACAAUCAUGUUGACGGACUUGGAGUCCUGUCCUGACUUCUUGUACUUGUUUGGGCACUUGUUGGCCCAAUGUUCAACCGAACCACAAGUAAAGCAGCCCUCAUCCUUCUUGUUCUUCUUGAAGGUCUUCUUACCCUUCUUCUUAAAGUCGGUAUUGUGUUGGACACCGUUCUUUCCCUUGGGCUUGUGGGAGUUGAAGUUCUUCUGGUUCACUGAUACGUCCAUUUUGCAUCAUGCUUUUAUAUCGAUAUUUAUUUCAUUAUGGGCUGUUAUUUCACAUUAUGUCACAAUACUUAUGGCUAUUCUCUCUUAUUUUACAAGGUUUACAUAAGGAGGGAGAAUGCCGGCAGCUGGAAUUCUGGGCUGGAAAAGGAGCAAAUAUUAGAGACCUAUUCUGCACAACUCCAAAAGUCCUGAAACUCCACAGAAUACCUUAUAAUAAGUAAUGAAAAAUCCUCACCAAAGAUGAAGACCAGGGGGCCCACACCCUGUCCACGAGGGUGGGGGCACGCCCGCCCCCCCUAGGGCGCGCCCCUACCUCAUUGGCCCCCUGGUGCCUCUCCGAUGACCAUCUUCUGCUAUAUGAAGUCUUUCGUCGAGAAAAAAAUCAGAAGCAACUGUAGGAUCGAAAGUAUGUCUAGAGGGGGGGUGAUUAGACUACUUGACCAAAUAAAAACUUAACCUUUUCCCAAUUUUAGUUCUUGGCAGAUUUUAGCUAUUGUAGGACAAGUCAAGCAAUCAUCACACAAUUCAAGCAAGCAUGCAAAGAGUAUAUUGGGAGCGGAAAGAAAAGCAUGCAACUUGCAAGAAUGUAAAGGGAAGGGUUUGGAGAAUUCAAACGCAAUUGGAGACACGGAUGUUUUUCCCGUGGUUCGGAUAGGUGGUGCUAUCCUACAUCCACGUUGAUGGAGACUUCAACCCACGAAGGGUAACGGUUGCGCGAGUCCACGAAGGGCUCCACCCACGAAGGGUAAUGGUUGCGCGAGUCCAUGGAGGGCUCCACCCACGAAGGGUCCACGAAGAAGCAACCACCCACGAAGGGUCCACGAAGAAGCAACCUUGUCUAUCCCACCAUGGCCAUCGCCCACGAAGGACUUGCCUCACUAGCGGUAGAUCUUCACGAAGUAGGCGAUCUCCUUGCCCUUACAAACUCCUUGGUUCAACUCCACAAUCUUGUCGGAGGCUCCCAAGUGACACCUAGCCAAUCUAGGAGACACCACUCUCCAAGAAGUAACAAAUGGUGUGUUGAUGAUGAACUCCUUGCUCUUGUGCUUCAAAUGAUAGUCUCCCCAACACUGAACUCUCUCUCAUAGGAUUUGGAUUUUGUGGAAAGAAGAUUUGAGUGGAAAGCAACUUGGGGAAGGCUAGAGAUCAGGAUUCAUAUGGUAGGAAUGGAAUAUCUUGGUCUCAACACAUGAGUAGGUGGUUCUCUCUCAGAACAUAUGUGUUAGAAUUGUGUAUGUGUUCUGAUGGCUCUCUCCACGAAUGAAGAGGAGGUGGAGGGGUAUAUAUAGCCUCCACACAAAAUCCAACCAUUACACACAGUUUUCCAAUCUCAGUGGGACCGAAUCAACAAACUCGGUCGGACCGAAAAGGUAAACCUAGUGACCGUUAGAGAUUUUCGGUGGGACUGACAUGCAACUCGGUAGGACCGAUAUGGUUAGGGUUUGGGCAUAAUGUAAUCUCGGUGAGACCGAUUACACAAACUCGGUGAGACCGAGUUUGGUAAUAAGCUAACCAGAGAGUUGGUCAGGCAAACUCGGUGGGACCGAUUUGCUCUUUCGGUGAGACCGAAAAGUUACAAAAGGGAAACAAAGAGUUUACAUUGCAAUCUCGGUGGGACCGAUUCGCUCUUUCGGUGAGAACGAAAAGUUACGAAAAGGAAAUAGAGAGUUUGCAAUCCCAUCUCGGUGAGACCGAGAUCCCUAUCGGUAGAACCGAAUUGCUAGGGUUUGGCAGUGGCUUAUGACAAGUGAAACUCGGUGGCGCCGGAUAGAAAGAAUCGAUAUGACCGAGUUUGGCUUAGGGUUUAGGUCAUAUGUGGAUAUGGGAAAGUAGUUGAGGGUUUUGGAGAAUAUCACUAAGCACAUGAAGCAAGAGGCUCAUUAAGCAACACCUCAUCCCUCCUUGAUAGUAUUGGCUUUUCCUAAAGACUCAAUGUGAUCUUGGAUCACUAAAAUAUAAAAUGAAGAGUCUUGAGCUUUUGAGCUUGAGCCAAUCCUUUGUCCUUAGCAUUUUGAGGGUUCCACUUUCACAUCCAUGCCAUGCCAAUCAUUGAGCUUUCCUGAAAUAGUCAUCUUGGAAUAGCAUUAGCUCAAUGAGCUAUAGUUGUUAUGAAUUACCAAAACCACCUAGGGAUAGUUGCACUUUCAAUCUCCCCCUUUUUGGUAAUUGAUGACAACAUAUAGAUCAAAGCUUCGACAAAUGAUAAUAAGCAUGAAAUAUAUCGUCGCUUUGAGAAGUAUGUGACAAGUAAGAGCUCCCCCUAAAUUUGUGCAUAUUUAAAAUUUGCUUUGAACUGCAAAUGCACAAAGAGUCAGAGUCAUGGGUUACUCUUCCAUGUCACAUACAUCUUGGUGGAGCGCUUAAAAUGAUAAGAAUGAAAUACAUGCACUCAUCACCAAGAAUAGUGAAUGAUCACAUAAGAUAGAUAAGAUGAUAAUAUUAAGCAAACAUUAAGUGUAGCUUAUGAUCAAACACAUGAUCAUCAAUGUCUCACGAGCAAUGACAUAGUAUCUCACACAAAAGCAAACAAAGUUCGAAAAAUCACCAAAUAAAACAAGAGAGAAUAAAAGCAACACUCUCUCUCGAAGCCUAUGAUCUAUACAUUUUCUCCCCCUUUGGCAACAAGUUACCAAAAAGUUCCUAGAAAAUGCAUAGUGCUAAGUCGACACUCAGGCUUGAUCUUCAGGUGGUGGUGGAGUCCGGAGCACUCCAAGGACAAAGCCUUCUGUAGACGUGGUCGGAGUCGAGGCUGAAGUGGAAGCUGGAGUGAGGCUGUAGCUGGUGUAGACGUGGUGGCUCUGGGGUUAGCAACUGGCACUGCAGACGACCUCGGACCUCGUGGCACUCUGGCAAAAGCAUUAGUUGUAGUCUUGCCUCUCCUCUCCUGCAUGUCAUCCUGGAGCUGCUCCACUGCAGUCUGAAUCUCUAUCACUUUGACAUCCAAGUCAUAGAACUUUUGUUCCAUGAUCCUCUCUAAGCUUGCCUGGUUUUGAGUUAGGGUGGCUAGUCCUUGCUCAAUCCGCAGGGUGGAUGCAAUCAAGUAACCAAGCUGCUCUUGUUUGGUUUUCAGGAAAUAUUCAGAUGCCUCCUCUUGAGUUGGCAUCUUGGUAGCUUUCUCCUUCCUUGCCUUAUCCUUCUUUGCUUGUGCUUGUGCAGAUGAUGGUUCAUUCUCAUUCAUGACAACUUGAUUAUCUUCAAAAUAUGGACGGAUGGGCAGGUGUUCCUUGUCCAAUAAGUAUAUGCCUGUGCCCAUCUUGGAGUUGAUUAACUCCUGAAUUUGUGGGGCAUAUCCACAGCUCCUCUUCUGAUCAGCUGCUGUCCUCUUAAUGGUCUCUACCAUGAGGCUCAUCACUUUGAACUUCUGUGGCACAUCAAAUAUAUGAAGCAAAUUGAUCGCAUGGCCUCCGAUCAUCUUGUGAUCACCUGACUUGGGCAACAAGGUGUGCCUAAGGAUCCAGUUGAUAGUUGGCAGCCCUGACAGAAGAUAAUGCACUGAGCCAAACUUGAAAGUAUCAAGUGCUUCAUUUGGAAUUUCCUUGUACAUGUUGGACAUAGAGUUGUGGUCCAUCUUCUUCUUGGCAUACACAUCCAAGUCAUCUUCCUGCUCUUCUGGGGCAUUGAUCAGCUGAGCCCAUUCAGUAACUGUAGAUUGGUACCUCGUACCUUCAGACAUCCAAGUUAUCCUACCAUCUGGAUAGAAGUGUGCCGUGGAGUAGAAUUGCAUAAUAAGUUCCUCGUUCCACUUUGUGAGCUUCUGCCCAACAAAGUCUGCUACUCCACAAGCAUUGAAGCUGUCUUGCACUCCACGAUAGUGCUCUUCAUUGUCCUUGAUGUACUCCCAAUCAACCCAUCUCAUGUCACAAAACUAUGGGCUUCUUGUCCAACAAAACUGUCUCAUAGAAGUCCUGCUGUUCCUUAGUGUGAAACCUGUAAUCAACAACAGUUCUUCUCCUUGAAGCAUACGGAUCUGCUUCUCUCCACUUCCUCAGCCCUGAGUCUCUUUUGAGCUUCAUGUCCUCAGCCACAGGAUGAGCAUCAUUGUGGUCUGGGAUCUUGGGCUUGAGCUUUCUCAGAACAUUCUCUUCUUCUUCUGCAGCUUCAGGCACUGGGGCCUUGUUCUUCUCAGUAGCUGGGAUGCUUCUUGUGUUCCUCUUUGGCUUUGGCUUUGGAGCUAGCUUGGCCUUGGAAGCAGCUGCCCCUGUUCUUAUGGCAUCACCCAUCAGCUUGGGUGCCUUAGGUGCUGGUGCAGCUACCUCUUCUUCUUCCUCCUCAUCUUCCAUGAUGGAAGCCUUUCCAAGCACUCUGGCUACGGUCUUCUUGACCCUUUCCUUCCUUUUCUUUCCUUCAGCAGCAACUGGCUCUAUGGUUGCAGGCUUUUCAGGAAUCUGAGUUGAGGCUCUGGCCUUUGGCAUAGGCUGCCUACCUGCUGGCCUUUUGAUUUUCAAUCCUGGCUUUGUGCCUUGAGCUGAGCCAUGUUCCUUCUCGAGCACUACUCUCUUUGAAGUUGCUUCCUCUUCUGCCACAUAGUCCUCAUCUUCUGAGUCUGAGGUUCUCUUCUUUCUCUGUCUUGUGGCAGCUUUAGGCAGAUUGCUAGGGGUGCUCCUGCUGCCUUCAUCCGAAUAACUUGAGGGACUAGUGCCCUCACUCAUCUGCACUUGCUGCUCUGACAAGUUCUGGCUAUCACUUUGGUCUGACAUGAUGAACAAGCUGACUGCUGACCCUGUGAAUAGUUUAUAGAUGAGGUAGAGUGGAUGAGCAUCACAAAAUGCAGAGAUUUUUGCAAAAGAAUGAUUCAAAAUCUUAGUUUUAGUUUCCCACUGAAAUCAUCUCGGAUCUACCGAUUUUUAAACUCGGUGACACCAAAGCAGUUUUGGAACCUAAACUAGUGAACUCGGUCAGACCGAGUCACAGUUCGGUGGCACCGAGACUGCUAGGGUUUCACAGAGUUCCAAAAUCGGUCACACCGAUAAGUAAUUCUCGGUCAGACCGAGUCUCACUUGUGCAAUGGCAUAAGCCAAAUCGGUGGGACCGAGUUUUUCAACUCGGUGGGUCCGAGAUGGUUUCGGCGGAAACCUAACCCUAAAAUUUUCGAAUUAAACCUAAUCUACGAGUUCAUUGACUGGAUAGAAGUUUAACAAACGUGGCAAGAAUCAUGAUGAUCACAAUGUGCUAAGAAUCAGAUUGGGGAAUAGCACAAAGAUCGAGUCCAUACCCUAGUUCGGCAGAGACUCGCUACGGCGGCAAUGGCGGGGUUGAAUUUCCGUUGACGGUGACGGAGACCAGCGACUGGAGGCGGCUGGCGACGAGGAGACGAUCCGGAGACCAAGUUGGCAGAGCAGGCUAUCGCGCGGGCGAAGGGGUUCGGAGAAAUUUCCAAAUUUUUGCCCGUGACUAUAUAUAGCCUGACCCUGUCGGUGUGACCGAGUGGAACAACUCGGUGGCACCGAAAUGCAAAACUGUAUACAGUUGUUGCAACUCGGUGUGACCGAAUGGUUCAAAUCGGUUGCACCGAGAUCAAAAACCUAGAUCAACUUAAUAAUCUCGGUAGGACCAAAAGUGGAGUAUCGGUCAGACCGAGAAUCAUAAAGAGGUUUUGGAAGUUUAAGUCUAUGACAAAUCGGGGACUCCGAGCGCUCCUCACACAGAGUGGUUCGAAUCUGACUUGAUCAAAUUUUGUGAUGUAGCAUGAAUAGAGUUUGAGACGAGAAAAGCAUAGAUAGCUAGAGGAGGUUCUUAGGCAUUCUUGUCCAUCCACUUGGCAAAAGGAAAUAAAACCAAACAAUCAAAACAACAAGUGGAUGUCCUCGAAUGAGUAAAAUAUGCAACCAGCAUGCUCACACAAUAAGAUGACAAAUGAAAUAUGUGACAAGGCAUGCACAACCAAUUCUAGCAUCUAUCAAGCAAUUUGCGAUGACAAGGUCAUCUAUAUAUGAGUAUAUUGACUUAGGAGUCAAGUGAGAACACUUGAUCAUAGGUCAUACUCAUCGUUUAAGCUCAAGUGGGGUUACCACUUUUACAUAAAGCAUUGUUGUGUUCACAUCUUUAGAGUUGCUUUAGCUCAAGUCUUAGAGUAAAGCUCCCCCUAGAUGUGAUAUCCCCCCUUAGAGGGAUGAACUAACCUCGGGUUUUGUCGAUGAUGACUUCAUGUAGAUGUUGAAGAUGUGGAUGCUCAAUGUUGAUGUAGAUCACUUGGAGCUAUCCAUUUGAGUGAAUUGCACUUUCAAUACCUACAUGGGUUAGUCCCACAAGGAACAAACAAGGAUAUCCAUAGACAUAGAGUGAUGCACACACAAGAUGAUGUCCAUGAAAACUUUUAGGUUACCUUGUUCCUUGUCUUACCAACAAGAGGGUUUGUGACUCCUUGAACUAGUGCAAGAUGUGGAAGUUGAUUGCACUUGUUCUUGCCAAAAUGAUAAGAGUGAAGUAUGUUGGCAGAGUCACCCUCAAGAACUCUCUAGUUCUUCUUCUUUUGGAUCCACACCAUCUUGAUGGGAAUCCUUGGAGUUGUAGUCGUACUUGAUGAAGUGGAACUUGAAGUAGUCUUGGGAAUCCACUUGACUAAGGUCUUAGGAGCUUCUUCAAAUGCAUCAAUUUCCUCUUGAAGCUUGUCCUUGCCUUUUUGCUUGUAGUCUUGUGGUAGAAGAUCAUCUUGAGCUUGUGUCCCCUUGAAAGAAGUAUCAUACUUCUCUUGUUGAGGAACAAACUUUGUCUUGGGGUAUUGAUCUUCUUCCCACUCAACUUCAUUGGCAUUGAACUUUCGUUCAAAACCAACACCUUGAUUCUUCCGGUGCAUUCCUUGCUUGCGCACAAUUUCCUCGAAUUGCUUACUCCCGGCAAGGCUUUUGUACACUCCUUUCUCUAUAAUUCCCUUCAAUAAGCUAUUUUCUUGCUCAAGUGUAACUUGGCUAAGAGAAUCAUUAGUGGAAUCAAGAGAACUACUAGAAGCAACAAUAUUGGAUUUAGCAUGAUCAUUGUUACUACUAGAGGAAGAAUCUUUCUUGUUCUUGUUACUAGACUUGACUUGAGGCAUGUAAGUGGAUAAGAGUAAACGCUUGGCAAUGUAAGAAGAACUUUUCUUGCGGAGAUCAUCAUUGAUUUCUUUUAAGAACUCAUGCUCUUGCUCAAGAUUGAGCUUUUCAAAGCGUAAUUUCUCAUGAGCUCUUAAAAGUUCUCGAUGAUCUUCGAAGAUAGUUUCAUGAGCUAACUUAAGAGUGUUUAGUUCUUUAGUUAGAGCCUCAAUCUUCUCCUUAUCAUUGUCAUUCGUUUUAUAUUGAUUAGCAUGAUUAAUUGACGUUUCAUCAUAGUAUUCAUCACUAGAGUUGUCAACAAGCAAAUCAUCACCUAACAAGUCAUCUUCAUCACUAUUGAAAUCAACAUACUCGGGGUGUGUUACCUUAGGACCUUUGGCCAUGAAGCAUCUUCCAAUUCCUUCAUUUGGUGAGUCAAAUAUGUCGUAGGAGUUGGUUGACACAAGUGCUAGACCGGCAACACCUUCAUCUUGAGUAUCUUCGGAGUCGGAGUGAUAACUUCUCUCGGAGUGGCUGUCGGAGUCAGAGCCGGAUACCCAUUCACCAACAUGAGCUUGAUGUCUUCGUUUUGUGUAGCUCCUUGAUGAUUUUCCUUCCUUUCUGAAUCCUUGCUUCUCCGUGAGUAUCUUCGUUCAUAACGAUCAUCUCUACUCCUUCUCUCUCUUGGUGGUGAUUAUUUGCUUCUUCUUUUUGGAGAAUCUUCUCUUCUCUUGUAGGGAGCUGUACACUCAUUGGAAUAGUGUUCGGGUCUUCCACAAUUGUAGCAGUUUCGCUCUCGACUAGAAGAUCUUUUGUCAUUGUAGGACCUUGACUUGAAGCUUCUAUCUUUGCUUCUACUCUUGUAGAACUUGUUGAAGUUCUUCACCAUUAAGCUCAAUUCUUCAUUGAAGUUUUGUUUCUCACUUGAUGAUGUAGGGGCUUCAUAUGAGGCUUUGUAGGCACCACUUGAUUUGUUGUGAAGUUCCUCUUUAUCCUUAAGUGACAUCUCAUGAGCAACAAUUCUUCCAAUCACCUUCGUUGGCUUGAGAUUUUUGUAAUUGGGCAUCAUUUGGAUCAAUGUGCACACGGUAUCAUAUUUUCCAUCCAAGUCUCUUAGAAUCUUCUUGAUGAUGAAUCUAUCGGUCAUCUCUUCACUUCCUAAGCUGGCAAUCUCAUUUGUGAUGAGAGCAAGCCUAGAGUACAUUUCAGCGACACCUUCACCAUCCUUCAUUUUGAACUUGUCAAGUUGACUUUGAAGCACAUCCAACUUGGAUUCCUUGACGGAGUCGGUACCUUCGUGCAUAUCAAUCAAAGUGUCCCAAAUUUCCUUUGCAUUCUCAAGACGGCUAAUUUUGUUGAAUUGUUCGGGGCACAAUCCGUUGAAGAGAAUAUCACAAGCUUGAGCAUUGUAUUGCAACAUCUUCAACUCAUCCGCGGUAGCUUCACGGUUUGGUUCUUUCCCAUCAAAGAAGUCACCUUGCAAACCAACACACACAAUAGCCCAAACGGCGGGGUUAUGUCCAAGAAUAUGCAUUUUCAUUUUAUGCUUCCAACUAGCAAAAUUAGUACCAUCAAAGUAAGGACCUCUACGGUGAUAAUUUCCCUCGCUAGACGCCAUACUCUCCUAGGUUGUGAAACCAACGCUAUGACCACCAAAAGCUAUGGAGAUCAAAGCAAAUGGAGACCAAAGCUCUGAUACCACUUGUAGGAUCGAAAGUAUGUCUAGAGGGGGGGUGAUUAGACUACUUGACCAAAUAAAAACUUAACCUUUUCUCAAUUUUAGUUCUUGGCAGAUUUUAGCUAUUGUAGGACAAGUCAAGCAAUCAUCACACAAUUCAAGCAAGCAUGCAAAGAGUAUAUUGGGAGCAGAAAGUAAAGCAUGCAACUUGCAAGAAUGUAAAGGAAAGGGUUUGGAGAAUUCAAACGCAAUUGGAGACACGGAUGUUUUUCCCGUGGUUCGGAUAGGUGGUGCUAUCCUACAUCCACGUUGAUGGAGACUUCAACCCACGAAGGGUAACGGUUGCGCGAGUCCACGGAGGGCUCCACCCACGAAGGGUAAUGGUUGCGCGAGUCCAUGGAGGGCUCCACCCAUGAAGGGUCCACGAAGAAGCAACCUUGUCUAUCCCACCAUGGCCAUCGCCCACGAAGGACUUGCCUCACUAGCGGUAGAUCUUCACGAAGUAGGCGAUCUCCUUGCCCUUACAAACUCCUUGGUUCAACUCCACAAUCUUGUCGGAGGCUCACAAGUGACACCUAGCCAAUCUAGGAGACACCACUCUCCAAGAAGUAACAAAUGGUGUGUUGAUGAUGAACUCCUUGCUCUUGUGCUUCAAAUGAUAGUCUCCCCAACACUGAACUCUCUCUCAUAGGAUUUGGAUUUUGUGGAAAUAAGAUUUGAGUGGAAAGCAACUUGGGGAAGGCCAGAGAUCAGGAUUCAUAUGGUAGGAAUGGAAUAUCUUGGUCUCAACACAUGAGUAGGUGGUUCUCUCUCAGAACAUAUGUGUUGGAAUUGUGUAUGUGUUCUGAUGGAUCUCUCCAUGAAUGAAGAGGAGGUGGAGGGGUAUAUAUAGCCUCCACACAAAAUCCAACCGUUACACACAGUUUUCCAAUCUCGGUGGGACCGAAUCAACAAACUCGGUCGGACCGAAAAGGUAAACCUAGUGACCGUUAGAGAUUUUCGGUGGGACUGACAUGCAACUCGGUAGGACCGAUAUGGUUAGGGUUUGGGCAUAACGUAAUCUCGGUGAGACCGAUUACACAAACUCGGUGAGACCGAGUUUGGUAAUAAGCUAACCAGAGAGUUGGUCAGGUAAACUCGGUGGGACCGAUUUGCUCUUUCGGUGAGACCGAAAAGUUACAAAAGGGAAACAAAGAGUUUACAUUGCAAUCUCGGUGGGAUCUAUUCGCUCUUUCGGUGAGACCAAAAAGUUACGAAAAGGAAACAGAGAGUUUGCAAUCCCAUCUCGGUGAGACCGAGAUCCCUAUCGGUAGAACCGAAUUGCUAGGGUUUGGCAGUGGCUUAUGACAAGUGAAACUCGGUGGCGCCGGAUAGAAAGAAUCGGUAUGACCGAGUUUGGCUUAGGGUUUAGGUCAUAUGUGGAUAUGGGAAAGUAGUUGAGGGUUUUGGAGCAUAUCACUAAGCACAUGAAGCAAGAGGCUCAUUAAGCAACACCUCAUCCCUCCUUGAUAGUAUUGGCUUUUCCUAAAGACUCAAUGUGAUCUUGGAUCACUAAAAUAUAAAAUGAAUAGUCUUGAGAUUUUGAGCUUGAGCCAAUCCUUUGUCCUUAGCAUUUUGAGGGUUCCACUUUCACAUCCAUGCCAUGCCAAUCAUUGAGCUUUCCUGAAAUAGUCAUCUUGGAAUAGCAUUAGCUCAAUGAGCUAUAUGUUGUUAUGAAUUACCAAAACCACCUAGGGAUAGUUGCACUUUCAGCAACCUUUCGGGACAAAACUCCGCCACCACGAGGCGGAACCUUGGCGGAUCCAAUCUAGAGCUCCGGCAGAGCUGUUCUGCCAGGGAAACUUCCCUCCCGGAGGGGGAAAUCAUCGCCAUCGUCAUCACCAAUGCUCCUCUCAUCGGGAGAGGGAAAUCUCCAUCAACAUCUUCAUCAACACCAUCUCAUCUCAAAACCCUAGUUCAUCUCUUGUAUCCAAUUCUUGUCUCCAAGUCCGGGAUUGGUGCUAGUAGGUUGCUAGUAGUGUUAAUUACUCCUUGUAGUUGAUGCUAGUUGGUUUAAUUGGUGGAAGAUCAUAUGUUCAGAUCCUUUAUGCAAUUAUUACCCCUCUGAUUGUGAACAUGAAUAUUCUUUGUGAGUAGUUACGUUUGUUCCUGAGGACAAGGGAGAAGUCUUGCUAUUAGUAGUCAUGUGAAUUUGGUAUUCGUUCGAUAUUUUGAUGAGAUGUAUGUUGUCUAGCCUCUAGUGGUGUUAUGUGAACGUCGACUACAUAACACUUCACCAUUAUUUGGGCCUAGAGGAAGGCAUUGGGAAGUAAUAAGUAGAUGAUGGGUUGCUAGAGUGAAAGAAGCUUAAACCCUAGUUUAUGCGUUGCUUCAUAAGGGGCUGAUUUGGAUCCAUAUGUUUCAUGCUAUGGUUAGGUUUACCUUAAUACUUUUGUUGUAGUUGCGGAUGCUUGCAAUAGAGGUUAAUCAUAAGUGGGAUGCUUGUUCAAGUAAGUACAGCACCCAAGCACCGGUCCACCCACAUGCCAAAUUAUCAAAGUACCGAACGCGAAUCAUAUGAACGUGAUGAAAACUAGCUUGAUGAUAUUCCCAUGUGUCCUCGGGAGCGCUUUUCCUUAUAUAAGAGUUUGUCCAGGCUUGUCCUUUGCUACAAAAAGGAUUGGGCCACCUUGCUGCACUUUAUUUACUUUUGUUACUUGUUGCUCGUUACAAAUUAUCUUAUCACAAAACUAUCUGUUACCACUUAUUUCAGUACUUGCAGAGAAUACCUUGCUGAAAACCGCUUAUCAUUUCCUUCUGCUCCUCGUUGGGUUCGACACUCUUACUUAUCUAAAGGACUAUGAUAGAUCCCCUAUACUUGUUGGUCAUGAAGACUCUUUUCUGGCGGUGUUGCCGGGGAGUGAAACGCCUUUGGUAGGUGGAAUUUGGUAAGGAAAAAUUUAUAUAGUGUGCUGAAAUUUACUGUCACUAGUUAUUAUGGAAAGUAAUCCUCUGAGGGUCUUGUUCGGGGUAUCUUCAGCCCGACCAGUAGAGCAAAGAGUUGCUCCUCAACCUACUGAACCUAUUGAAAAUGAAAUUCCUUAUGAGUAUCCUUUGGGUAUGAUAGAAAAACUGCUAGCUAAUCCUUUUAUAGGAGAUGGAACAAAGCAUCCUAAUGAACACCUAAUAUAUGUGGAUGAAGUUUGUGGAUUAUUUAAGCUUGCAGGUAUACCCGAUGAUGUUGCUAAGAAGAAGGUCUUCCCUUUAUCUUUGAAGGGAGACACAUUGACAUGGUAUAGGCUAUGUGAUGAUAUGAGAUCAUGGAACUAUAGAAGAUUGAAAUUGGAAUUUCAUCAAAAGUAUUACCCUAUGCAUCUUGUUCAUCGUGACCGCAAUUAUAUAUGUAAUUUUUGGCCUCGCGAAGGAGAAAUCAUCUCUCAAGCUUGGGGGAGGCUUAAAUCAAUGUUAUAUUCAUGCCCCAAUCAUGAGCUCCCAAGAGAAACAAUUCUUCAAAAAAAUUAUGCUCGGCUUUCUGAAAAUAAUCGCAUCAUGCUCGAUACUUCUUGUGCUGGCUCUUUUAUGAUGAAGACUAUUGGAUUUAGAUGGGAUUUAUUGGAUAGAAUUAAACGCAACUCUGAAGAUUGGGAUCUCGACGAAGGUAAGGAGUCAGGUAUGACACCUAAGUUUGAUUGUGUUAAAUCUUUUAUGGAUACCGAUAUUUUCCGUAAAUUUAGCACUAAAUAUGGACUUGAUUCUGAGAUAGUAGCUUCUUUCUGUGAAUCUUUUGCUACUUAUGUUGAUCUCCCUAAGGAUAAGUGGUUUAAAUAUCAUCCUCCCAUAGAAGUAAAAGUAGCUGCACCUACUAAAGUUGAAGAAAAGACUAUCACUUAUAAUGAUCCUAUUGUUCCUACUUGUUAUGUUGAGAAACCUCCUUUCCCUGUUAGGAUAAAGGAUCAUGCUAAAGCUUCAACUGUGGUUCGUAAAAGUAAUAUUAAAACAUAUACACCUCCUGAGCAAGUUAAAGUUGAACCUAAUAUUGCUAUUGUUAAAGAUCUCUUGUCUGAUAAUACAGAUGGGCAUGUUAUUUACUUCUGUAAUGAAACUGCUAGAAUUGCUAAACCCUGUGAUACAGAUAAACCUAGACCUAUGGUAGGCAUGCCUGUUAUUUCUGUUAAAAUAGGAGAUCGUUGUUAUCAUGGCUUAUGUGAUAUGGGUGCUAGUGCUAGUGCAAUACCUAUUGACUUAUACAAAGAAAUUAUGCAUGACAUUGCACCUGUUGAGUUAGAAGAAAUUGAUGUUACUAUUAAACUUGCUAAUAGAGAUACUAUUUCACCAAUGGGAUUUUUAAGAUAUGUUGAAGUCUUGUGUGGGAAAACUAAAUAUCCUGCUGAUUUUCUUGUUCUUGGUUUCCCACAAGAUAGCUUUUGUCCCAUUAUAUUUGGUAGACCCUUCUUAAAUACUGUUAAUGCUACCAUAGAUUGCACAAGGGAUGUUGUUACUGUCGGCUUAGAUGAUAUGACUCAUGAGUUUAAUUUCUCUAAAUUUAGUAAACAACACCGUGAAGAAGAAUUGCCUAGUAAGGAUGAAAUUAUUGGUCUUGCUUCUAUUGUCGUACCUCCUAGUGAUCCUUUAGAACAAUAUUUGCUAGACCAUGAGAAUGAUAUAUUUAUGAAUGAAAGAAGGGAAAUAGAUGAAGUAUUCUUUAAACAGGAACCUAUUCUGAAACACAAUUUGCCUGUUGAAUCCUAGGGGAUCCCCCUCCACCUAAGGGUGAUCCCGUGUUUGAGCUUAAACCAUUGCCUGAUAAUCUUAAAUAUGCUUAUCUUGAUGAAAAGAAGAUAUAUCAUGUUAUUAUUAGUGCUAACCUUUCAGAGCAUGAAGAAGAAAGAUUAUUGAAAACUCUAAAGAAGCAUUGUGCUGCUAUUGGAUAUACUCUUGAUGAUCUUAAGGGCAUUAGUCCCACUCUAUGCCAACAUAAAAUAAAUUUGGAAGCAGAUGCCAAACCAGUUUGUGAUCCUCAAUGACGUCUGAAUCCUAAAAUGAAAGAGGUGGUAAGAAAAGAAAUACUAAAGCUUCUGGAGGCAGGUAUAAUUUAUCCCGUUGCUGAUAGUCAGUGGGUAAGUCCUGUUCAUUGUGUCCCUAAGAAGGGAGGUAUUACUGUUGUUCCUAAUGAUAAAGAUGAAUUGAUUCCACAAAGAAUUAUUACAGGUUAUAGGAUGGUAAUUGAUUUCCGCAAAUUAAAUAAGGCUACUAAGAAAGAUCAUUACCCCUUACCUUUUAUUGAUCAAAUGCUAGAAAGAUUAUGCAAGCAUACACAUUACUGCUUUCUAGAUGGUUAUUCUGGUUUCUCUCAAAUACCUGUGUCAGCUAAAGAUCAAUCAAAGACUACUUUUACAUGCCCUUUUGGUACUUUUGCUUAUAUAUGUAUGCCUUUUGGUUUAUGUAAUGCACCUGCUACCUUUCAAAGAUGCAUGAUGGCUAUAUUCUCUGACUUUUGUGAAAAGAUUUGUGAGGUUUUCAUGGACGACUUUUCUGUCUAUGGAUCUUCUUUUGAUGAUUGUUUGAGCAAUCUUGAUCGAGUUUUGCAGAGAUGUGAAGAAACUAAUCUUGUCUUGAACUGGGAAAAGUGCCACUUUAUGGUUAAUGAAGGUAUUGUCUUGGGGCAUAAAGUUUCUGAAAGAGGUAUUGAAGUUGAUAAAGCCAAGGUUGAUGCUAUUGAAAAGAUGCCAUGUCCCAAGGACAUCAAAGGUAUAAGAAGUUUCCUUGGUCACGCCAGAUUUUAUAGGAGGUUCAUUAAGGACUUCUCAAAAAUUUCUCAGCCUCUGACUAAUUUAUUACAAAAAGAUAUACCAUUUGUCUUUGAUGAUUAUUGUGUAGAAGCAUUUGAAAUACUUAAGAAAGCAUUAGUCUCUGCACCUGUUGUUCAGCUACCUGAUUGGAAUUUACCCUUUGAAAUUAUGUGUGAUGCUAGCGAUUAUGCUGUAGGUGCUGUUUUAGGGCAAAGAGUUGAUAAGAAAUUAAAUGUUAUCCAUUAUGCUAGUAAGACUCUAGACAAUGCUCAAAGAAAUUAUGCUACUAUUGAAAAAGAACUUUUAGCAGUUGUAUUUGUUUGUGAUAAGUUCAGACCUUAUAUUGUUGAUUCUAAAGUAACUAUCCACACUGAUCAUGCUGCUAUUAAGUAUCUUAUGGAGAAGAAAGAUGCUAAACCUAGACUUAUUAGAUGGGUUCCCUUGCUACAAGAAUUUGAUUUGCAUAUUGUUGAUAGAAAAGGAUCUGAGAACCCCGUUGCAGACAACUUAUCUAGGUUAGAGAAUAUUCUUGAUGACCCACUACCUAUUGAUGACAGCUUUCCUGAUGAACAAUUAAAUGUCAUAAGUACUUCUCAUAGUACUCCUUCGUAUGCUGAUUAUGCUAAUUACAUAGUUGCUAAAUUUAUACCGCCUAGCUUCACAUACCAACAAAAGAAAAAGUUCUUCUAUGAUUUGAGAUAUUACUUUUGGGAUGACCCACAUCUGUAUAAUGAAGGAGUAGAUGGUAUUAUUAGAUGUUGUGUACCUGAGCAUGAACAGGAACAGAUCCUACGCAAGUGCCACUCCGACACUUAUGGAGGACACCACGCGGGAGAUAGAACUGCACAUAAGGUAUUGCAAUCCGGUUUUUAUUGGCCUACUCUCUUCAAGGAUGCCCGUAAGUUUGUCCUAUCUUGUGAUGAAUGUCAAAGAAUUGGUAAUAUUAGUAGACGUCAAGAAAUGCCUAUGAAUUAUUCACUUGUUAUUGAACCAUUUGAUGUUUGGGGCUUUGAUUAUAUGGGACCUUUUCCUUCCUCUAAUGGGUAUACUCGUAUUUUAGUUGCUGUUGAUUACGUUACUAAGUGGGUAGAAGCUAUUCCAACUAGUAGUGCUGAUCAUAACACUUCUAUUAAAAUGCUUAAAGAAGUUAUUUUUCCGAGGUUUGGAGUCCCUAGAUAUUUAAUGACUGAUGGCGGUUCACAUUUUAUUCAUGGUGCUUUCCGUAAAAUGCUUGCUAAAUAUGACGUCAAUCAUAGAAUUGCAUCUCCGAAUCACCCACAGUCUAGUGGUCAAGUAGAAUUGAGUUAUAGAGAACUCAAAUUAAUUUUGCAAAAGACUGUCAAUAGGUCUAGAAAGAAUUGGUCCAAGAAACUUGAUGAUGCAUUAUGGGCCUAUAGAACUGCAUAUAAAAAUCCUAUGGGUAUGUCUCCGUAUAAAAUGGUAUAUGGAAAAGCAUGUCACUUACCUCUCGAACUAGAACAUAAGGCAUAUUGGGCUAUUAAAGAGCUCAACUAUGAUUUCAAACUUUCCGGUGAAAAGAGGUUAUUUGAUAUUAGCUCACUUGAUGAAUGGAGAACCCAAGCUUAUGAAAAUGCCAAGUUGUUUAAAGAAAAGGUUAAAAGAUGGCAUGACAAAAGGAUACAAAAGCGUGAGUUUAAUGUAGGUGAUUAUGUAUUGCUAUACAACUCUCGUUUAAGAUAUUUUGCAGGGAAACUUCUCUCUAAAUGGGAAGGCCCCUAUGUUAUCGAGGAGUUCUAUCGUUCCGGUGCCAUAAAAAUCAACAACUUCGGAGGCACAAAUCCGAAGGUGGUAAACGGUCAAAGAAUCAAACAGUAUAUCUCAGGUAAUCCCAUAAAUAUUGAAACCAAUAUUUUUGAAACCGUAACCCCGAAGGAAUACAUAAGGGACACUUUCCAGAACGUUUUAGACUCCAAAAAGGAAUAGGUAUGUGGUACGGUAAGUAAACCGACUCCAAAACAAUUUUAAGGCAAUAUUUAUCCGUUUUGGAAUAUUUAGAAAAAUAGAAAAUUAAGUAGCAGUCCGAGAAGGACACGAGGGCCCCAUGAGGGUGGAGGGUGCGCCCUACCCCCUGGGCGCACCCCCUACCUCGUGAGCACCUCGUGUGCCUUCCGGACUCCGUUUUCUUGCACGAUACGUAUUUUGGUCGGUAAAAAUUCACUAUAUAUUCUCCCGAAGGUUUUGACUCCGUAUCAGGCAAAUAUCCUCUGUUCUUGUUUUGGGUUGUUCUUUGUCAGGGUUGUCAAGGCCAGGCAUCAUGUCAUCCCCCUCCUCCAACAACGGUGACAAAGAUGCCUGGCUAAUGAAGAUAGAGCUGAAGAGGGAAGAACCUAUGGAGAUCAACAAGGAUGAAGGGAUCAAGAAGGCCACAGAGAACCAAGCUUCGGCAACAGAAGACAUCCUUCAACUUGAUCACAACCUUAUUACCCCAACUGAGAUCGAAGCUUUCCAGAUGAUUGAGUUAACUCGUAUUCAAAACAAGUAUCUCACAAGUGAAAAUAUUUUGUUAAAGGAGCAUAUCUUUGCACUCAAGGGCAUUAUUCGCAAGCUAGAGGACCUCUUAUGCUCGAUGUGCGACUAUCCAUCACCUCCUUCACCAACCAAGGAGAUAUAAUCACAUGGGUAUGGGCACUCCCCUUGGCAACUGCCAAGCUUGGGGGAGGUGCCCCGGUAUCGUAUCACAAUCACAACUCCUAUCUUUACCGUUUUCCUUAGUUCGAUCCUAUUAGUAGUAUUUUGAUCUAGUAGAAUAAAGUUUAUGGCAUGAUCUAGUUUUGAGUUUUGCCUUAUGAUCUCUCUAUGUAAUCGAGUCCAUGAGCUAUAUAAUAAAGAUUAGUGUUGAGUCAAGGGCUUGAUUUUUUUGCUAUGAUCUUGGGUGAAUAAAAGAAAAGAGAAAAAGAAUAAGAAGAAACAAAAGUUCAUAUUGUUCUUAUUGAUAGUAAUGACUUCACAUAGAAAGAGUAUGAUGAUUAAAAGUUGUUGGGAGUUGGCAGACAUAGCUUUGGUCAUCGUCGCAAUUAAUAGGAAGUAAUAAGGAAAGAGAGGUUUCACAUAUAAAUAUACUACUAUUGACAUCUUUUAUAAUUGGGAGCACUCAUCAAAAUAUGACAUGUUAAAGAGUUGAUGUUGGACAAGGAAGACAACGUAAUGGGUUAUGUUUUCUUAUAUCUGAGAUAAACUAUGUUGUCAUGGAUCAUCCAACAUGUUGAGCUUGCCUUUCCCCCUCAUGCUAGCCAAAUUCUCAACACUAAGUAGAGAUACUACUUGUGCUUCCAAAUACCCUUAAACCAGUUUUGCCAUGAGAGUCCACCAUAUCUACCUAUGGAUCGAGUAAGAUCCUUCAAGUAAGUUGUCAUCGGUGCCAAGCAAUAAAAACUGCUCUAAAUAUGUAUGAUUAGUGUGGGAGAAAUAAGCUUUAUACGAUCUUGUGAUGUGGAAGUAAAAAAAGCGACAGACUGCAUAAUAAAGGUUCAUAUCACAAGGGGCAAUAUAAAGUGACGAUCUUUCGCAUUAAGAUUUUGUACAUCCAACCAUAAAAGCGCAUGGCAACCUCUGCUUCCCUCUGCGAAGGGCCUAUCUUUUAUUAUUAUCUUCUACCUUAUGCAAGUGUCAUGGUGAUCUUCACCUCCCCCUUUUUCAUUUUAUCCUUUGGCAAGCCCAACAUGUUGGAAAGAACCUGAUAUAUAUAUAUAUAUAUAUAUAUAUAUAUAUAUAUAUAUAUAUGUAUAUAUAAUCGGAUGUAGGGGGCAUGAGUUAUUAUUGUUGACAUUACCCUCGAGGUAAAAGCUUGUGGGGCGAAACUAUAAGCCCCUAUCUUUCUUUGUGCCCGAUUAAAACUCUGUAACCACAAGUAUUGAGUGAGUAUUAGCAACUAUGAAGGACUAGAUGAUAGUUGAGUAUGUGGACUUGCUUUUUAGCUCUGACAUAGACUCUUUCUGAUGUUAUGAUAAAUUGCAAUUGCUUCAAUGACUGAGGUUAUAGUUUGUUGGUUCUCAAUAAGGUUUCUAAUUCAUAGUUUUGCAUUGUGAAUAGAUCAUCACUUGAACAUAAGUAAUCAUAUGACAAUAUCUAUAUAUGUUGCUGUUAUGAGAAUAAUCAUGAUGCCUUCAUGUCCGUAUUUUAUUUUUAUUGACGCCUCUACCUCUAAACAUGGGGACAUAUUUAUUGUUAUCGGCUUUCGCUUGAGGACUAGCAAGGUCUAAGCUUGGGGGAGCUGAUACGUCCAUUUUGCAUCAUGCUUUUAUAUCGAUAUUUAUUGCAUUAUGGGCUGUUAUUUCACAUUAUGUCACAAUACUUAUGGCUAUUCUCUCUUAUUCUACAAGGUUUACAUAAGGAGGGAGAAUGUCGGCAGCUGGAAUUCUGGGCUGGAAAAGGAGCAAAUAUUAGAGACCUAUUCUGCACAACUCCAAAAGUCCUGAAACUCCAUGGAAUACCUUAUAAUAAAUAAUGAAAAAUCCUCGCCAAAGAUGAAGACCAGGGGGCCCACACCCUGUCCACGAGGGUGGGGGGCGUGCCCCCCACCUAGGGCGCGCCCCCUACGUUGUGGGCCCCCUGGUGGCUCUCCGAUGACCAUCUUCUGCUAUAUGAAGACUUCAUCGAGAAAAAAAAUCAGAAGCAACCUUUCGGGACAAAACUCUGCCGCCACGAGGCGAAACCUUGACGGAUCCAAUCUAGAGCUCCGGCAGAGCUAUUCUGCCGGGGAAACUUCCCUCCCAGAGGGGGAAAUCAUCGCCAUCGUCAUCACCAAUGCUCCUCUCAUCGGGAGAGGGCAAUCUCCAUCAACAUCUUCAUCAGCACCAUCUCAUCUCAAAACCCUAGUUCAUCUCUUGUAUCCAAUUCUUGUCUCCAAGUUCGGGAUUGGUGCUAGUAGGUUGCUAGUAGUGUUAAUUACUCCUUGUAGUUGAUGCUAGUUGGUUUAAUUGGUGGAAGAUCAUAUGUUCAAAUCCUUUAUGCAUAUUAUUACCCCUCUGAUUAUGAACAUGAAUAUGCUUUGUGAGUAGUUACGUUUGUUCCUGAGGACAAGGGAGAAGUCUUGCUAUUAGUAGUCAUGUGAAUUUGGUAUUCGCUUGAUAUUUUGAUGAGAUGUAUGUUGUCUAGCCUCUAGUGGUGUUAUGUGAAUGUCGACUACAUAACACUUCACCAUUAUUUGGGCCUAGAGGAAGGCAUUGGGAAGUAAUAAGUAGACGAUGGGUUGCUAGAGUGACAGAAGCUUAAACCCUAGUUUAUGCAUUGCUUCGUAAGGGGCUGAUUUGGAUCCAUAUGUUUCGUGCUAUGGUUAGGUUUACCUUAAUACUUUUGUUGUAGUUGCGGAUGCUUGCAAUAGAGGUUAAUCAUAAGUGGGAUGCUUGUUCAAGUAAGAACAACACCCAAGCACCGGUCCACCCACAUGCCAAAUUAUCAAAGUACCGAACGCGAAUCAUAUGAACGUGAUGAAAACUAGCUUGACGAUAUUCCCAUGUGUCCUCGGGAGCGCUUUUCCUUAUAUAAGAGUUUGUCCAGGCUUGUCCUUUGCUACAAAAAGGAUUGGGCCACCUUGCUGCACUUUAUUUACUUUUGUUACUUGUUGUUCGUUACAAAUUAUCUUAUCACAAAACUAUCUGUUACCACUUAUUUCAGUACUUGCAGAGAAUACCUUGCUGAAAACCGCUUAUCAUUUCCUUCUGCUCCUCGUUGGGUUCGACACUCUUACUUAUCUAAAGGACUACGAUAGAUCCCCUAUACUUGUGGGUCAUCAUUCACCAUGUUGGCGACAGAAGUCCCUUCGGCCCCUUUUCCGUGCGAGUCCUUUGCCCUUGAAUUCUACUCAACACUCAGAUGGCCAAUGACAAACUCCACAGAGAAUUCACGCCUCUGAUGUUUUAGAGUGGUGGCAAAGUUCCUCCAGGAAUUAGGGAGCUUAGCGAUUAUGCAACCCGCGACAAACUUGCCCGGUAACUCGCACUUAAGAAGUUCAAGCUCCUUAACAAUGCAUAUUAUCUCAUGAGCCUGCACCAAUACAGGACAGUUUUCAACCAUCUUGUAAUCGUGGAACUGCUCUAUAAUAUACAUCUCGCUCCCGGCAUCGGCGGCCCCGAACUUAGAUUCGAGCGCCUCCCACAAGUCCUUGGCGACAUGCACAUGUAAAUAUGCGUCGACCAGUUUAUCUCCGAGGAACACAACGGUGGCCUCCUUGAACGCCUUCUCCUGUUCAGGAGCAAUCGUUCCCGUGGAGACACCGCUGACCUAGAACACGUUCAUAGCCGUGAGCCAUAAAGUGGUCUUAGUCUGCCAACGCUUAAAAUACGAACCGGUAAACUUAUGCGGGUUUCAGUGCAGCGGCAAAGCCACUUGCCGAAAAAUUCCUACACAUAAUAGGUUUUUGGAUUGUUGAAUAAAUAGGCAAUUUCUUGAUUAAAUUAAUCCACGAGUAAAUCACUAGCAUGGCAUUGACACAAAUAAACGCAUACUGAUAUUCUGUCAAGCUAGCACAUACUACGCUAAUUGCAGAAAGAUCUACGUAUAACGCUAGUAUGGCUAAAACAGAAAACAGUAGGAGUGGGAUAAACGAGUUAUACCCUCCAGUAGGCCAUGCAGAGGCCGCAGAUUUAGUGGUAGCAGCGGUGUCCUUGGCGGCCUUCUUGUCGGCUUCAGCUUUCUCGGCGACGGCAAGUUCGGCGUCGGUGGACAUGGUGAUGAUGAAGGCGACGCGGACGUAGAGGAAGACGAUCGGAAGCGAGCAGUCGCGUAAUCGCUGCCCAAAAACCUAUUCGCCCCUCACCCCGUAUAGGAACCAGAAGGGCGUGGUUUCGGAGACCUGCUCUCCCGUCGACCGUGUACGCGGCGGACGGGAUGGAGUCACCGGCGGCAGCAGCAGCAAGGGAACGACGGUGGGCGUGCGCGUGGGAGCAGAUGUGAUCUGUUCGUGGCCGCUAGGGUUAGGAGACACCGCACACUUAUAUAGGCCACCUGGGCUCGACCCAUGUCCGAGUCUGUGACAGCCCACGAUCCGACGUCUCAAAUCAUGGCCUAGCUGUCAGAAACUCUCCGUUAGUGACUGGCAAAAAUAAGCGCGUAGGUGUGAGCUCGGCUCGGCACAAUCCCGCAACCUGCGGCAUGGCGCGGCGCGGCGUGUCGUGACGAGGCAUGGCGGGCAGCGGAGGAGGAGCGCGUGAGGGCCUCUUCUCUUCUCAAGCUCCAAUAACAUGUAGAAGAGAAACCCUUAUAAGGAGGUCCAACUUCUCUUUCACUUUCGGGGUGGGACUAAACUUCCCACUACACCUAGUGCCAUAUAACCCACAUGGGCCCUUAGAGAUUUUUUAGAAAUUGCUAUAUGGGCCUAGAUCCCAUCUCAAAUUUCAGCAUAUAGUGCGCUCCUUCGCUCAUGUGAUUCGCUAAACACGUUGUAAUCGGGUCGCUACACCACAAGCCAAGCUAGAGAAUUUUUUUAGACACUCUUGCUAAGUUUUAUUCAUAUCAUAGUGUUUACAUGUAGAAAAAGAAGAUCUCCCGGAUGUACUAACCAAACAUGAUUAUGAGCCUCGAAAUUCGAGCUUCUAUACUCAUGAACAAUGUUACAAGCAGAAAAUAUUCUCGGACGUUCUAUUAUUUCAUGUGCAAUGGCACCAUACUCCGCUGCCGAUUUCUGCUCGAUGUCGUCGACCACUAUCUUACAGUCCGAGGCAAUCUGAAUUUUGUCCACCACACUUGAAGCUAUGUCUGAGCUAGAGGUUAUGCCCACUUUAUCAAGCCGAUCGGUAGGCAAAGUUCUAUGUGGGUCUACCGAAGGGAUUCUGCUAGGUUGUGACGCCCCGAUUCAAUCGUACACUAAUCAUACACGCAAAUGUGUACGAUUAAGAUCAGGGACUCACGAGAAGAUAUCACAACACAACUCAAACACAAAUAAAAUAAUACAAGCUUUAUAUUACAAGCCAGGAGCCUCGAGGACUCGAAUACAUAAGCUCGAAUACACAAGAGUCACCGGAAGCAACAAUAUCUGAGUACAGACAUAAUUUAAUCAAGUUUGCCUUAAGAAGACUAGCACAAAAGUAGCAUCGAUCGGAAAGACAAGGCCUCCUGCCUGGAAGCCUCCUAACUACUCCUGGUCGUCGGUGGUCUCCACGUAGUAGUAGGCACACUGUGGGUGGAAGUCGUGGGUGGUGGCAGCUGGCUCCUGCGAUCCACCAUCUGGUCGCAACAACCGGAAAGGAGAAGAAAGGAGGGGGAGGGGUAGCAAAGCAACCGUGAGUACUCAUCUUAAGUACUCGCAAGCAUCAGAUCCGCCAUCAUAUUUUUUUCCUAAUUCAAAUAAAAUAGCAAUAAAGUCCAAAUAAAAUAAUUUAUUUGAUUCUAAUAAUUUUCUCCAAUAUUUAUUUUAUUUUGGAGAAGUCAUAUUAUCUCCUCUCAUAUAUUUUUAAUAUUGAAAAUAUUAUUUGGAGAGAAAAUAAUUAAAACCAAAGUGAUCCAUUUUUUUCAAUAUUUGAGAAAAAUCAAAUAUGAAAAUAAUACAAUCCCCCACUCUCUCUGUGGGUCCUUGAGUUGCUUAGGAUUUUAGAAUCACAAAACCAAAAUGCAAAAUAAAUAUGAUAUGCAAACGAUGACCUAUGUAUAACAUUCCAAAUUGGAAAUUAGGGAUGCUACACACACCCACUUAGUUUCUUUUUGAGCUUUCAUGCGCUUAUAGCUCUAGUGCAUCCGCUGCAUGGCAAUCCCUACUCACUCGCAUUGAUAUCUAUUAAUGGGCAUCUUCAUAGCCCGUUGAUACGCCUAGUUGAUGUGAGACCAUCUUCUCCUUUUUGUCUUCUCCACAACCACCAUUCUAUUCCACCUAUAGUGCUAUAUCCAUUGCUCACGCUCAUGUAUUGCGUGAAGAUUGAAAAGGUUUGAGAACAUCAAAAAUAUGAAAAAAUUGCUUGGCUUGUCAUCGGGGUUGUGCACGAUUAAAUAUUUUGUGUGAUGAAGAUAAAGCAUAGUCAGACUAUAUGAUUUUGUAGGGAUAGCUUUCUUUGACCAUGUUAUUUUGAGAAGACGUGAUUACUUUGUUAGUAUGCUUGAAGUAUUAUUACUUUUAUGUCAAUGUUAAACUUUUAUCUUGAAUCUUUUGGAUCUGAAUAUUCAUGCCACGAUAAAUAAAAUUACAUUGAAAACUAUGUUAGGAAGCAUUCCACAUCAAAAAUUCUGUUUUGGUCAUUUACCUACUCGAGGACGAGCUGGAAUUAAGCUUGGGGAUGCUGAUAUGUCUCCAAGGUAUCUAUAAUUUUUUAUUGUUCCAUGCCAUUAUAUUAUCUGUUUUGGAUGUUUAAUGGGCUUUAAUAUGCAAUUUUAUAUUAUUUUUGGGACUAACCUAUUAACCGGAGGCCCAGUGCCAGUUUUUGUUUUUUGCCUAUUUCAGUGUUUCGCAGAAAAGGAAUAUCAAACAGAAUCCAAACGAAACGAAACCUUCGCGAGGAUCUUUCUUGGAACAAACGCAAUCCAGGAGACUUGGAGUGGAAGUCAGAGACGCAACGAGGCGGACACGAGGUAGGAGGGCGCGCCCAGGGCGUAGGCGCGCCCCCACCCUCGUGGGCCCCUCGUAGCUCCACUGACGUACUUAUUUUGCCUAUAUAUACUCUUAUACCCUAAAAACAUCCAGGAGAGCCACGAAACCACUUUUCCACCGUCGCAACCUUCUGUACCCGUGAGAUCCCAUCUGGGGACCUUUUCCGGCGAUCUGCCGGAGGGGGAUUCGAUCACGGAGAGCUUCUACAUCAACACCAUAGCCUCUCCGAUGAUGUGUGAGUAGUUUACCACAGACCUUCGGGUCCAUACUUAUUAGCUAGAUGACUUCUUCUCUCUCUUUGGUUCUCAAUACAAAGUUCUCCUCGAUGUUCAAUAUUCUUUUGCGGUGUGUUUGCCGAGAUCCGAUGAAUUGUGGAUUUAUGAUCAAGUUUAUCUAUGCACAAUAUUUGAUUCUUCUCUGAAUUCUUAUAUGCAUGUUUUGAUAUCUUUGCAAGUCUCUUUGAAUUAUUGGUUUAGUUUGGCCUACUAGAUUGAUCUUUCUUGCAAUGAGAGAAGUGUUUAGCUUUGGGUUCAAUCUUGCGAUGUCCUUUCCCAGUGACAGUAGGGGCAGCAAGGCACGUAUUGUAUUGUUGCCAUCGAGGAUAAAAACAUGGGGUUUAUAUCAUAUUGCUUGAGUUUAUCCCUCUACAUCAUAUCAUCUUGCCUAAAGCAUUACUCUGUUCUUAUGAACUUAAUACUCUAGAUGCAUGCUGGAUAGCGGUCGAUGUGUGGAGUAAUAGUAGUAGAUGCAGAAUUGUUUCGGUAUACUUAACACGGACGUGAUGCCUAUAUUUCAUAAUCAUGCCUAGAUAUUCUCAUAACUAUGUGCUUUUCUAUCAAUUGCUCGGCAGUAAUUUGUUCACCCACCGUAAUACUUGCUAUCAUGAGAGAAGCCACUAAUGAAACCAAUGGUCCUUGGGUCUAUUUUAUAUCAUAUAAGUUUCCAAUCUACAAUUCUAGUUUACUAUUUAUUUUAUUUUGCAAUCUUUACUUUUCAAUCUAUACAACAAAAAUACAAAAAAUAUUUAUUGUCAUGGAAUUGUCAUGGCAGAUGUCCUAGAGCAAGGACUUAGUCGUAGGGCCAUCGCACUAGGAAGCUUAAAGGGGUUAAUCGGGACAAAGGACACGGGAGAGCUUUUAUACUAGUUCGGCCCCUUACGAUGAAGGUAAAAGCCUAGGUCUAGUUGGGAUUGGUAUUGCUGGGGUUUCGAUCUCCAAGAGGCUCAACUCGCCGGCUUGGUUAUCGAUUUGUUGUUUCUUGCCCUAAGCCGCCACCGGGUCGUCCCCUUAUAUACAUGGGUUGAUGCCUGGUGGCCUACAGAGUCCCGGCCGGCUCAUAAUCGUGUCUGGCUCGGUGACUUCCUUUACAUGCCUUUCUUUACAAAUCUUUCCUUACCUAUGGCGGUUCAUAAUAUCAGGCCUUAAACCGCCUUCAGGCCUUGGGCCUUCUAUAAGACUUAAUAAACUACAAUCUUGAAUGUUUACUGGGCUUCUUGCGUAACCCGCCAUUGGGGCUGACCCGGCCCCUCCUGGGCGGGUCUCAACUGAUAGUAAUAUCCCCAACACACUACAAGAAAUAUGUCAACUUGUGGCCACCACUAUUGGUCACUGAAUGGUCACAAAUUUCCAUUUGUGACCUUUUUGUGACCAAAAACAUAAGGUCAAAAGCUGGUCGUCAUAAACUGACUAUAGCGACCUUUCUUCUGGAAUGGUCGAAGACGUUUAUGACCAAAAUACGUCUACUGUGGCGUUUUGGUCACUAGCAACCUCCCCAGGCCACGUAGGCAUCCAGCGUGGCAAUCUGACGUGGCACAAGAUUCAGCUCGGUCCAAUUCGGUUUUCUACAUGGGCCUAGCCCAUUAAUUCAGCCUAUUAGUGUUUUUUCUCAUAUUAAUUUUGGCUAGGUAGAUGGGCCAAGCCCAACAAUUAAGCCUUCUCAUUUUUGGGCCGUGGCCUUUUCCGCUAGAAAGUUUUAGUUUUUUUGUAAUAUAAAAAAGGUCCACUAGUCAAAUUGGUCCCAGAUGUCAGGUUCAGGUACGUGGGUCCGAGCUAGCAAGUUCAUAUUCUUCAUAUUUUAAUUUAACAGUAAAUAAAUAACCAGUAUUUAAAUUGGCACAAACAAAAAACACACGUAAUACUCCAAAUAUUAUCAGCCAGAUUUAGUACAGAGCUCCUAUUGUACAAAUAACAUAUACUUUACAAGCUCUACACAUAAUAAGCUCUAACAUAUACAAGCUCCACAUGUGAUACUCCAAACAUUCCCUAGAAGCUCUACAAGUAUGGCAAUCACAGUUACAAGCUCCACAUGUGAUACAGUUACAAGCUAUGUUCUUCAGCAUGGAGCUCCUUCAAUAACAACCACAAACUAGGCACCUACUCCUGUCAGGACUGGGCCAACAGAACGGUGAUAUGCCUUCCACGGUCACCCUAAUACAUGAAUCAACAAAGAAAAAUUAGGAAAACUGGAGCCAAUAUAGCAAGAAGAGACCAUUCAAAAAAUGACAGCUAUUUAUAUUAGAAUGACGACACAAAUUCAGCUAGUACCAUGAUUUUUGUUCUCCAGCUAGUUAAAAUGAGAUACUCAUUCAUACAAGAAAACAGAGAAAAAUAUGAAUAUGUAUUGCACAAGUGCGAGUCGUGCAAAAAACUUCACUACACCAAAUUGCACCUAAACGAUAAUACCAUUCUACUACCACAGCCAUCCAUUCAACAGGCAAGAUCAAACAUUACUAGUCAGAGUACGUAGGCUUAACAUCACUAACAUCACAAAUGCAUGAGAGAAUAAAGGGAACCAAGAGAGAUACCUAAGGAUGAUAGCAUCGUGAUGAUUUGGAUUGAGUUAGCAUCUGUGAGGAGGUGAAUUAUCGCCAUGGUGUGCUUGAUGAUGCACACAGCCAUGAUCUUGCCACCGUUGCAUCCGUGUGCUAGAUGAGGGGGGUACCAAUGCAUUCAAGUAGAACAAAAUCACCAUCGUUAACCCACAACUUUAACUAAAAAACUAAGUAUGUAUCAAGUAACAACGAAAACAAGUUGAGAAAAACACAAAAAAUAAUUACUUCAUGUCAUGCAGAGUUCAAACUGAAUAAACACAUGCAAAGUUCAAACCAAAUAAACAUAUGCAUGAUAUUGUCCUACAGAUGAAAGAAGGACAACAUCUAUAAGGUUAGCCAAGCUUAAUAAAGACAGAGAGAGAAGAGUAAAUGUUCUCAAGUUAACCUUAACAUGGCAGCCUAACUUUUUACUUAAUUUUGAGCAAACAUACAUAUCAAUACAGGGUUAGGCAAGACAGUAAAGAAAGACAUAGGUGCUAGAGUUACAAAACACUGGUGAUACAAGUAGCAUAAGCAUAAUACAGCACAAUAUAUUUGUUGUGUGGAUAUAUACAUAUAAUUGGCCAUCACUUUAUCUUCCAAAUUAAUAGUAACCACAGUGAAAACCUUGACAAGAGAAGAUAAACUUUGACAACACAAGGUGAGAUGAAAGAUAGCAAACAACACAUGUCAGCCAUCAAUUUUUAUUCUACUGAACAAAUUGGACAACAACCACCUAUUUUGUAACAACUUCAGUUAACUUGGGAGAAAUCCAACCAAACCAAUUAAUAAACAAAAUUCUACUGAAUUUUGGGGCAUCAAGCAAGCAACUUAAUUGGCAAACAAUGAAAUCAAGCAUGUAAGCAAAUUUGGAGCAGCACCAAAUCCGGGACCAAGCCUAGUAAACCAAAACAAGGAGAUGCAGAGGGAGGCCUUAACCUAGAGUUGCAGCUUCCCCGCAGCUAGGCGUCUCCUCUCCCUGCAUCCGAGUCGAGUUGGUGAUGUUGCAGCCGUGCAGCUGCUCCUGCACAUCAGGGAAGGGAAUGGAAGGUAAGGUCAAAAUCUGGAGCCAAUAUAUUAUGAACAUUUCAUUCAGAAAACGAACAAGUUCAUUAGAAUGAUAACACAAGUUUAUUCGUCCUGGGCAGAAUCCUCGGUAAAAACCAGACUAAUUCUUUUAUUUAACAACAGUCAGAUGUGUUGCCCAAGUGACAGAAAUGCAACCUGCCUACUAUCUAUCUUGUCAUCGUUGGCGCUUCCUAUUGAAUUGAUGAUAUGUAGCAAAUCAAAUGAUUUUCCAUCACAACAUUCUGCAUACGACAGCAACAACAUCAAUCAGUAAAAUUAGCAGCGUCUCGAUCACUGUAUAAUCAAUCAGCAGGCACAAAUAGCAGCAGCAAGCAUAGUAUAAAUCUGGUGCCCCAAAAGGCUGGUGAUGCAAAUAACAAAUCAAGUCCGUGGCUAAUUUGUAAUUCUGGGAAAAUGUAAUGCAGUGAUGUCUCACAAUGAUGGCUUUGGCAUAGCAGAGAGCAAACAAAUAAAAAUAGCUUAGUUCACCCACUUGAAUAGAAUAACAACUCAUGUAAACGUUUAAUCAAAACGUGAUGCUUUGGUUUCAGUCAAGGUUUAAUCAAAUCGACACAUACAAAAUUGAACCAAGACCUGAUUUGUUUCAUACAAAACUGAACAUCAUAAUAGUGAGCUUCUGUUAAAAUUUCUCGGGUAAUUACAACUAUGUGAUUCUACUGUUAAUCUAGAUCUCCUUCAGGUUUUUAUUCAUUUAAUCAAACAAUAGAACACAACUACUGGAAACUGUUAAGACAUACAUAUUAUGUGCACGCCAAAAAAUGACAGAUCUGUGAAGGGGGGUGUCUAUUAGCAAAUUUUGGUCUAAAUACAACUUAGGCAGGCAAAUGCUUAGUGUAACUAAUGAACUGAUGUUGUUUGCGUUUCUAAACUUUGCUAAAUGAACUCUAGACGAAUACACCAAAAACUAAUGAACUCUAUCUCCACAGACUCCAUCUCUAGACAAAUGAUACAUUCUCAUUCACAUCCACUGGAGAAUAAUCAACAUCAUUAUUGGCAGUUUGUGGCACCUUCAAGAUUUUUAUAUAUAUAAACAAAAUUUUCAACGGUGGGCAAUCAGUCUAGGCACCCAAACACAAUAGUAGUAUAAUCGUCGCUAGCCCAGCUACUCAGAUCCGAUCGAUGAGGCCAACUACUAAUCAUAAUGUUUCCCCUGCCUGCUAUGGAUCAUUGCUGCUAACAACCCAUCCAGACUCCCUUGCAAGAUGCCAAAAAGAAUCGGAUCGAUCGGAAAUAGCUACUGGCCAACUGCCUACUGCCAGUGCUAGCCAUCAGUGGGGAUAGAUCGGACUGAGUAAUUACCUAUGAUGGCGGCCACACACGGCUCGACGAAGUGCCCACUACAGACGACCACGGCAUCAAACCUCCUCCUCCAGCUCGCUGCCAGCGCAGGCGAGCCUCACCCUCCAGCCCACGUCAUCGUCCCUGCUGCGGCGGACACUCACCACCUCCGUCCUGAACCGGACCAGCCCGAGGCGUCGAACCGCCGCGCAAACUCCUCGAGGUACCGCGGGUCGGCGGAGGAGCGGUCCGUGACGACGACCACCGCGUCCCGAAGAUCUUGGCCGCGAUCUCCUCGUUCUACGGUGGCAAGUUGGAUCUGGGAGUGGGGAGAGGAUCUGGGAGUGGGGAGAGGAUUUGGGGUGGGGAGGGGAGGUGUGGCGGAGGUGGGUGGCGGCGAGGAGAGGGGUGGGUGGUGGAGNNNNNNNNNNNNNNNNNNNNNNNNNNNNNNNNNNNNNNNNNNNNNNNNNNNNNNNNNNNNNNNNNNNNNNNNNNNNNNNNNNNNNNNNNNNNNNNNNNNNNNNNNNNNNNNNNNNNNNNNNNNNNNNNNNNNNNNNNNNNNNNNNNNNNNNNNNNNNNNNNNNNNNNNNNNNNNNNNNNNNNNNNNNNNNNNNNNNNNNNNGGGGAGGGGUGGUUGGCGGCGGGGGGAGGGGAGGAGUCUGGAUCGGGGAGCGCUAGGGUUUGCCCACGGGGGAGAGAGAGGACGGGACAAGGAGUGGUGUGCGGGGGAGAGAGGAGCUCCCGGUGGGUGGGUGAGAGGGUGAGAGGGUGUGGGCCUGUAACGCCCCAAGACCGGAGCUUCAGUUGCCUUCCAGGGUUUCCGGGUUUUCGUCGUGUGUUUUGUUUGGUCCGCUGCUUUUCAUCUUUGCAUCAUGUGCAUUGCAUCAUGUCAUCAUGCAACCCGUUUUAAAACUCAGCUAAACAAAUGGUAUGGAUCUUUGAUCCAUUUAAAUCAAGGGAUUUCACAUGGCGAUUCUCUUUACAACUUAUCCUCUCGAUAUUUAGAGAGCUAUAGUAAUUAUUCCAAUUAUGUGGAAUUACCUUAACACACUUGCAAAAAUCCCAAUGCCUUUUAUUAUUUCAACUCUUGGCCUCUAACUUUGCCACUUGUCCUUUCAUCAUUUUCCGGAGCUCCACCUAAUUUGUUCCGGCUUAUUUUGCAAGCCAAUCCUUUGUUUUUGUUUUGAGUUGUGGUAUUCGAGUUGCUUCAAUGUCAAGUGUUGAUUCCAUACCUUCCCCAAAUGGUGUUCUCAUACUCCGAUGUGGAUACCAAUCCUUCUUGAUAAUCGAGAGUGUCAUGUCAACCGUUUUCAACCAGUGUAUUUCUUUUCAAGCGGAUCCGUUCAUUUUCAAUAUCCGCAAGAUUCAAUCUCAGCUUUCUCAACGGUGUUUGUUUCAUCCAUCCCAAGUUGUCUUUGUUGUCCCGCCCUCCCACCCUUGUUUCGUCAAGGACUCAGAUUUCUUAAUCAAGUAUCAUCUUAUUGAUAUGAAGACUCCCCAUUCUUUCCCGUCAAUGUUCUUACCCGGUGAUUUUCAUGAAGAUCCUAAUGGAGCUUCAAGUUCAUCAUUCUCCAUUCUUUCCUUCUACGGUGGAGUUAAUUCAAGCUUUCAGUGUUGAUCAUAUUCUUUUCCGUAUUUCAAAUGCCUUCUCAUGCCGGUGCACCUCACAUUUAGUCAUUUCUCGCUAUUCAUUUGUUCCGGAGUGCUGAUAAUAUCUAAGAGGAUUUGUGUCUCCAUUAUCAUUCCGUCCAAGAUAUUUUGAGGUUGUUAUGUCUUUCAAGCCAUUUUAUUUAACCGGUGCAAUCUCUCUUUUAAAUCGUUCUACGGUGUUUCUUUUGAGUGGGCCCUAACCCACGGGUGUUUUUCCAGGAUCUUACCCGACUCUUCUUAUUUUCCCGGAGCUACCAUCAAAUUCUUUUCGAAGUUUGACGUAAGAAUGAAUUGUCAUUAGUCAAAUGUCUUUCUUCAAGAUCUUUCAAAUUCUUUUCAUCGUUGGUUCAACCUUUCUAAUUUUUCAUUCUGGAGUGCCUCAACAAUUCAUGGUGGUGUUUCUCGAAGGCAUUCUCAGAUUUUGAAGACCGAAGAAGAGUUUUCCCUCCAUAUCUUAUCUGUUCUCUCAAAGAUUCAUGGUGCUAGCUUGUUGCCAUCCUCUCAUAAUUGUUUAGAUUGUGAGUAUUCUUUUCACCUAUCCGGAGCAUUUCAUGAGUUGUUUCCAUUUCUUUACUCCGAAGGCCAUUGUUCUCCAAAUCUUACCGGUGCAUCGUUCAAGUGAUCUCUAAUCAGUUCAUGAUCCCUUCGUUCUCAUGUAUCUAGAUUGUCUCAAGUAUCUCCCUUCAUUCAAUUCUUCCCGGUGUUUCUUUAUCUUCUCUUCGUUCAUUUUCAAUUCUUACGGUGGUUCAUUCAACAUUUCUCUUCCUUUGUUUAUCAUAUCAAUUCAUUCGUUCUUUCCAAUCCUACCGGUGGAUCAUUAAAGACCUCUUCAAGUUUGCGCAAUAUCUAUCUUAAUCUUUUCUACAAGAAUAAGUAAUAUGUCGAAUCCAUUGAUUGUCAUCAAUUUAAUUGGUGAAGGAUAAGCAUAAUGUAAUUCUUAUUCUUGUUUCAUCGAGUUUGUUCAAUUCCUGUUUUUCCGGAGUGACUCAUCAUACUUAUUCUUGGUUUCAAUAGCUCAUCUUUCUUUUCCGGAGUUCCAACCUCUUUCAAUUAUAUUAUCACGGAGUUCUCUAUCUAAAUCAUUGCAAGGCUUAAAUCUUUUUCAUUUCAUCAUUCAAUUAUUUUGGAUCAUUCUUUUAUUACCGGAGUUCUUCAUGAAGGUUCUACAUGAUGGAUUCAUCAAGGAUUUAAUCCCUUCUCGGAGUGUUCAUCAAGAUUCUUUUCAGAUGAGCUCAAGCAUUCUUCAUCUUGCAAUCCGGAGUGCAAUUCUUUCUACCAUAUUAUUGGAGGUGGUAUUAUGUCAUUCUUGAUAAUUUGAGUUCAUGUUUCAUGAUUCACAUGUUGUUAUGAAUGAGGUAUUUUAAAUCCAUCAAUCUCGUCGUUGGAGCUAUCUUGGGUUAUAUUUCACCUAAAGCCUUCCCUAAGGAUUGUUACUAUUACGGUGCUUAUAUAUGACCCAAGUUCUUCUUUUAUCCUUCCGGUGAAUAAGUUUAAAGUCUCCUAGUUGAUACCAAUCCAAUUCUUUUUCCGUGAGUGGCAGGCUGUCACCUCAUAACAUGGAGAUGUAUUUCAUAAGACCAUAUCAAGCUUAUUCUUUUCGUUGUUGAUUUUCCAUUCUCACUUUUGUUCCGGAGGCUUUGUGGUGUUGCUCUCUUAAACCCAUCUUGUUUUGUCAGGACCAUGUUUUGUUCGUGCUUAUCCUUUUUAACCGGAGUUUUGUGUCCUUUUGCUCAAGCUCUUUCAUUUUAUCAAGUUUUCCAUCUCUUCUAAACCGGAGUGCCGUCUGAAAUAGUUCCGGAGGCAGUGUUUUGUAAUGUCAUCAAGUAUCCUCUCAUCUUAUCAAGUUCUCAUUCAAUUAUUUUCUUUUCAACCGGAGUGCUGCCCAAAGUUGUUCUUCCUUGUUCCUCUUUGCUUACAGAGUAUUUUCAACUUGAUUUAUCUCCGUUGUUUUCUUUUCUCGAGAUGGCUUAACCUUUUCAAGGUUCUUUGGUCUUACUCAUUUGUCAAAGAAGCAACUUACUUUUGCCUCUCCUCUUUUCUCUUCUGUUGUCCCUCCGGUGCCAUUCUAGAUCUCGGGACGAGAUCCUCUCGUAGUGGUGGAGUGUUGUAACGCCCCAAGACCUGAGCUUCAGUUGCCUUCCAGGGUUUCCGGGUUUUCGUCGUGUGUUUUGUUUGGUCCGCUGCUUUUCAUCUUUGCAUCAUGUGCAUUGCAUCAUGUCAUCAUGCAACCCGUUUUAAAACUCAGCUAAACAAAUGGUAUGGAUCUUUGAUCCAUUUAAAUCAAGGGAUUUCACAUGGUGAUUCUCUUUACAACUUAUCCUCUCGAUAUUUAGAGAGCUAUAGUAAUUAUUCCAAUUAUGUGGAAUUACCUUAACACACUUGAAAAAUCCCAAUGCCUUUUAUUAUUUCAACUCUUGGCCUCUAACUUUGCCACUUGUCCUUUCAUCAUUUUCCGGAGCUCCACCUAAUUUCUCAACAUUUUUGGGCACUUCGAAAAACCUAUCCUAGUUCAAACCUUUUGAAUUAAAUUCAAAGGAAUUUGAAUUUAAUCUUUCAACUUGACCUUUUUCUAUUUUCCCGGACCGUGCACAUUUUUCUGAGUCCGUGAAAAUUAUCCCCGUGCUCAAAUUCUUCCUCUAACCUUCUCUUCUCUCUUUUCCUUUCUCCUAUUUUUUUGUCUCUGUUUUUGUUAAGAGUAGAAUCAAGAGAGGGAGAGAAGGGAGCCCAGCAGGCCAUUUGGGCCCAGCUGCAUCUAACCUAGCCGGCUCCAAGGCCCACUCCCUAACCUAACCCUAGGCCCAGCCUCUCCCCUCGCUACCCUCUCCCGAUCUCAUCUCUCCCUCGUUUCCCUACGCGCGCCGCCACANNNNNNNNNNNNNNNNNNNNNNNNNNNNNNNNNNNNNNNNNNNNNNNNNNNNNNNNNNNNNNNNNNNNNNNNNNNNNNNNNNNNNNNNNNNNNNNNNNNNNNNNNNNNNNNNNNNNNNNNNNNNNNNNNNNNNNNNNNNNNNNNNNNNNNNNNNNNNNNNNNNNNNNNNNNNNNNNNNNNNNNNNNNNNNNNNNNNNNNNNNNNNNNNNNNNNNNNNNNNNNNNNNNNUCCCUGCCUUGCCUGCUCUAUCGGCGUCACCAACAACAGCGGUCCGGCGCCCAAGCUCCUCUGCCGCCCCGCCCAUUCCCGGCCGGAUCCCGCCGGCAGGGCCUCGCGUCCCCGCUUCAGACGACCGUCGCUGCGUCACGACCUCAGCUCCACCUGCGAAGCCCGAUGCCCCUCGGCGCGUCAGCUUCGACCUCGAUCAGAUGCGCCCGAGGAGCUCCCCGAGCGAGCUCGCCGGCGGCCCCUGCGUUCCCCGUGACCUGUACUGCCUGCCGGCCCCUUCUCCGCCUCGCCGUCGUUUUGCUGCAGGAGUCGAGGUGUCGCCUCCUUCAGUUCGUCAGCCGACAUCGCGGCCUCAACCUCCAUGGACGGCCUCCUGUACUUCGAACGGGAGGAGAACCGCUGCGUUGACUGGAUCGGUGCCGCUCCAGGCCACUGCACUGUACAACUGCUUUGAGAGAACACGGAUACGUCAAGACCCGGGCCGACAAGUACCACGACGUCCGUCGAUCGCCAAGUACCCCUUCGGAUACGCAAGUCCCUCGAAGGUCCACCGAUGCCUAGUACGACUACAGGACCGGAACGAAGUACCACGAUGACCGUUGACAUGUACCACUACACCGCACCGAAACGUCAAGACCGUCCCGGAUAUUGUCAAGUACCACUUCGGUUUCGGAACGCGACGAGUACCACGACUACCCUCGUGGACUUUGGUUCCAUCAAGUUCGACUACAACGUGCGACAACUACCGCCGCCGUGAUUUUUGACAAGACGUCGUGUGCCUCUACUUCCACUACCGAACGUACCGAGAACGUCUACUUCCCCUACACCGCAUCGAACUCGAACCGCUCCGAUAACGCACGCUUCGAAGGUAUAACCCCGAGACGACGUCCGUGAACGAAUGCUUGCGAUGUCUGAAAUGUUCGUGUUUGCUCCGUGUAGGACUUGUUAGGUGCACGUUGCCCCUCUUUUGCCUUGCCACCGACAUGUGGGAACCCCGUAAUCGGGAGCACCCCACCAUCCUUGCAUGACACGCUCCCGUCACUUCCUUUUGCACCGUUAUCCCCGUGGGCUACCGGAGAACCGAUAUGUUGUCGUGGCAUCAUUUUCGGAUUCGUCGUCGUGGCACCCUUUUCCUUUCCACCAUGAUGUCAAAUGCUUCAUAAUAAUGCUUUUGUCAAGUUUUAAUAAAAAUUGCAUAAACUUGUUCAUGUCAUCUGCAUCAUGAUAACAACAAUUAAAAAUAUUUAAAUUGUUGUUUGCAUUAAUUUACUAAUGCAUAUGGGGAUUUAUCGGAUUUGUUGUUUGCUAUAUCCGGCCCCAUUUAAAUUGUUUAGAUAGACAAUCCCUUUAUGUUUCACCUCUUGACACGCUUAACAACAUUUAAUAUUGUUGGGUACAUAAACGAGACAGAACUAAAUAAUUGAUGUGGUGUCCCGUCAAUAUACAACCCGUUGCAUAUUGAGCUCCACUUAAUUUGUAGGAUUGUUUGUGCUCUUUGUCAUGCCAUGCCUCUUUAAACCGGACAUGCAUCAUACUUGUUUGCGCAUCAUGCCAUGAUUAUGUGGUGGUUGUUUACUAGGUUGUUUGCUCUUUUCCGGUGUUGCUUCUUCGGGUUGGUUCCGAUAACGUCGCGUUUGUGAGGAACCGUUCGACUACGUCCGUUUGUAUUCUUCAUGGACUCGUUCUUCUUCCUUGUGAGAUUUCAGGCAAGAUGACCAUACCCUCGAAAUCACUUCUAUUUUUGCUUGCUAGUUGCUCGCUCUUUUGCUAUGCCUAUGCUGCGAUACCUACCACUUGCUUAUCAUGCCUCCCAUAUUGUUGAAUCAAGCCUCUAACCCACCUUGUCCUAGAAAACCGUUGUUUGGCUAUGUUACCGCUUUGCUCAUCCCUUCUUAUAGCGUUGUUAGUUGCAGGUGAAGAUUGAAGUUUGUUCCUUGUUAGAACAUGGAGAUGUCGUUCCUUGUUGGAACAUUUUUUACUUGUUGGGAUAUCACAAUAUAUCUUACUUAAUUAAUGCAUCUAUAUACUUGGUAAAGGGUGGAAGGCUCGGCCUUAUGCCUGGUGUUUUGUUCCACUCUUGCCGCCCUAGUUUCUGUCAUAUCGGUGUUAUGUUCCCGGAUUUUGCAUUCCUUACGCGGUUGGGCUAUUAUGGGAACCUCUUGACAGUUCGUCUUAAGUAAAGCUCUUCCAGCAAUGCCCAACUUUGGUUUUACCAUUCGCCGCCUAGCCUUUUCUUUUCCUUGGGGGUCGCGCGCCCAAGGGUCAUCAUUUUUUUAAACCCCCGGACCAGUGCUCCUCUGAGUGUUGGUCCAACUUGUCAGCCGCCGGUGGCCACCAGGGGCAACUCUGGGCUGGCCUACCGGAAGUUUAGACAAUCCGGUGUGCCCUGAGAAAGAGAUAUGUGCAGCUCCUAUCGGGAUUUGUCGGCACAUUCGGGCGGUGUUGCUGGUUUAGUUUUACCCUGUCGAAAUGUCUUGUUGUACCGGGAUACCGAGUCUAAUCAGAAAGUCUCGGGAGGAGGUCUAUUCCUUCGUUGACCGUGAGAGCUUGUGAUGGGCUAAGUUGGGACACCCCUGCAGGGAUUUAAACUUUCAAAAGUCGUGCCCGCGGUUAUGGGUAGAUGGAAAUUUGUUAAUGUCUGGUUGUAGAAAACCUAAACUUGACCUUAAUUAAAUUGAAUCAACCGCGUGUGUAACCGUGAUGGUCUCUUUCCGGCGGAGUCCGGGAAGUGAACACGGUUGUUGGAGUUAUGCUUGGCAUAGGUUGCUAUAGGAUCACUUCUUGAUCAUACUUUAUCCACCGUGCUUUGCCUUCUCUUCUCGCUCUCAUUUGCGUAUGUUAGUCACCAUAUAAGCUAGUCGCUUGCUGCAGCUCCACCUCAUACAUUUACCUUACCCAUAAGCUUAAAUAGUCUUGAUCGCGAGGGUGCGAGAUUGCUGAGUCCCUGUGGCUCACAGAUACUUCCAAAACCAGUUUGCAGGUGCCGAUGAGUCCGUGCAGAUGACGCAAUCAAGCUCAGGAGGAGCUCGUUGAAGAUCUUGUCCUUUGUCUUGCUUCGUUCUAGUUGAUCAGUAGUGGAGCCCAGUUGGGGUCGAUCGGGGACCUUUGUCGCAUUUGGGGUUCUUCUUUUAUUUUGGUUCCGUAGUCGGACCUUGAUUGUAUAUGGAUGAUGUAAUGCUUUAUUCAUGUAAUUGGGUGAAGUGGCGAUUGUAAGCCAACUAUGUAUCUUUUUCCCCUAUUGUAUUACAUGGGUUGUGUGAAGAUUACCUCACUUGCGACAUAUGCCUUCAAUGCGAUUAUAUCUCUAAGUCGUGCCUCGACACGUGGGAGCUAUAGUCGCAUCGAGGGUGUUACAAGUUGGCAUCGGAGCCUUCCCCGACCUUAGGAGCCCCAUUGCUUGAUCGUUUUUAGCGGCCGAGUUGUGUCUAGAAAAAUGUUUUGAGUCAUUUAGGAAUUAUAUAUCGGAGAGUUUAGGAAUUCUUUUUACUUCCCAGUCCCUUCAUCGCUCUGGUAAGGCAUCCUGACGUAGAGUUUUGACUCUUCUCUUCUCAAAUUUCACUAAUUUUUUUUAGGAUCACGCGGGUAUCUUGGAAUUGUUUCGAUGGUUUUAUGAUGAGAACAUUGUCUUGGUGCCUCCUGUCAGGGGUUUUGUGGAAGUGUCCCGGGGAGUUGAGCUCUGAGGUGUUGUCGUCAUAAUUUUAUCGUUGCAAUUCUGGAAUACCUGAGAUUAGUACGCCGACAUUGAAAAUCUCUUUUAUGCAGUUCGUUGGUGAGAUAACCUCGACGCCACCCAGUAUUGGGGCAGGAGUUCGGGAGUAUUGCCAUAACUUGUAUAACGGAUGCUUUUCGAAGGUUGAGGUAGACGAUUUCCGAAGGUUUCUUGGUUAUGUGUUGAAGGAUGGAUACAGCUGGAUGUAGGAUUUGCUAGUUUUGGGUGAGAUAUUAUGCUUCCCCUGUAUCCCCAACACCUAAUUGCAUAACCGGAAAAUUUCGGGAGUUUAUAGGUGGGAAAUCAAGUAGCUCUUAGGAUAUCUUUCCGACAGAUGUAUGAUUUGAAAUUGGGGUUCGACGUCUAGUGGGCCGCCUAUUCACGGUCGGUUUUACAGUGGUCUCGUUGUGUCUUAAAGAGUCCUUGGCUAUGCCGACUCGGGGACGCUUCGUAUGUCAUGUGCACUGCCUUGUACAUGAUGGUGUUGUACGAUCGAGCCCGUGUAGGCUCCACCAUGAAAACUUCGGACGAAAUCUCUAUCAUAUGUUUGUUCCGGCUUAUUUUGCAAGCCAAUCCUUUGUUUUUGUUUUGAGUUGUGGUAUUCGAGUUGCUUCAAUGUCAAGUGUUGAUUCCAUACCUUCCCCAAAUGGUGUUCUCAUACUCCGAUGUGGAUACCAAUCCUUCUUGAUAAUCGAGAGUGUCAUGUCAACCGUUUUCAACCAGUGUAUUUCUUUUCAAGCGGAUCCGUUCAUUUUCAAUAUCCGCAAGAUUCAAUCUCAGCUUUCUCAACGGUGUUUGUUUCAUCCAUCCCAAGUUGUCUUUGUUGUCCCGCCCUCCCACCCUUGUUUCGUCAAGGACUCAGAUUUCUUAAUCAAGUAUCAUCUUAUUGAUAUGAAGACUCCCCAUUCUUUCCCGUCAAUGUUCUUACCCGGUGAUUUUCAUGAAGAUCCUAAUGGAGCUUCAAGUUCAUCAUUCUCCAUUCUUUCCUUCUACGGUGGAGUUAAUUCAAGCUUUCGGUGUUGAUCAUAUUCUUUUCCGUAUUUCAAAUGCCUUCUCAUGCCGGUGCACCUCACAUUUAGUCAUUUCUCGCUAUUCAUUUGUUCCGGAGUGCUGAUAAUAUCUAAGAGGAUUUGUGUCUCCAUUAUCAUUCCGUCCAAGAUAUUUUGAGGUUGUUAUGUCUUUCAAGCCAUUUUAUUUAACCGGUGAAAUCUCUCUUUUAAAUCGUUCUACGGUGUUUCUUUUGAGUGGGCCCUAACCCACAGGUGUUUUUCCAGGAUCUUACCUGACUCUUCUUAUUUUCCCGGAGCUACCAUCAAAUUCUUUUCGAAGUUUGACGUAAGAAUGAAUUGUCAUUAGUCAAAUGUCUUUCUUCAAGAUCUUUCAAAUUCUUUUCAUCGUUGGUUCAACCUUUCUAAUUUUUCAUUCUGGAGUGCCUCAACAAUUCAUGGUGGUGUUUCUCGAAGGCAUUCUCAGAUUUUGAAGACCGAAGAAGAGUUUUCCCUCCAUAUCUUAUCUGUUCUCUCAAAGAUUCAUGGUGCUAGCUUGUUGCCAUCCUCUCAUAAUUGUUUAGAUUGUGAGUAUUCUUUUCACCUAUCCGGAGCAUUUCAUGAGUUGUUUCCAUUUCUUUACUCCGAAGGCCAUUGUUCUCCAAAUCUUACCGGUGCAUCGUUCAAGUGAUCUCUAAUCAGUUCAUGAUCCCUUCGUUCUCAUGUAUCUAGAUUGUCUCAAGUAUCUCCCUUCAUUCAAUUCUUCCCGGUGUUUCUUUAUCUUCUCUUCGUUCAUUUUCAAUUCUUACGGUGGUUCAUUCAACAUUUCUCUUCCUUUGUUUAUCAUAUCAAUUCAUUCGUUCUUUCCAAUCCUACCGGUGGAUCAUUAAAGACCUCUUCAAGUUUGCGCAAUAUCUAUCUUAAUCUUUUCUACGAGAAUAAGUAAUAUGUCGAAUCCAUUGAUUGUCAUCAAUUUAAUUGGUGAAGGAUAAGCAUAAUGUAAUUCUUAUUCUUGUUUCAUCGAGUUUGUUCAAUUCCUGUUUUUCCGGAGUGACUCAUCAUACUUAUUCUUGGUUUCAAUAGCUCAUCUUUCUUUUCCGGAGUUCCAACCUCUUUCAAUUAUAUUAUCACGGAGUUCUCUAUCUAAAUCAUUGCGAGGCUUAAAUCUUUUUCAUUUCAUCAUUCAAUUAUUUUGGAUCAUUCUUUUAUUACCGGAGUUCUUCAUGAAGGUUCUACAUGAUGGAUUCAUCAAGGAUUUAAUCCCUUCUCGGAGUGUUCAUCAAGAUUCUUUUCAGAUGAGCUCAAGCAUUCUUCAUCUUGCAAUCCGGAGUGCAAUUCUUUCUACCAUAUUAUUGGAGGUGGUAUUAUGUCAUUCUUGAUAAUUUGAGUUCAUGUUUCAUGAUUCACAUGUUGUUAUGAAUGAGGUAUUUUAAAUCCAUCAAUCUCGUCGUUGGAGCUAUCUUGGGUUAUAUUUCACCUAAAGCCUUCCCUAAGGAUUGUUACUAUUACGGUGCUUAUAUAUGACCCAAGUUCUUCUUUUAUCCUUCCGGUGAAUAAGUUUAAAGUCUCCUAGUUGAUACAAUCCAAUUCUUUUUCCGUGAGUGGCAGGCUGUCACCUCAUAACAUGGAGAUGUAUUCCAUAAGACCAUAUCAAACUUAUUCUUUUCGUUGUUGAUUUUCCAUUCUCACUUUUGUUCCGGAGGCUUUGUGGUGUUGCUCUCUUAAACCCAUCUUGUUUUGUCAGGACCAUGUUUUGUUCGUGCUUAUCCUUUUUAACCGGAGUUUUGUGUCCUUUUGCUCAAGCUCUUUAAUUUUAUCAAGUUUUCCAUCUCUUCUAAACCGGAGUGCCGUCUGAAAUAGUUCCGGAGGCAGUGUUUUGUAAUGUCAUCAAGUAUCCUCUCAUCUUAUCAAGUUCUCAUUCAAUUAUUUUCUUUUCAACCGGAGUGCUGCCCAAAGUUGUUCUUCCUUGUUCCUCUUUGCUUACAGAGUAUUUUCAACUUGAUUUAUCUCCGUUGUUUUCUUUUCUCGAGAUGGCUUAACCUUUUCAAGGUUCUUUGGUCUUACUCAUUUGUCAAAGAAGCAACUUACUUUUGCCUCUCCUCUUUUCUCUUCUGUUGUCCCUCCGGUGCCAUUCUAGAUCUCGGGACGAGAUCCUCUCGUAGUGGUGGAGUGUUGUAACGCCCCAAGACCUGAGCUUCAGUUGCCUUCCAGGGUUUCCGGGUUUUCGUCGUGUGUUUUGUUUGGUCCGCUGCUUUUCAUCUUUGCAUCAUGUGCAUUGCAUCAUGUCAUCAUGCAACCCGUUUUAAAACUCAGCUAAACAAAUGGUAUGGAUCUUUGAUCCAUUUAAAUCAAGGGAUUUCACAUGGUGAUUCUCUUUACAACUUAUCCUCUCGAUAUUUAGAGAGCUAUAGUAAUUAUUCCAAUUAUGUGGAAUUACCUUAACACACUUGAAAAAUCCCAAUGCCUUUUAUUAUUUCAACUCUUGGCCUCUAACUUUGCCACUUGUCCUUUCAUCAUUUUCCGGAGCUCCACCUAAUUUCUCAACAUUUUUGGGCACUUCGAAAAACCUAUCCUAGUUCAAACCUUUUGAAUUAAAUUCAAAGGAAUUUGAAUUUAAUCUUUCAACUUGACCUUUUUCUAUUUUCCCGGACCGUGCACAUUUUUCUGAGUCCGUGAAAAUUAUCCCCGUGCUCAAAUUCUUCCUCUAACCUUCUCUUCUCUCUUUUCCUUUCUCCUAUUUUUUUGUCUCUGUUUUUGUUAAGAGUAGAAUCAAGAGAGGGAGAGAAGGGAGCCCAGCAGGCCAUUUGGGCCCAGCUGCAUCUAACCUAGCCGGCUCCAAGGCCCACUCCCUAACCUAACCCUAGGCCCAGCCUCUCCCCUCGCUACCCUCUCCCGAUCUCAUCUCUCCCUCGUUUCCCUACGCGCGCCGCCACACGCUCAACGCACGCAUCGAGCCAGGGAGGAGCCCGAUCCCCAUCACCAACGCUCGCAGGCUCCUCUGCUCGAUCCCCACUUCUCCCCCUCGCACCUCACUUGCCUCCCCUGGCGCCGCCCUCUCUCUCUCGUUCUCCUCCCUCACGCCGCCAGCGAGCGCCCUCGCUCAGCCCAGCCUCCUCGCUAGCUCCCCAUCUCUUCCUCCUGGCCAGUCGUGCCCCUCCAUGGCGCUGCCUUGCUACUCCCUCCGGCGAGCACCGUGCCGUAUCCCUGCCUUGCCUGCUCUAUCGGCGUCACCAACAACAGCGGUCCGGCGCCCAAGCUCCUCUGCCGCCCCGCCCAUUCCCGGCCGGAUCCCGCCGGCAGGGCCUCGCGUCCCCGCUUCAGACGACCGUCGCUGCGUCACGACCUCAGCUCCACCUGCGAAGCCCGAUGCCCCUCGGCGCGUCAGCUUCGACCUCGAUCAGAUGCGCCCGAGGAGCUCCCCGAGCGAGCUCGCCGGCGGCCCCUGCGUUCCCCGUGACCUGUACUGCCUGCCGGCCCCUUCUCCGCCUCGCCGUCGUUUUGCUGCAGGAGUCGAGGUGUCGCCUCCUUCAGUUCGUCAGCCGACAUCGCGGCCUCAACCUCCAUGGACGGCCUCCUGUACUUCGAACGGGAGGAGAACCGCUGCGUUGACUGGAUCGGUGCCGCUCCAGGCCACUGCACUGUACAACUGCUUUGAGAGAACACGGAUACGUCAAGACCCGGGCCGACAAGUACCACGACGUCCGUCGAUCGCCAAGUACCCCUUCGGAUACGCAAGUCCCUCGAAGGUCCACCGAUGCCUAGUACGACUACAAGACCGGAACGAAGUACCACGAUGACCGUUGACAUGUAUCACUACACCGCACCGAAACGUCAAGACCGUCCCGGAUAUUGUCAAGUACCACUUCGGUUUCGGAACGCGACGAGUACCACGACUACCCUCGUGGACUUUGGUUCCAUCAAGUUCGACUACAACGUGCGACAACUACCACCGCCGUGAUUUUUGACAAGACGUCGUGUGCCUCUACUUCCACUACCGAACAUCCCGAGAACGUCUACUUCCCCUACACCGCAUCGAACUCGAACCGCUCCGAUAACGCACGCUUCGAAGGUAUAACCCCGAGACGACGUCCGUGAACGAAUGCUUGCGAUGUCUGAAAUGCUCGUGUUUGCUCCGUGUAGGACUUGUUCGGUGCACGUUGCCCCUAUUUUGCCUUGCCACCGACAUGUGGGAACCCCGUAAUCGUGAGCACCCCACCAUCCUUGCAUGACACGCUCCCGUCACUUCCUUUUGCACCGUUAUCCCCGUGGGCUACCGGAGAACCGAUAUGUUGUCGUGGCAUCAUUUUCGGAUUCGUCGUGGUGGCACCCUUUUCCUUUCCACCAUGAUGUCAAAUGCUUCAUAAUAAUGCUUUUGUCAAGUUUUAAUAAAAAUUGCAUAAACUUGUUCAUGUCAGCUGCAUCAUGAUAACAACAAUUAAAAAUAUUUAAAUUGUUGUUUGCAUUAAUUUACUAAUGCAUAUGGGGAUUUACCGGAUUUGUUGUUUGCUAUAUCCGGCCCCAUUUAAAUUGUUUAGAUAGACAAUCCCUUUAUGUUUCACCUCUUGACACGCUUAACAACAUUUAAUAUUGUUGGGUACAUAAACGAGACAGAACUAAAUAAUUGAUGUGGUGUCCCGUCAAUAUACAACCCGUUGCAUAUUGAGUUCCACUUAAUUUGUAGGAUUGUUUGUGCUCUUUGUCAUGCCAUGCCUCUUUAAACCGGACAUGCAUCAUACUUGUUUGCGCAUCAUGCCAUGAUUAUGUGGUGGUUGUUUACUAGGUUGUUUGCUCUUUUCCGGUGUUGCUUCUUCGGGUUGGUUCCGAUAACGUCGCGUUUGUGAGGAACCGUUCGACUACGUCCGUUUGUCUUCUUCAUGGACUCGUUCUUCUUCCUUGUGAGAUUUCAGGCAAGAUGACCAUACCCUCGAAAUCACUUCUAUUUUUGCUUGCUAGUUGCUCGCUCUUUUGCUAUGCCUAUGCUGCGAUACCUACCACUUGCUUAUCAUGCCUCCCAUAUUGUUGAAUCAAGCCUCUAACCCACCUUGUCCUAGAAAACCGUUGUUUGGCUAUGUUACCGCUUUGCUCAGCCCUUCUUAUAGCGUUGUUAGUUGCAGGUGAAGAUUGAAGUUUGUUCCUUGUUAGAACAUGGAGAUGUCGUUCCUUGUUGGAACAUUUUUUACUUGUUGGGAUAUCACAAUAUAUCUUACUUAAUUAAUGCAUCUAUAUACUUGGUAAAGGGUGGAAGGCUCGGCCUUAUGCCUGGUGUUUUGUUCUACUCUUGCCGCCCUAGUUUCUGUCAUAUCGGUGUUAUGUUCCCGGAUUUUGCAUUCCUUACGCGGUUGGGCUAUUAUGGGAACCCCUUGACAGUUCGUCUCAAGUAAAGCUCUUCCAGCAAUGCCCAACUUUGGUUUUACCAUUCGCCGCCUAGCCUUUGCUUUUCUCUUGGGGGUCGUGCGCCCAAGGGUCAUCAUUUUUUUAAACCCCCGGACCAGUGCUCCUCUGAGUGUUGGUCCAACUUGUCAGCCGCCGGUGGCCACCAGGGGCAACUCUGGGCUGGCCUACCGGAAGUUUAGACAAUCCGGUGUGCCCUGAGAAAGAGAUAUGUGCAGCUCCUAUCAGGAUUUGUCGGCACAUUCGGGCGGUGUUGCUGGUUUAGUUUUACCCUGUCGAAAUGUCUUGUUGUACCGGGAUACCGAGUCUGAUCAGAAAGUCUCGGGAGGAGGUCUAUUCCUUCGUUGACCGUGAGAGCUUGUGAUGGGCUAAGUUGGGACACCCCUGCAGCGAUUUGAACUUUCAAAAGUCGUGCCCGCGGUUAUGGGUAGAUGGGAAUUUGUUAACGUCUGGUUGUAGAAAACCUAAACUUGACCUUAAUUAAAUUGAAUCAACCGCGUGUGUAACCGUGAUGGUCUCUUUCCGGCGGAGUCCGGGAAGUGAACACGGUUGGUGGAGUUAUGCUUGGCAUAGGUUGCUAUAGGAUCACUUCUUGAUCAUACUUUAUCCAUCGUGCUUUGCCUUCUCUUCUCGCUCUCAUUUGCGUAUGUUAGUCACCAUAUAAGCUAGUCGCUUGCUGCAGCUCCACCUCAUACCUUUACCUUACCCAUAAGCUUAAAUAGUCUUGAUCGCGAGGGUGCGAGAUUGCUGAGUCCCUGUGGCUCACAGAUACUUUCAAAACCAGUUUGCAGGUGCCGAUGAGUCCGUGCAGAUGACGCAACCAAGCUCAGGAGGAGCUCGUUGAAGAUCUUGUCCUUUAUCUUGCUUCGUUCUAGUUGAUCAGUAGUGGAGCCCAGUUGGGGUCGAUCGGGGACCUUUGUCGCAUUUGGGGUUCUUCUUUUAUUUUGGUUCCGUAGUCGGACCUUGAUUGUAUAUGGAUGAUGUAAUGCUUUAUUCAUGUAAUUGGGUGAAGUGGCAAUUGUAAGCCAACUAUGUAUCUUUUUCCCCUAUUGUAUUACAUGGGUUGUGUGAAGAUUACCUCACUUGUGACAUAUGCCUUCAAUGCGAUUAUGUCUCUAAGUCGUGCCUCGACACGUGGGAGCUAUAGUCGCAUCGAGGGUGUUACAGGGCCGUUGGAUCCGGGACUAUCCAACGGUCUCUAAUGCUUGAUCCGCGCGACAUGCUCGUAGACCAAUCAGAACGAAGUACAAGAUUUGAUGACGUUAUGACCAUCUAAAUUGGUCGCAAUCGAUUAACAAUAGGUGGCUGAUACGAGUCAGUCAGAUGAUUUUGUCUAGAAAUCAUCCGCCUAGUUAGGCGCUUGAUCUGCGCAUUGGUGAUUGUUCGAUCACAUCAAUAUGUCACGACAGCACCGAGCAGGAAAAAACUUCAACGCAACACCGAUGACAUCCCCACGAAGCUCCAUUGCAGCUCUCAACGGCGCGCCAAGAGCUCCAACGCAGCACCACGGUGUCCGGCGAAGCUCCAUUACAGCGUCGGGGGAGCUCCAACGCAGCACCACGAUGCCCGACGGUAAGUUCCCUUCUAUUUUUAUGACAACGUCUAAGUACAAUUCCCUCGAAUAACUAAAGGUACUUUCAUACUAGGUGGGAUUUUCAUCAAUUCACUAGGAAGCGGGUCAAAUUUUAACUACAACUACCUCAUAGUUUGUUCAAAUGAUCUAAUAUUAUGUACAAGGGUGCAUCUUGGAAUGGCAAACAAUGUUGUCUAAGGAAGUUUUCAUUUUUUUGCAUGGAAAAUUCAUUUUCCAUUUUCCGAGUGCCCGAAACGAGGCUUUUUUGGGAAGGACCUACCAUAUAUUUGUUGCAAAAUUGGACCAAAUCAAUUUUAUAAAAUACUAGGCCAUAUUUAAUGCACAAUUGACCAAAUGUUUGGGUGUAAAAAGUUUUUGAUCCACCUCUCGUGAAAAAGACAAAUUCCCGCCGAUUCAGUUGGAAGCGGGUCAAAUUUGAACUGUAGUUGCCUCAUAGUUUGCUAUUUAUUUUUUCCAAAAAUCAUUUCUAGGUACAUAAGUAUCUAUUUAAUCAUAGAAACACCAAAAAAAAUCCAAGAUUCAACCACUAGCUAGGAACGCUCAAGCCCGCCGUUUUAACCGCAUUUUGAAACGGGCAUAAAAAAAUCAAAAAAAUCAAAAAAUUGGGAAACCUUCACAUUGUGUCAUUAUAUGUGGCCAAGUUCCCAGGAAAAAUAACAAACUUAUAAUACGACAAUUAUUUUAAAAAAGUGUUCUCAAAAACGAGCUAUCACGUGUGGAGAUCAAUGGCUUUCAAGCCAAAUGAUCAAUCUUAUGGCCACAUCCAUGGCAUAGUUUAUUCAAAUGAUCUCAUAUUGUGCACAAGGGUUCAUAUUGGAAUGGCAAACAAUGUUGCCUAAGGAAGAUUUCAUUUUCUUUGGACGAAAAAACCAUUUUCCAUUUUUUGAGUGCCUAAAAGGAGGUUUUUUUGUGAAGGACCUACCAAUAAUUGUUGCAAAAUUGGACCAAAUCAAUUUUCUAAAAUACUAGGCCAUGUUUAAUGCAUAAUUGACCAAAUGGUUGGGUGUCAAAAGUUUUGAUCCACCUCUGGUGAAAAAGACAAAUUCCGCCGAUUCAGCUGGAAGUGGGUUAAAUUUGAACUGCAGCUACCUCAUAGUUUGCUCUUUAUUUUUUUCAAAAAUCAUUUCUAGGUACAUAAGUAUCUAUUUAAUCAUAGAAACACCAAAAAAAAUCCAAGAUUCAACCACUAGCUAGGAACGGUCAUUCCCGUCGUUUUGACCGCAUUUUGAAACGGGCAUAAAAAAUUUAAAAAAAAUCAAAAAAUUGGGAAACCUUCGCAUUGUGUCAUUAUAUGUGGCCAAGUUCCUAGGAAAAAUAAUAAACUUGUAAUACAUCAAUUAUUUUUAAAAAGUCUUCUCAGAAACGAGCUAUCACGUGUGGAGAUCAAUGGCUUUCAAGCCAAAUGAUCAAUCUUAUGGCCACAUCCAUGUCAUAGUUUGUUCAAAUGAUCUCAUAUUGUGCACAAGGGUGCAUAUUGGAAUGGCAAACAAUGUUGCCUAAGGAAGUUGUCACUUUCUUUGGACGAAAAAACCAUUUUCCAUUUUUUGAGUGCCCAAAAGGAGGUUUUUUUGUGAAGGACCUACCAAAUAAUUGUUGCAAAAUUGGACCAAAUCAUUUUUCUAAAAUACUAGGCCAUAUUUAAUGCACAAUUAACAAAAUGUUUGGGUGUAAAAAUUUUUGAUCCACCUCUCAUGAAAAAGACAAAUUUCCGCAGAUUCAGUUGGAAGCGGGUCAAAUUUGAACUAUAGCUACCUUGUAGUUUGCUCUUUAUUUUUUUCAAAAAUCAUUUCUAGGUACAUAAGUAUCUAUUUAAUCAUAGAAACACCAAAAAAAUUCCAAGAUUCAACCACUAGCUAGGAACGGUCAUUCCCGCCGUUUUGACCGCAUUUUGAAACGGGCAUAAAAAAUUCAAAAAAAAAACAAAAAAUUGGGAAACCUUCGCAUUGUGUCAUUAUAUGUGGCCAAGUUCCUAGGAAAAAUAAUAAAAUUUUAAUAAGGCAAUUUUUUUUAAAAAGUGUUCUCAAAAACGAGCUAUCACGUGUGGAGAUCAAUGGCUUUCAAGCCAAAUGAUCAAUCUUAUGGCCACAUCCAUGGCAUAGUUUGUUCAAAUGAUCUCAUAUUGUGCACAAGGGUGCAUAUUGGAAUGGCAAACAAUGUUGCCCAAGGAAGUUUUCAUUUUCGUUGGACGAAAAAACCAUUUUCCAUUUUUCGAGUGCCCGAAAGGAGGUUUUUUUGUGAAGGAACUACCAAAUAAUUGUUGCAAAAUUGGACCAAAUCAUUUUUAUAAAAUACUAGGCCAUAUUUAAUGCACAAUUGACAAAAUGGUUGGGUGUAAAUUUUUUUGAUCCACCUCUCGUGAAAAAGACAAAUUUCCGUCGAUUCAGUUGGAAGCGGGUCAAAUUUGAACUGCAGCUGCCUCAUAGUUUGCUAUUUUUUUUUUCCAAAAAUCAUUUAUAGUUACAUAAGGACCUAUUUAAGCAUAAAUACAUGGUUUGGUGGCGAUACGUCGAGGUUUGGGCGGUGGCCGAGGGCCCCAACUCUAGAGCGCGUAAACUCGCAUGCCCGUCGCGUGGUCACCGCGUGACCGUAAUGUUGCCAUGUGUUCUGGGCGGCCUAGGCAUGUCUAGUGGGUUGGGCACUCCCCAGGUUGGUGCUAGGAAGAAAAUUACAACAUAAGAUUCUCACGAGGAGACCGAUCGAUGCUCAAACAUGAAUUAGCAGUCAAGUGUUUGAUUAGCGGUACGGGAAAUGCACAUGGCCAAUGGGCGUGAGUUUUGGCUGAGGAUGAUCAUCUACUAAGUAGAAUGUCUUCACAAAUUUUUAGCUCAAAAGGAGGAUCCUAGGUGGUACUUGCUUUGCAAAGUACCACGCUGGACAAAAAUAUGAAUGUUGAAGCUGGGCUCAAAAUAAUGAAUGGAGUGAGCUGAAAUUUUGUGGAGGAUGGUUAUUUGGGUAUAGGAAAGCAUUGUAGAAAAUUGAUACCAUUUGGACAUGCCAAAGUAGUACUUCCUUCACAAUGCUCUUCUAUGGACAGAAACUUGGGAAAACUAGUGAGAGAGAUUGGAUGAAUGAAAUGAGCUCAAAAUUGGUGUAGGUAAGUUACUUAGGUAUGGUCAUGCGCUGGUAAAUUUUCAAAUCAUUUGGGUAAGCCUAGCUAGUACUUACUUCACAAAGCUUCUCUCGAGGUAGAAAGUUUGAAAAUUUCCCGAGAAAGAUUUACUUGGAAAAUUGAGCUGAAUAUUAUCAUGUGGCAAUGAUUUGGGUAUGGAAGAGUGCCCGAAAAGUUUGAGGGUAAUAGGAGGGGUCUAUAUAACACUUGCUUUGCAAUGUGCCAAUUUGGCCAUAAAAUAUAAAUUGAACCUGGGCUCACAUAGAUGAUUUGACUGAGCUGCAAUUUGAAGGAGGUUGAUAAUUUGGGCAUAUGAAGGAACUGUAUAAAUUUCAUGUCAUUUAGAGAUAUAAAAAAGGUACUUCCUUCACAAUGCUUCUAGGUGGACAAAAACUUUGGAAAUUUGCCGAGGAAGAUUUGCUAGGCAAAUGGAGCUGAAUUUUGUCAUGCGGUAAUAAUUUGGAUAGGAAAGAGUGCCCAAAAAUUCCGAGGGCAAUCAAGAAUAUAUAAAUAGCACUUCCUUCAUAAAGUGUUGUUGUGAACAAAAUAGGAAAAUGAAUAUUAUUGAAUUAGUUUUGAACUAGGCAAGGAAGGAUUUUUACAUAUUUGAUGAAGAUAUGCCCCAAAGAAUUUAUGAGAUUUUUUUUGGAAAUUUUGGGAAUGAUAGAAAUAUAGGUUGCUUCACAACCUAGGGCAAAAACUGCCACAUGGACAUGACACAUAGGCAAAACUGAUGAGAUGGCGCCUAGUCAUCACAACCCACCACAAUCUACAAGGCUAUGACCAUCUAUAUUGGUCAUUAACAACUAGAAAUAAGGCAAUUGACUAGCACUGUUUGCUUUGUGACCAUUUCAUGUAAGGAAAUUAUGACCUUUCUGACCAAAAUGGUCGCAAUGGUUUAGGGUUUGGAGCCCCCUGAACAGCUUUUGACCAAUUGGUCUAAAAUGGUCAUAAAUUUAUGACCAAUUCUUCGAGGGUCACUGACAGAAGGUCAUAAGUUGACAUAUUUCUUGUAGUGACAUUAGGCCCCAGGUUGACCUUGAACUUUGUUCUUUGUCAAUCUUCCAUACUUAGCAAAAAAUAUCCAUCUUCUUAUCUUUACUGAAAUUUCCUUGUAACCCGCCGUGACAUCAUCUCUUGAAAACACAAAAAACUUUCAUGACGUCAUCUUCCAACGGAUCUUUUAUCUUUAAUGUUUCCCGAGAAUCGAGUCGCCUAUAUAGAUGGAUAACCAUUAUUCGGUUCUCCCUUGAUUUUCGCGCCCGUCUGUUCGCAUCUUUCCUUAUAAAUAGGCUGGCCCCGACCUUCCUCAUUCUUCUCUCUCUCUGUCUUCUUCCUCUCGCGUCCCUGCCAUUGCUCGAGCUUCGCCGCCGCCGCGUCUCAUCUCCGUCGUCGACUCUGGCCGCUGCAUCGACCUGAACCGAUCCAGAGAACCCGCGGCGACCUCCGUAGUAGACCUCCAACUGUAAGUUUCCUUUACUUCGUGUCUCAGAUCUUCAUUAGGGUUUCCGAGGUCCUUCGUGUUAUUCGUAGUUCAUCAUAGCUUCUUCGUAGUUCUUCCACUGCCUCCUCUUUUUGAUCCAAAAGAGAUGUAUGUUUAUGCAGUAGUUGUUUGGUGCCUCCUUUUGAUACUAGCAGACUCCUUUUUCUGGUACAAGAGCCAUAUUUAGAUCUAAUGAACUCAUCUGGGCUGCAUUUUUAGGUCUAGAAAUUUUUUCAUUUUGAACAUCCAUUUGAUCUGAAAUAAUAUCAAGCAUUUUGGGAAACUUGUUUGUCCCAACACUUACCUGAAUCCGCUUUCUAAAAGAAUCUAUAGUCAUGGCGGCUUACCGCACCGGCUUUCUUUUCCUUAUAUGUCUUUAGCCCUUAGUUAAGCCGCCAUUACUUGUUUUGCAUCUUCAUCCUUUAACUGUUAACCUCACCGUAAAAAUGAACCGACAUGUUGCUUUUCUUUUUAGUUCCUUGCACAUCAUGCCGUCAAAGACACCAACCAUCUGUAACUGGGUCCCCUCAACCAUAACUGAGGAACGUUUAAAAGAGUUCUUCAUAAUAGGAUUUCUGCCAUCAAAAGCCAUCAUGUCUUAUCGUGCCCCUGACCUGGAAGAAGAACGACCCAAUCCGAGAGAUGGUGAGGUGAUCGUUUUUACUGACCACAUGAACCGUGGCUUCUCGCCGCCCGGCUCAAAGUUCUUCAGAGAGGUCCUCCAUUUUUUCAAACUCCACCCUCAAGAUAUCGGGCCCAACUCCAUAUCUAACAUCUGUAACUUCCAAGUGCUCUGUGAGGUAUAUCUUCAACAAGAGCCGACCGUGGAGUUGUUCAGAGAAUACUUUUAUCUGAACUGACAGAAUGAGUGCACCAACGGCCUUAGUUUAGAACUUGGAGGUAUAUCAAUCCAGCGCCGGCAGGGUGCCGUCUUUACCCUUAUUGUCUUACCAAGCCACCCAAAGGACUGGAACCAGACUUGGUUCUACUGCCAGGACACUUAACCAGCAAAUGAGAAGCCCCUGCCGGGUUAUCGCCCCGAUCGUCUUGACUCCAAGUUCGCGCUUCCUGAUAAGCUGACUGUCGCUGAACGCAAGAGGCUGCUUCCAUCCAUCAAAAGGAUCAACGCUAUGUUGGGGAACGGGUUAACUGGAGUUGAUCUGACCCGCUACUGGAUCUCAUGGCGGGUCAUCCCUUUGAGCCGCUGGUCAAAGCUGAUGUAUGAGUAUGGUGGAGGCCCGGAUGACUCCCUUCGUCACAGCCCCGUUCAAUUGACAGAGGAAGAUAUUGUCUCAAUGUCAACUCUUCUGGUGAAUGGGAAAUAUGAAGAUUGCAGUGUCGUCGGGUUAAACCCCUUCUGUCAGCUUAACCCGGUUCCAGAAGUAAGAAUGUCAUUAUUUAUCUCUUUUGUAUUUCUCCAGCCGUAUUGUUUUAAUACUUGCUUGAAUCUUUACCUUGUUUUUACCUGUCUGCAGGCCAAUUCUGACUUCUGGAAAGUUAAGUAUGACCACGAGGCGGUGAAGAAAGCGAAAGCCGCCGCCAUAAACGCCAAGAAAACGACCCGGAGGUCGAAAAAGAAGAAAAAGAGUACUGCUGAAGACCUGAUGAAGCUUGAUGAUACAUUUGACUCGGAGGUAGCCCUUGAUUCCCUUGGCCAAUUUUUUAACAAUCUUAUUGACACUGAUCAUUACCAGGAUGACACUGAGACCAGUCAGGCCGGGGAAGCAGAGGUAACUAUCAUUCCCUCCGACUCAGAGCCCUUACCAAGACACAAAGUUCGACGAGUGAUCCGUAAAGUAAGGUUUUCUAACCCUUUAGCUCACUUGGAUCCCAACUUUUGUUUGAAAAAGCAGCAACAUGAAAGACGCCAUCAAGUUGGGAUUGAAGAUGAACCGGCUGUCGUCCUUCAACAAACUCCUCGGAAACGUCCAAAUGAGGUUUACUUAUUUCUGUCUUUAACUCUGUUUAAUGGAUCCUUCUCCUUGUAUUUCUUUUAACUCUAUUUUAUCCUUUCAGGAGGUGUCUCGCUCUUCUGGCGACUCAUCGCAGACGCAAUUCCCGGCUUUCAAGACUACUCCUGGGUAAUCAGAAAUCCUCCUUUCUUUCGGGUUGUUCAAUUGUAUCUUUAUACUGACAAUCCUGCAAUUUUUUUUCAUAUUGGCCAAGCUAAAUCCAAGAAAACGAAGGCAGCUAAGCCGGCGGAAGACCCACCGGCGCUGGCAUCUGACCCGGCUAGGCCUUCUUCUCCGUUAACUGACGCUCUGGAAGACCCGCCUGUUGACACCGAAGCAAAUCCUCCUGAGCCGUCAUUUGACGAAACCACUGCGAACCCUUCCACAACCGGACCAUCAAGCUCAGCCAACCCGCCGUCUCCGUCUGCACAAGAUGUUCAGAUUACCGAGAGCCGCUUUAUUGAACCGGGGAACCCAACCGUGCUGGCUCGGUGUACAACAAAACAAGAGGCGUUGGAGAGGCAGAAAGUUUGCUUUGACGUUGCCAACUAUGACCGUCUCAAUGCCAAUGAUAUUUUAUCCGGCUAUCUUAACCAUGUACAUUCCAGCCGCGACUCUGAGAUUGAAAUGGUCAAACAACUGCAGUUGAAAUACGAGGUAUGUUUUUCUGGCUUAUCUGUAUUCCUUCAGCCCCCAAGUCUUCAGAUUAUGAGAGAACCGGAAUGACCUAUAGACUUUAAAAUAUAGGCCGAGACCUUUACCUUUGAAACUUUUCUUGACUUUAAUAGAUCAAAGCUUCACCUGUAGUCCCCAAGGGCCGGUUCAUUUUGAUAAUAAAUGAACCGGUACUUUAAUUUGUUUGGUUCCGUAUUCAAAAGACUUAAUAUUCCGGCUAAACCUUUGAGAAACUUGCUGAACUGCAUACAUUAGCCCCCAAGUGCCAAGUGUUGUUACUUUGUAAGGUACUUGGGACUUAAAUAUGUCUCUAGAUUUGUAGAAAUUUGAUUUGGCAUACAUUAGCCCCCAAGUGUCAAGUGGUUUUUUUGUAAAGUACUUGAGACUUGAAUCUUGAUUUUUGAAUUUGAAACCAAAUCUUGACUCAUCUGAAUGUUUUGCAGAAUGCCUUAUCUGAAUUGAACUCUCAAUUGACUAACGCGAAGACCUGGCUAGCGAGUCAGGAGAUAGAAAUCAAAUCCGCUAACUCCAAACUGCAAAUAAGUCUCUCUGCAACGAAAAAUUUAAAGACCAGCUUUGCUGCCAAGAAGAAAACUUGGGAAGAGGAAAAAACGAUUCUGACCCAACGUGCUGAGACGGCCGAAACAGCUCUGAAAGAGAUUUCAAUAGAGCUGAACGGGUUAAAGGGACGGGUGUCUCAAAUGGUAACUGCUAUCUUUGAUAAGCUGUCUGACUUUAACUUUUGUGUGCUUUUUGCCGAUCCGUAGUAUAAUCCGCCAACUGACUUUGCGUGUAAAAUUUAUGCAGGUCCUCGAAGCAAAAAUCUGAGCCAAGACCCGUUGAUUAAACUGAAGGCAGUAUAUACUUUGGUUGAACAACUGUAUAUAGGCGCACAGCAGGCUCUGGCCGCCAUCUCUCCUGCUAAUCAAGGACCCAACCGGCUCAGCGACGUCCUGAAGAAACUGUCCAUCCUUCCUGCCAGGUUUCAAGAAGUAAAACGCUCCUGCGCGCGAGCCAGAGCUUUGACUGCCCUGAGCCGCUCCAAGGCUUGGGUGCCAGACCUAGACCCGGCGGACGUGGCCAGAGGCUAUCCCACUGUGAAGGAAGACGGGUCUCCUUUUGAUCAGGAUGACUUCAUGGCUUGCGUGCGCGGAGUCCGGCCUCAGGCAACUACCCUUGGAGAUGAUACCAAUGUUGAUAAAUACCAGCCGGGUUUUGAUAGUGAGAAUAAGAAGAUGGCCACUCCCUCAUACAAGGUAACAGAUUUGAUCCCACCAGUGAGAGAAGACACAUUUGCCCCGGAAGUUGACCCGGUCGACCUGAUCGAUGAUGAAGCCGAAUUUGUCGCCGUGAAUGGUUUUGAUUGGUCAAAACCCAACUUCCAGCCAAUAGAAGGUGGUGAACCGGCGAGGGAGGAACAAUGAUCAUCUUCACGGGCUUAUAAAGCCUUGUAAUAACUUAGUUGUGAAAAUACUGUAUGCUUUGCUUAUGCCAUCGCACAUAAAACACUUUUAUGUGAGUCUGUGUUUCCUGAUGCCAAUGUAUGCAUCAUAUUUAAUGUUUGUUUCUGCAAUGUUUGAACUCUGUUCCUGUAAAUACAAAGAAAAGACUGGCUUGGCGGCUUAGAACCAAACGGGUUAAAACACCCAAUUUAUAGCCAAUACGUUCACCACAGUAAGAACCAGAGACAGAUAUAAAUAAAGGAAGGGCUGAAACUAACUCUUUAGUUAAUGCAGCAGGUAAGUGCGUAUAAGUAAUAACCAUACCUUGUCCCUUUUGAUCAUUAGACUGCCGGUUUAAAUAACCCGGGUGAUGAAUUUGAUAAUUCAAUCUUUAUGAAAAGCCAAUGCUUUUUUGAAUACUCAAUGAUUACUAUACCUUGGUAGGUUGCACCUUUUGAUCCGUAAGCCGCCGGUGUGAAUGACCCGGGCGGCUAUGUUGUCAAAUAGUCGAGCCGGUGAAGAAGACCAGGCUAAUUGUUUGUAAUAUUGAAACAAAAAACUAAAAGGCAAGCAAUAGAUAAUAAGCAUAAUUUAACCCUGUAUUCAAAAGGUUGGGGGUUUCUGAUUCGAAUACGAUCAGUAAAUUGGACCAAAGGGGUUAAGCUAAGGUUCAAAUACUACCAUAUAGCCCCCAGUGGCUUUGGCGUUGCGCCGAUCAAGAGGGUACCGACAACUAUUUUCUCUUUGGUUCGAAUACGACCUAUGUUUGAGGAAGCCCCCAAAUGACCUUGAGAGGUUUUUAACGACCCUGAUUUGAAUACGAUCCAAGUCGGACCCAAAAGGGGUUAAGCUAUGAUUCGGAUACGAUCAAGAAGCCCCCAAGUGAGUUUGGCCUUGAGCCGAUCAAGAGGGUUACGACAACUAUGUUCUCUUUGGUUCGAAUACGACCUAUGUUUGAAUAGGAAGCCCCCAAGUGACCAUGAGAUUGCAGCUAGAUUCGGAUACGAUCAUAAGCUGGACCAAAAAGGUUAAACUUGAUUCAAAUAUGAUCAUCUCCUUAAUAGUCAUUUGAAAAAUAAGAAAUAACAAAGAUGCAUAACCUUUGAAAAGAAAAGAGACCGAUGGUCUUACUUUAUUGCUUAACAUGGUAUAUACAAUGUUAAAGUAUGUACAUGAUGAGAGCCGAUGGCUCAGGUGUAGUAUGGCCGAAGUUGAGCAAUAUUCCACGGUCGGCGGGUCUCUUCCUCCGACUUACGCGAGUCUUGGUGCUCUCGAAUGUCAAUGAGGUAAUAUGACCCGUUGUUUAAGUUCUUACUGACCACAAAGGGUCCUUCCCAAGGUGGGGAUAACUUGUGUGCAUCUGAUAGAUCCUGGAUGAGGCGGAGCACCAAGUCACCUUCCUGAAAAGUCCUGGACUUAACCCGGCGGCUGUGAUAACGGCGCAGGUCCUGUUGAUAAAUUGCUGAUCGGGCUGCUACUAAGUCUCUUUUUUCAUCUAACAAGUCAGGUGCAUCAUGUCUGGCUUGUUCAUUAUUGGCUUCAACAUAAGCCGCCACACGGGGCGAGUCAUGACGGAUGUCACAAGGCAACACUACUUCUGCUUCAUAAACCAUGAAGAAAGGUGUGUAACCUGUAGACCUGUUGGGUGUGGUGUUGAUACUCCACAACACCGAGGGUAAUUCCUCUACCCAACAACCCGGCGUUCGCUGUAAAGGAACCAUAAGCCGGGGUUUGAGCCCUUUCAAAAUUUCCUGAUUGGCUCUCUCAGCUUGACCAUUGGAUUGAGGAUGAGCUACAAAAGAAACAUCAAGCCGGAUAUGCUCUCGUUGACAAAACUCCUCCAUAGCCCCUUGGGACAUAUUAGUGACAUUGUCAGUGAUAAUACUGUGUGGAAAACCAAAACCGAAGAUCACCUUUUUCAUGAACUGAACCGCCGUGGCCGCGUCACACUUACUCACAGGCUCCGCCUCAACCCACUUGGUGAAUUUAUCAACUGCCACCAAGAGAUGUGUCUUUUUAUCCUUAGACCUUUUAAAAGGUCCCACCAUGUCAAGCCCCCAAACCGCAAACGGCCAAGUGAUUGGAAUCAUCCGGAGCUCUUGAGCUGGCACAUGCGCUCGUCGUGCAAACUUUUGACAUCCAUCACAUCUACUGACCAGAUCUUCUGCAUCAGCGUGAGCUGUCAACCAGUAAAAACCGUGACGAAACGCCUUGGCCACCAAAGAUUUUAACCCGGUGUGAUGACCACAAUCGCCUUCAUGGAUCGCACGAAGGAUUUCUUAACCUUCUUCGGGGGAAACACACCGCUGAAACACUCCGAAAACACUAUGAUGAUAUAACUCUCCAUCCGAAAUCGUCAUUGACUAAGAUCGCCGGGUUAUCUAUCGAGCUAGGGUCUCAUCCGCUGGCAACUCUCCCCGGGUCAUGUAAGCCAAGAACGGUGUUAGGUGUUAGGUGGCACCAGCUUACGCUGAGACCCCAACCGGCUUAAGGCAUCAGCCGCUUCGUUCUUUCGACGGUCAAUGUGCUCCACCUGAUAACCUUUAAAAUGCCCUGCAACGGCAUCAACCUCUCGGUGAUAAGCCGCCAUGAGAGGGUUCUUGGAAUUCCACUUGCCAGAUACCUGUUGAGCCACUAAAUCUGAGUCGCCAAGACAUCUGACCCGGCUCAAACUCAUCUCUUUCGCCACUCGAAGACCAUGGAGCAAGGCUUCAUACUAUGAUGCGUUGUUAGUGCAAGGAAACAUUAACCGUAGCACAUAACAAAAUUUGUCACCUCGUGGAGAAGUUAACACAACUCCAGCCCCCAAGCCUUCCAACUGUCUGGACCCAUCAAAAUGAAUAGUCCAAUACAUGUUGUCUGGUUUCUCUUCUGGCAUCUGCAUCUCUGUCCCGUCAUUGAUGAAGUCAACCAGUGCUUGAGAUUUGAUCGCAGUACGUGGCACAUACUUCAACCCAUGAGACCCAAGCUCAAUUUCCCACUUGGCGACUCGCCCAGUGGCUUCUCUAUUUUGAAUGAUGUCUCCCAAAGGAGCAGAGCUGACCACAGUGAUCGGGUGACCCUGGAAAUAAUAUUUAAGCUUCCGGCUUGCCAUGAAUACCCCAUAUACGAGUUUCUGCCAAUGCGGAUAUCGUUGCUUGGAUUCAAUCAACACCUCACUGACGUAGUAAACCGGCCGUUGAACCGGAUGUUCCUUGCCAGCCUCCUUGCGCUCCACCACAAUAGCCACACUAAUAGCCUGUGAGUUGGCGGCCACAUAUAAUAACAACGGCUCUUUUUCAACUGGAGCAGCAAGAACCGGCGGCUCAACAAGCUGUGUCUUCAGAUCCUCAAAAGAAGUAUUUGCAGCACCAUUCCAAAUAAAAGCAUAUGUUUUCUUCAUCAUCUGAUACAAAGGCAUUUCCUUCUCCCCUAACCGGCUUAUGAACCGGCUCAAGGCAGCAACACGACCCGCCAGCUGCUGAACGUCAUUGAUGCAUGUUGGUUUGGAUAAGGAUGUAAUUGCUUUGAUUUUCUCCGGGUUAGCUUCAAUACCUCGGUUGGACACCAAAAACCCCAAAAGCUUGCCAGCUGGGACUCCGAAAACACACUUGGCCGGGUUAAGCAUCAUUUUGUAGAUCCGAAGAUUAUCGAAAAUCUCUUUCAGAUCUGUGACCAAGGUUUCCUCCUUCCUGGAUUUUACCACUAUAUCAUCCACGUAAGCAUGAACAUUGCACCCAAUUUGAUCGUGAAGACAAUUCUGCACACAUCGUUGGGAAGUCACCUGGGCACUCUUAAGCCCAAAAGGCAUAGACACAUAGCAGAAAGCUCCAAAAGGAGUAAUAAAAGUUGUCUUCUCCUGAUCCUUGACCGCCAUCUUAAUCUGAUGAUAACCGGAAUAAGCAUCCAAGAAACUCAAAUGCGCACAACCAGCCGUAGCAUCAAUGAUCUGAUCAAUACAGGGGAGAGCAAAAGGAUCAAUCGGACAAGCCUUGUUUAGAUCGGUGUAAUCUACACACAUACGCCAGGUGCCAUUCUUUUUGAGCACGAGCGCGGGGUUAGCUAACCACUCUGGGUGAAAGACCUCUACAAUGAACCCGGCCGCCAAGAGCCGGGCCACCUCUUCUCCAAUGGCCUUGCGCCUUUCUUCAUUGAACCGUUGGAGAAACUGUUUAACAGGUUUGAACUUUGGAUCAAUAUUAAGAGUAUCCUCAACGAGUUCCCUCGGGACACCCAGCAUGUCUGAAGGUUUCCAUGCAAAGAUGUCCCGGUUCUCACGGAUGAACUCGAUGAGCACGCUUUCCUAUUUCGGAUCCAAGUUUGCACUGAUAAUGAACUGCUUGGAUGAGUUGCCAGGCACAAAGUCAACCAUCUUGGUGUCCUCAGCUGAUUUGAAUUUCAACACCGGCUCAUGCUCUGUUGUUGGUUUCUUUAAUGACGUCAUGUCUGCCGGGUCAACAUGAUCCUUAUAAAACUUUAACUCCUCUGUUGCACAAACAGAUUCAGCAUAGGCGGCAUCACCUUCUUCACACUCCAAGGCUAUCUUCUGGCUCCCAUGUACUGUAAUGGUGCCCUUAUGACCCGGCAUCUUGAGCUAUAAAUACACAUAACACGGCCGAGCCAUGAACUUGGCAUAAGCCGGCCGCCCGAACAGAGCAUGAUACAGGCUUUUGAUUUUAACCACCUCAAAGGUUAAUUUUUCUGCUCUGGAGUCGUACUCAUCCCCAAAGGCUACUUCCAAUUCAAUCUUACCAACUGGGUAUGCUGAUUUACCAGGUACCACACCAUAAAAAACAGUGUUGGAUUGUUUAAGAUUUUUAUUAGUCAAUCCCAUCCGGCGGAAUGUCUCAUAGUAGAGGAUGUUGAUGCUGCUGCCUCCAUCCAUGAGCACCUUAGUGAACUUGUAUCCACCAACCUGAGGUGCCACUACCAAGGCCAAGUGACCCGGAUUAUCAACCCGGGGCGGGUGAUCCUCUCUGCUCCACAUAAUAGGCUGCUCUGACCAACAUAGAUAACGUGGAAUCCCGGCUCAACGGCAUUGACGGCCCUCUUGUGAAGCUUCUGGUCCCUCUUACAUAAACUAGUGGUAAAUACAUGGUAUUGCCCACUACUCAACUGCUUCGGGUUGCUCUAAUAACCGGAUUGCUGAUGCUGAUUACCUUGGCCGGGUUGUUGAUUAUAUCCUCCUUGGUGACCAGGAUAACCCUGACUGUGGAAACCUCCUCCACCCGAACCGGCGCCCGGGCCAUGAAAACCGCCUCCUGGGUUGUGACCUCCAUCAAAUGCGUUUGAUUUUUUAAACGCCUUCAUGAUCUUAAAAUCUUUCCACAUGUGGGUGGCUGGCUUCUCCCGGGUGUCGUGCUUUGGACAAGGUUCAUUUAAUAACUGCUCAAGGGUGGGACCUGGCCCGACCGACCGAGGGGGCUGUCUGCCCUUGCGCCGUUGAUUACCGCCCUGUGCAUUGGUGUUAGCAACAAACUCAUCGGCCUUACGUUUAUUACCUACCUGAUUUGCCGGGUUAUGCUGGUGACCCUUGCCGUUGCCAUUCUUCUUUCCCUUCGUUGCCUUUUCUUCAUCAGACACCGGGUCCUUGGUAGUAUCAAAAUCAGCAUACUUGAUGAGAGACGCCAUCAACGUUCCCAUGUCGUUACAGACACGCUUGAGCCGCCCCAGCUUCUGCUUCAGAGGUUCAAAACGGCAAAUUUUCUCCAACAUUAAAACUGUUGAGCCGGCAUCCAUCUUAUCAGAUGAAUGUAUUAUCUCCUUGACCCGGCACACCCAAUGGGUUGUGGAUUCACCAUCCUCUUGCUUGCAAUUGGUCAGGUCCACAAUCGACAUAGGUUGCUUACACGUGUCCUUAAAGUUCUGGAUGAACCGGGUUUUCAACUCCACCCAUGAGCCGAUAGAAUUGGGUGGCAAUCCCUUCAACCAAGUACGAGUUGUUCCAUCUAACAUCAUGGUGAAAUACUUGGCCAUUACAGCAUCGCUGACCUCCAAUAACUCCAGGGCCAUCUCGUAACUCUCAAUCCAAGCCCCCGGUUGUAGGUCAGCUGUGUAAUUAGGCACUUUACGAGGCCCCUUGAAGUCCUUUGGCAAACGCUCAUUGCGUAUGGCCGGCACCAAGCAAGGCACGCCUCCGGUUCUUGUGGCCACUCCCGCCUCAACCGAGGUUGCUGGAUAAGCCAGAAAGGUUUGAUGAGCCGCCUGAUCUACUGCCAUUUGAGCUGCUCGUUCCGCCUCUUGACGAAUCCUCUUCUGAUCCGCCAAGUUAAGGGCUCCAGCCCGCACCGGCUCAUGCCUGUAUGGCCAGUUGUGGCGUUGAGCAUUGCUUGACAUAUCUGCGGACUCCAUAUGCCUACUGUAACUCGGGCUCCGGCUUGGGCGAGGAGUUGAAUGGAUCCUAUCUCGACUGUAGGAGUAUGCAUCCUGCUACGCCAGAGCCGUUUGAAGAAGUUCUCUUACCCUCCGUGUUUCAAUUGCCGCUAGUGAGUCGCCUUCCAUCGGGAGAGCCGCCAAACAAGCCGACGCUGCGAUGAGGUUUUCCGGGUUGGAGAAGUCACCCGGCGGCGUUGGCACGUAAUGAGGUGGAGCGGUAAUUAUACGAGGUGGUUCCAUGGCACGCGGCUGAACCGGUGCGCCGGGUGUCGUGAUCUGGUUUGCCUCCGGCGGGUUGCUUCCCCUAGCCCCGGGUGUAUGGAAUAGGUUCCCAAGCAUUAGAGGUAGACGUGACUGAGUUUUCUGAUUCCUCCUCCUCAUGACCUCGUUUGACGCGUUAAGAUCCACCGAGGGCCGAAAAGUCUCCGCUUGAAGCUGUUGAGCACGAACAUCCAAAGCUGCCCGCUCUGUUGCCAUCCUGGCUUCCUCUGCGGCUAGAUUUUCCUUAGCUUGCACCAUCUCUUCAUGUACGCGUGCCACCUCUGCGUCAUGUUGGGCUUUAUCUGCCGGCUCUACCAUGGCUAUCAACAGAGUCGUCAGUUUAUCCAUGAGGUCCAUUAGAAUCUGAGCCGGGGGCGCGCAGGGUCUCCUGACCCGGCAGCAGCCGACCCGGUACCUGUUGGUGCCGCUGCUGUGGAGUUCUGCCCGGGCUGCGUCCCUGUCAUGAAGACUCCGGCCCAAUUCGGCGGCUCAAGAGGGUCCGGAAUACUGCUGCCAUCGGAACAGCCCCCGAGCAUGUCGUCUUGCAGGUGGUACAAAGAGUCCGUCUCGCCCGUUGAUGAUGCAGUGUCAGAACAGAUGGCCGUCUCACCGCCCUCCACCGAUCCUCCAGAGUAUUCACCGCCGUGGAUGCAACCUACGAAGGCAUGCUUCACGACAGAUUAAACACGGGUGGUCUUCAUGCGCUGAGCCGUUUCGAUGAGGUUGGUGUGGACGUCCGGCUUAGGGCCCGACUCGCCGAUCCGGCUGAUGAAGACGUGAAUUCCAUCGAAGGGGACCCGGUACCCGUACUCAAUUGAGCCGGCCUCGGGGCCCCAGCCUUCGUCGUCGAUGUAGAGCUUGCCGCGAUGACUCUUGGUCAUCCGGCCCACAACGUAUCCCUUGAGCCCUUCGAAGUUGCCCUUCAAGAACUUAAAUCCACCGUGCACUGGCCCCAUGGUGGGCGCCAACUGUCGUGGAAUUGUCACGACAGAUGUCCUAGAGCAAGGACUUAGUUGUAGGGCCAUCGCACUAGGAAGCUUAAAGGGGUUAAUCGGGACAAAGGACACAUGAGAGCUUUUAUACUAGUUCGGUCCCUUACAAUGAAGGUAAAAGCCUACGUCUAGUUGGGAUUGGUAUUGCUGGGGUUUCGAUCUCCAAGAGGCUCAACUCGCCGGCUUGGUUAUCGAUUUGUUGUUUCUUGCCCUAAGCCGCCACCGAGUCGUCCCCUUAUACACAUGGGUUGACGCCUAGUGGCCUACAGAGUCCCGGCCGGCUCAUAAUCGUGUCCGGCUCGGUGACUUCCUUUACAUGCCUUUCUUUACAAAUCUUUCCUUACCUAUGGCGAUUCAUAAUAUCAGGCCUUAAACCGCCUUCAGGCCUUUGGGCCUUCUAUAAGACUUAAUAAACUACAAUCUUGAAUGUUUACUGGCCUUCUUGCGUGACCCGCCAUUGGGGCUGACCCGGCCCCUCCUGGGCGGGUCUCAACUGAUAGUAAUAUCCCCAACAUUUAUCUUAUUAUCUUUAUCAGAUCUCACUUUCGUAAGUGACCGUGAAGGGAUUGACAACCCCUUUAACGCAUUGGUUGUGAGGUUCUUGAUUGUUUGUGCAGGUACUAGGUGACUUGCGUGUAGUCUCCUAUUGUAUUGAUACCUUGGUUCUCAAAAACUAAGGGAAAUACUUACGCUACUUUGCGGCAUCACCUUUCCUCUUCAAGGGAAAACCAGCGCAUGCUCAAGAGGUAGCAGUGAUCCUCCUCCACCCAAGUGUGAUCCCGUGUUUGAGCUUAAACAAUAACCUGAUACUUUGAAAUAUGCUUAUCUUGAUGAAAAGAAGAUAUAUCCUGUUAUCUUGAUGAAAAUAAAAUAUGUUGCACUAUCAUUGUGAACUUUGCAUCUUUUGGCAUCAAUAUUAUGAAUAUGUGUAUCACCACAAUCGAGAUUCAACAGAAAUAGACCUUUCUUCAAGGGUGCAUGACCAUAAAAGAUAUUACUCAUAUAAAUAGAACAACCAUUAUUCUAUGAUUUAAAUGAAUAACCGUCUCGCACUAAAUAAGAUCCAGAUAUAAUGUUCAUGCUCAACGUUGGCACCAAAUAACAAUUAUUCAGAUAUAAAUAUAAUCCCGAAGGUAGAUGUAGAGGUAGCGUGCCGACGGCGAUCACAUCGACCUUGGAACCAUUUCCGACAUGCAUCGUCACCUCAUCCUUAGCCAAUCUUCGUUUAAUCCGAAUCUUCAUUUAAUCUGUAGCUCUUGUUUUGAGUUACAAAUAUGAGCAACCGAACCAGUAUCAAAUACCUAGGUUCUACUACGAGUAUUAGUAAGGUACACAUCAAUAACAUGUAUAUCAAAUACACCUUUGUUCACUUUGCCAUCCUUCUUAUCAGCCAAAUACUUGGGGCAGUUCCGCUUCAAGUGACCAGUCCCUUUGCAGUAGAAGCUCUCAGUUUCAGUCUUGGGUCCAGCUUUGGGCUUCUUCCUGGGAGUGGCAACUUGCUUGCCAUUCUUCUUGAAGUUCCCCUUCUUUCCCUUGCCAUUUUUCUUGAAACUAGUGGUCUUGUUAACCAUCAACACUUGAUGCUCCUUCUUCAUAUCUACCUCCGCAGCUUUGAGCAUUGCGAGAGCUCGGGAAUUGUCUUCUCCAUCCCUUGCAUGUUAUAGUUCAUCAUGAAGCCUUUGUAGCUUGGUGGUAGUGAUUGAAGAACUCUUUCAAUAACACUAUCAUCUGGAAGAUUAACUCCCAACUGAGUCAAGUGAUUAUGAUACCCAGACAUUUUGAGUAUGUGUUCACUGGCAGAACUGUUCUCCUCCAUCUUGCAGCUAUAGAACUUGUUGGAGACUUCAUAUGUCUCAACUCGGGCAUUUGCUUGAAAUAUUAACUUCAACUCCUGGAACAUCUCAUAUACUCCAUGACGUUCAAAACAUCUUUGAAGUUUCGAUUCUAAGCCGUAAAGCAUGGCACACUAUACUAUUGAGUAGUCAUCAGAUUGAGCUUGCCAGACGUUCAAAACAUUUGCAUCUGCCCCUACAGCAGGCCUUUCACCUAGCAGUGCAUUAAGGACAUAAUUCUUCUGUGCAGCAAUGAGGAUAAUCCUCAAGUUACGGACCCAGUCCAUGUAGUUGCUACAUUAUAUUUCUACUUAGCUUUCUCUAGGAACGCAUUAAAAUUUAGGGGAACGGUAGCACGGCCCAUUGAUCUACAACAUAGAUAUGCAAAUACUAUUAGGACUAAGUUCAUGAUAAUUUAAAUUCAAUUAAUCAAAUUACUUAAGAACUCCCACUUAGAUAGACAUCCCUCAAGUCAUCUAAAUGAUAGUGAUCCAAAUCAACUAACCCAUGUCCGAUCAUCACGUGAGAUGGGGUAGUCAUCAAUGGUGAACAUCUCUAUGUUGAUCAUAUCUACUAUACGAUUCACGUUAGAACUUUCGGUCUCCAGUGUUCCGAGGCCAUGUCUGUACAUGCUAGGCUCGUCAAGUUUAACCCGAGUAUUCCACAUGUGUAAAACUGUCUUGCACCCAUUGUAUGUGAACGUAGAGUCUAGCACACCAGAUCAUCACGUGGUGUCUCAACGCAACGAACUGUCGCAACGGUGCAUACUCAGGGAGAACACUUAUACCUUGAAAUUUAGAUAAGGGAUCAUCUUAUAAUGCUACUACUAAGCAAAAUAAGGUGCAUAACGAUAAACAUCACAUGCAAUCAAAAUAUGUGACAUGAUAUGGCCAUCAUCAUCUUGUGCUUUUGAUCUCCAUCGCCAGAGCAUCAUCAUGAUCUCCAUAGUCACCGACUUGACACCUUGAUCUCCAUCGUUGCGUCGUGGUCGUCUCGCCAACUAUUGCUUCUACAACUAUCGCUAAUGCAUAGUGAUAAAGUAAAGCAAUUACAUGGCAUAUGCAUUUCAUACAAUAAAGAGACAACCAUAAGGCUCCUACUGGUUGUCGAUAACUUUUACAAAACAUGAUCAUCUCAUACAACAACGUAUAUCACAUCACAUCAUGUCUUGACCAUAUCACAUCACAACAUACCCUGCAAAAACAAGUCAGACGUUCUCUACUUUGUUGUUGCAAGUUUUACGUGGUUGCUAUGGGCUUCUAGCAAUAACCGUUCUUACCUACGCACAAAACCGCAACGGUGUUUUGUCAAGUUUGUUGUUUUAACCUUCUUCAAGGACCGACCGUAGUCAAAUUCGAUUCAACUAAAGUAGGAGAAACAGACACCUGCUAGCCACCUUUAUGCAAAACUAGUUGCAUGUCUGUCGGUGGAACCGGUCUCAUGUACGUGGAAAUGUAAGGUUGGUCCGGGCCGCUUCAUCCCACAAUACUGCGGAAUCAAAGUAAGACGUUGGUGGUAAGAAGUAUGACUAUCACCGCCCACAACUCUUUCUGCUCUACUUGUGCAUAUUAUCUACACAUAGACCUGGCUCAUGAUGCCACUGUUGGGAAUCGUUGCAUGGAAAACAAAAAAAUUCUACACACACGCAAUGAUCUAUCCAUGGAGAUGCAUAUCAACUAGGGGGAGAGCAUGUCUACAUACCCUCGUAGACCGUAAGUGGAAGCGUUUCACAACGCGGUUGAUGUAGUCGAACUUUCUUCGCGCUCCACCUAUCGAGUACCGAACGUACGGCACCUCCGAGUUCUACACACGUUCAGCUCGAUGACAUCUCUCGCCUUCUUGAUCCAGCAAGAUGUCGAGGUAGUAGAUGAGUUCCGUCAGCACGACGACAUGGCGACGGUGAUGGUGAAGUAAUCUCCACAGGGCUUCGUCUAAGCACUACGAAAAUAUGACCAAGGUAGUAAACGGUGGAGGGGGGCACCGCACAUGGCUAGGCAAUUGUCUGGGCUGUGCUAGGGGCGCCCCCCUCACAUAUAUAUAAGUGGGAGGGAGAGAGGAGGCAGCCAGUGUGCGCCCCAAGUAGGAUCUGAAUCCUACUUGGGGUUUCCCCAAGUGGCGCCCCCCUUCCAUAAAACACUGGAGAGAAAAGGGAACGGGGAAGAGAGAAGGAAGAGGGCGAAACCCCUCUUUUCCUUCUCCCAAUCGGCCUCCUAUCAUAGUGGGGGGCGCCACCCUUUGUGGGCUGGUGUGCUCCCCACUCAUGGCCCAUAUGGCCCAUAUAUUCCCCCGGGGUUGUCCGGUAAUCCCUUCGGUACUCCGAUAAAUACCCGAUACCUUCCGGAAUGCUUCCGGUGUCCAAAUACCAUCAUCAUAUAUAUCAAUCUUUACGUCUCGACCAUUUCGAGACUCCUUGUCAUGUUCGUCACCAAAUCACAUAACUCAUAUAAUAUAAUAUUGUCGUCGAACGUUAAGCGUGCGGACCCUACGGGUUUGAGAACUAUGUAGACAUUACCGACACACCUCUCCGGUCAAUAACCAAUAGCGGAACCUGGAUGUCCAUAUUGGCUCCUACAUAUUCUACCAAGAUCUUUAUCGGUCGAACCGUUAUGACAACACCCUUUGUCCAUCGGUAUGUUACUUGCCCGAGAUUCGAUCGUCGGUAUCUUCAUACCUAGUUCAAUCUCGUUACCGGCAAGUCUCUUUACUCCUUCCGUAAUACAUCAUCCUGCAACUAACUCUUUAGUCACUUUCUUGCAAGGCUUCAUAUGAUGUGUAUUACCAAGAGGGCCCAGAGAUACCUCUCCGAUACUCGGAGUGACAAAUCCUAAUCUCGAUCUAUGCCAACUCAACAAACACCUUUGGAGAUACAUGUAGAGAAUCUUUAUAAUCACCCAGUUACGUUGUGACAUUUGAUAGCACACAAGGCAUUCCUCCGGUAUUCGGGAGUUGCAUAAUCUCAUAGUCAAAGGAAUAUGUAUUUGACAUGAAGAAAGCAUUAGCAAUAAAACUAAAGGAUCAAUUUGCUAAGCUAACGGAUGGGUCUUAUCCAUCAUAUCAUUCUCCUAAUGAUGUGAUCCCGUUAUCAAAUGACAACUCAUGUCCAUGGUUAGGAAACCUUAACCAUCUUUGAUCAACGAGAUUGUCAAGUAGAGGCUCACUAGGGACAUAGUGUUUGUCUAUGUAUUCACACAUGCAUUUAGGUUUCCGAUCAAUACAAUUCUAGCAUGAAUAAUAAACAUUUAUCAUAAAUAAGGAAAUAUAAAACAACAACUUUACUGUUGCCUCUAGGGCAUAUUUUCUUCAUUAUAUAUAUGUGGGAGGGGAGCGCAUAGCAGAAGCACAACAAUCCCUUAGCCAUGUGCGGCGCCCCCCUCCACCGUUUACAACCCCGGUCAUAUUUUCAUAGUGCUUAGGCGAAGCCCCACGGAGAUCACUUCACCAUCACCGUCACCAUGCCGUCGUGCUGCCGGAACUCAUCCAGUACCUCGUCGUCUUGCUGGAUCAAGAAGGCGGAGGACGGCACCGAGCUGAACGUGUGCUAAACGCGGAGGUGUCGUUCAUUCGGUACUCGAUCGGUUGGAUCGCGAAGAAAGGUCGACUACAUCAACCGCGUUGUCAAAUGCUUCCACUUACGAUCUACGAGGUUACGUAGACAAACUCUCCCCUGACAUUGCUAUGCAUCUCCAUGGAUAGAUCUUGCGUGUGCAUAGAAUUUUUUUUGUUUUCCAUGCAACGUUCCCCAACACAACUGUCUCUGGAUCCCCCUCUGGAUUAAAAGCUGCAUUGUUUGUCCACUUUUCAUAUUGUGUACCCGCUCUACCGGCUCCUCGCCCUCUACCAAAGUUACCGCUAGGAUCUGCAUCAAAAUCACCUCGGCCACCCCCGGUCAUUGCCGCCACCUGAACCGCGUCCUCUUCCACCACGUCCUCUCUUUUGGGCCAUAAUAAAAGGUCCCCAUUCCAUCUUCUCGACAUCGUGUUCCCCGGUGCCGCACUCUUCAUGCCGGUGACCCAACAAGCCACACAUGUAGCAAAAUACCGACAACUUUUCAAACUUUACUUGAUAAAAUUUAGUCUCUCCUGCCUUUGUGAUACCGAUAAAUCUGGUCAAUUUCUUAUUGACAUCUAGCUUAACUCUAGCUCUGAUGAGCUCACCAACAAAUCCAUUUGGAAGAACGAUCUGAAGAAAUGUCAUUCUGUCACCUGCCCGGCUCUUGCUGCCAUGUUUUUGACAAAUUGCUCCCUUUUUAGAACCAUGUGAGGGAGCUUAUGGAUCUGACACCAUGUCUCGACCUUGUCAAGUUUCACCGUUUUAGGGUUCUUGAACCCAUCAUAUUCUGCUAUUAUCAGCGCCAUUCCUUUAAAGUCACAAGGACCUUGAUGGAUUGCUUUGUUCCAGUCGGCCAAACAAUUGAACUGAACAGAGAACAAAUUUGGGUCAAUUCUGCACCACACAACCUCUCUGGCGGGAUUCCAUGUCGCCUUCAUAUCUGCUAUCAAGGCCCCUUGGCCAAAAGAUUUCUCUGUCAAAACCCUAGUCAACACCAACCACUUGGGCUUUUCUUCCGGUUCCUCAACUUCUUCUUCCCAAACCAGGUUAUCAAGCUCAUCCUCUUCAAGGUGUAGCCUCUCCAGGAGUCUGCUAGGAUCUUCCGAGCUCUUGCCCCUCGAUCUGCUUGCAUCGUCCUGUGUCUCCAUGACUUACAAUCGGUCUCUUACAUCACCUCUAGGGUUUGUCUGCGUUGAAACAGAAGAGAACUUGAUCCGCCCCGUGGAAGGCCGGUCAAGGAACAAGGCGCUCCAGGCGGCGCUCUUCAACCGCGGUGGGAAACUCUCGGCGGCGGCGGCCCGGCGGAGGAUAGGAGAACCCUAGGUGACAUGCUGUGGCUGCAUGCAACUGUAUGCUUUUGAUACCCCGCAAUUUAUCUUGACUAAGAUAUUUGGUCAUUAGCCACGUUGCUGCACCAGUUGGUUAAUGGGAUUUUUUCUACUAAAAAAAGACAUUAGGUCAUUGUUGUCAUUCCGCUCCCAAAUACUCCGUAUGUAAGUACCUUUUUUCUUCUUCCAGAAAUACGUGCAGUUCCUUUUGUUGUGUUUAUAUCUGACGUUAAUUCAUGGAUCAGAAAUGAUGUCCAAGAAAGCUGAGAAAGAAAUAUAACGAUUCCUAUAAAUCAUCAAAAAUCUUUUGAGUGGGAGUGAAUGGUACUGUCACCAAGCAUUUCGUGCUCUCAAUCAAGCUGCAGGUAUGAUACUUUAUUUGUUGAAGAUCAUUUGUUGUAAUUAAGAUGUUUAAAAUGGCUAAUUACUAUAACUAGUUUUCUAGGUCGAUGUAUUCGGCAUAAAUUUGACUACGGAGGCAUAAUUUUGAUCGGUAUGUUACUCACGUCUCACUCCCAAAUGUUUCAUGGCUUGAAAGAAAGUUGGUUCUUAUAGUUUUCUAUUUGAUUGAUUUGUAUUCCAAUGGAUGCAAUAAGCUGGUAUCUUAUCCACAUUUGUUCUUGAUUCAAAAUUAGUUAUGAUCACUGUUGUUAUUACAGAUGAGCGAUAUCGAAGAGAGAAACCUUCUACACAUUUCAAAAUGGCUGAAAACUCAAUUAAGCAUUAUGGUAGCUUCCAGGAGACAACAGAUAAGAUGGAGAAGUUUUUUCAGAUAUUAUUAUGCAUUUGAUUUUCUAAAUGUGGCGAAAGAGCCAGGAUGUCUCUGACAAAGUAUAUAAAAUAGAAACGCCUAAACUAUGACUCUAGCAACUAUGUGGCGUAUUGACAGGUGGGCCCUUGCAUGCAGAGAUUCUUUUGCAAAAUAUGAUGCCACGCUCUCCACACAGUUAUCGUCAGUCAUGCCAGUUCAACAAAAUACAUAAACAGAACCAUGUUUUGUAUUGUAUGUGAAUCCAGUUGAGGGACCGUAUUUGGGGUACAUUAAAAUUAGGUACCAAAAGAGCAUGAGUGAUUUUUUCUCGUCAGGUAAUGAGGCUCCGCGCUUGAUUGAAACUUGGGUUGAAACUUUUGGAGCGACUUGCUUCUGGGCUGAGACCACGCGGUGCCGGAGGCUCCCGUCGAUGCUCUUCUCGCCGUCACGCACGGUCUCAAACCGAGGCCACGGUUCCCCUCCUCCUCCUUUGCCAGCUAAGGCUCCCGCUUCCCCUUCCGCCGCACAUCGCCGCGGCUCUCACGCAGACGCCUCGCCCGUCUCACACGCGUCGCUGCUCCUCCGGCUGCACGCCGCUGUGCUCGUCGGCGGCCACCGCCACGGCGCGGUCCUCUCCGCUCAGCUGGUGCACGUGUAUACUAGGCUCGGGCAGAUCGAGCACACGCAGGCGUGCUCGAUGGAAUGCCCAGGAGGAACUCCUUCGCGUGGAACGCCGUGAUCGAGGGCCUCGUCUACCCAGGCCGGUUCUCCGAGGCGCUGGAGACGUGCGGGGCGAUGGUCAAAGAUGAUUCGGCUGCGGCGGAUGGUUUCACGUACCCACCCGGCAUCAAGGCGUGUGCCGCGCUCAGACUCCGAGCGGUUGAGCAGGGCCGGAUGAUAAGAGAGCAUGUGGACUGUGGAGUGCAGGCAGGCGUUGCCCGUGCCGUGGCUAUGCGACGCCCAAUGUGUUUGUGCAGUGCACGCUCGUGGACAUGUUUGCCAAGUGUGGGUGCUUGGGCGAGGCGAGGAGUGUGUUCGAGAGCAUGCAGGAAAGGGAUGUGGCAGCGUGGACCGCUAUGAUCGGAGGAGCCGUGCAUGCAGGAGAUUGGCUCGAUGCGAUGAGUUUGUUCGAGGGGAUGAGAUGGGAAGGAUUCUUGGCUGAUUCGGUGAUCAUCGCCACUGUCAUCCUAGCAUUUGGCAGGGUGAAAGAGUUAAUUACGAGCUGGAACGGCGUUGCAUGGAUGCGCAGUACGUAAGAUGUGGAGUUGCUGAUGAUAACUGUGUUUCCAAUGCUCUCGUUGAUAUGUACUGCAAGUGUGGCUGUCUGGAGAUGGCUAAUCAUCUGUUCCAUUCCGUCGAUUUCAAGGAUGUUGUCUCUUGGGGUAUUCGAAGAACGGAAUGUAUCAUGUGAGUGUCAGUUUGUUUACUGAAAUGGUUGCUUCAAGGUUAAAACCAAAUUCUAAUACCAUGACAAGUAUAUUUCCGAGUCUUUCUGGCCUAAAAUUAUUCAGGCAUGCAAAAGAGGUCCAUGGCUUCUCCUUAAGACAUGGACUUGACAUGAGCAAGUUUCUGGGGAGCGCAUCUAUUGACUUCUAGAGUAGACACGGAUUCAUAAGAGAGGCAUGAACUGUAUUUGAGCAGAUAAUGUUGAGCUUGGGGGAGAGUAUGUCAUGUCAGAGAAACAUCUACUGUCUUCAGCAAGCUCUUAGAAGAUUUUCUUCAUAGGAAACAAUUCCAUAUCUGUGGAUACAGGCGAGUAAAAGGUGAAUUGGAUAAUAGUUAGUGCAUUGUACUUCUUCUGUAGUCAUUAGUGCAUUACUGCAUUUUGCCUACAGUCUUAUGCACCUUUUUGCUACUAGUUAUUAUGUAAUUAUAACUGAAUAAACAGAGACUGUGCUAAUUUAUUUAAUGUUAGAACUUCGCACAUCAUUUUCUUUGACUGCAAUCAGGCUUUACAUGACAUGCUGAAUGUCUUCAUUAUGCAGUCCUGUUUUGUUGCGGGGCAUAUUUUUCCUGGAUUGCUGAGUACCCUUGAAUCCUUUUUGCUCCAUUAGCAACCUAAUCUGUUCUAAUGCAGAUUUUCUUUGGUAAUUACCAGGAUUGUUUUCAUGACUUCACCAAGUACUCUAUUACUGUAAUGUACAGCUGUUGGCAUGAUAAAUCAGAAACAAAAUGAUACUUUUCAACUAGGUGAUUUCCAGAAUUCCAGCGCAGACAGACUUCUUACUUCUGUACUUGUGCCGCGGGCAAUUGCAAUUCCCAAUCUACUAGUCUGAAGUUCUUUUAUGUGACACCCAAAGUGUUUUUUUUUCUUAUAGUAUUCGGAAGAAACAGCAACACUCCAGUCCAAGUUUGACGUCCAGAACUCCAGAUGUUGAUGUUUGCAAAGAAAAUAUGGAGCUAUGCAUAUUGGAUUUUGAGGGAAAAGUCAGCAGCCCUUCCGGUAACUAUCGGAAGUAACAAAUGAUCCUUUAAAACAUCAGUUUUACCAUGAUUCUGAAGCUUGUUCACCACAGACGCGGCAAGUAGAUCAGGUGACACAUAGGCCAGGCAUCUAAAUGUAGUAGUCUCUCAGGGUUUAGCAUACUACUCCAAAGCAUGCUCAUGCUUAAAUCUCUUCACCGGUUGCUAUCAUACAGUAGCGACAAUGUUUCCAUCAAAUAGUUCCAAAAGCAGAAAGAAUAAAGUGGAUUACGUAAAGCAUUCAGAUUUCUCUUCUGAUUCAAGGUACGAAUACAUGCACAAGGAUAAUCAAUCAGUGGAAUUGUUGAGCCUAGGCAAAAGAGUGUGUCACUGCAUGUCUACAUCAGUUAGUGGAUGCCCUAUCUAUCUGAUUGUUGCUGCUGUCUGAAGUAUGUGCAGAGGACAACAAGUUGGUCUACUAUUACAGCUUUUGUUAUAUCCAUUCUAUCUAUUUCCAGGAAUCGGUGGGAGAAGAGGCUGCUAACUUACUGACUUUUAUGCCCAUGGCGGCGAUGCACGCUGAUGGUUCAGGUAUGCCCGGUCUGACAUACGUACUUCCCAUCGUUACUUUUUCUUCUCAAAGCAAGAAACGUUGCUGUUUGAUCAUAUUACUUGUUUCUGGACAGCUGUAUCUUGUAUGACGCCACUGUCGAAGAAGAGCUGCUGUGACUUUUCAUCUCUUGAAAACCUUUCAUGGAUCAACUAGUGAUGUCUCCCAGGACUAAGUAGACUAAAGCACUGUGUUUUUCCACUGUUGUUGUUUUUAUUGCCCUUUGCUAAUUAGUUCCUUAUGGUGUAUCGAAGAGAGAAAUGAAAGCGAAUGGGCAUCGUUAUCCUAUCCAGGUCACAUCUGCACACCAACUCCGAAAGUUCCAAUGGCCGGUAUGAUUUUGGGCCGCCUGCCCUUCCUACAACGGUAAACAUCUCCCACCACAGAAUGGACUCAAAAAAAAAUAAUCUCCCACCACUAGAUCAGAUAGUAAAAUGACGGUGCAACAAAAACAGAUUAAAUGCAUUUCUAUGCCAGGGUCAGGUGACAGGAUAAAUGACGGUACAACAAAAACAGAUUAAAUGCAUAUCUAUGCCAGGGUUAGGUGACAGGCUGAAUGACGGUGCAACAAAAACAGAUUAAACGUUUGCAACUGAAGCCACUUACAGGAAAACGAGAGGUGUCAUUUCAUAAUCUUAUUUCUUGUUGCAAACAAUAGGGAAUACACUUACCAAAUCAGACGUGCACACAUUAUUAAAACAUAGUAAUACAAGGCAAUAGAGUUAUAGUAAUUCAGUGAAAAUAUAAACAUAGGAAGUGACUCAUGACACAAUUGAGCAUUCUACAUCCAAAAUGCCACCGGAUCUUGAAGGAACGGCUUCGUGGCUUCUUUAGGCACUUUGUAGUACUGCAGCCGACGGGUAUUGCCAGUUGUCAGUUCUUUAUCCUUGUUGAAGCUGAGAGAGAAUGUGGUGAGACGAUAGAAGCGACGACGACCGGGUAGCUGCGCACCAUGAGCAACGUCGUCCUCAUCCAUUCGGUCCUGAUCAGGGCUGACACACUGUACGAGGCAGAAUUCGCUCUUGCCUCCCAUGUAGACAAGGGUAGCACCAACAUGCAUAUCACGUGGGCGCUCACUUAACAGAUUCUCCUUGCAGAGCUUCACUACAGGGGGAGGGCACAGACCAUCAUCAGUGUCAUAGAUGGGCACUUGGCAGCUGUAAAUUUGGCCAAGGGUGUCCGGUUCUUUGGAGAGCCCGACAAAGCAGUUGAGGCCCGGGUCAAAGUGAGCGCAGCCAGCAAAGGGCAGCUUCCAAUUGCCAAGGAGUUUCCAUGAACGUUUCUGGGUGUCAAAGGUGUAGGUGGCCUCGGCUGCGCCAGUCUUGGUGCUGAAGAGGAAGGUCCGUUCCUCAGGAUGCAAAGAGUAGGAGGUGACGUGAUCAACAUAGAAUGGCGGUUUCUCAGAGAGCUGUUUCCAUGACCAACCCAUGCUGCAAGACUGAUCCUGCAACCGGGGGGAGAGCACCUCCGAGCAGAGCAUCUCGAAGGAGCAGAAGCUCAGACAGAAUAACUCGUUGCCGACAGGAAGGUAGUAGAUGGGAGGAAUAGGACAUAACUGCCCAGGGGCAAAGGUGACGCACUGCGAGCGAACGUCCAACAUUGGGAAGUAGCUCUCAGAGUCAGCUUCGGGAUCUCUGGAAAACACCGCCAAAAUCUUGGCGCCAAAGGCUGACGUGAAGUACGACACGAGAGGUGCCAUUAUGCGGCAGAAAGGCUGGGAAAAAUGCACCGGGGCUGGAUGGCCUGAGCCAGCAGUAUGCUUCAACAAGUUUACCAUGCGGAUGCUGUAUCCAUGGCACCAGUCAUCAAAGACAAGGUAAAGUCGCUCACGGCCACGCUUUGGCAUCCUUGUGCCCCUUUGCUCGUCGCCUUCUUGUAACCGGGCGGACAUGGUCUGACUUUUUUCCUGGAUUAUUACUCGUACUCGUACAUCUGAUUCCUUAGAUUCGGCGUUGCCGUUGGCCCUUGAUCCCUGUAAUCAGAUGCAAAUCAAUCAAGCACAACCAACAUCAUACAGCAAAUCAACCCGACAAAUCCAAGUAUCCAGAUCUGAAUCGAGGGCGACUCACCAACGGAGCGGUUUUAGCAAUUGAUUGUGUUGGGAGACAAUGGUAGGAGGCGGGCGGCGGCGGUGGGAGACAGACCUAAAAUCCUCAACUCCUCAGCCUAGAUUCUCGUUUAAAAUUCUGGAGUCAGGAUACGUUCGGGAGUACAUUCUAGCCCAUUAGGCUAGAAUGUGGCUCGACUAGCCCUGGACUUUCAAGCUGAGAACGGAGGCCUGGACUAGGCCCGGUCGGGAUGAGUUGGUAUUGUCUGUACCAAUAGAAAAUAAAUAACUACUCCCUCCGUUCCUAAAUAUUUGUCUUUCUAGACAUUUCAAAUGACUACUACAUACGAAUGUAUGUAGACAUAUUUUAGAGUGUAGAUUCACUCAUUUUGCUUCGUAUGUAGUCACUUGUUGAAAUGCUUAGAAAGACAAGUAUUUAGGAACGGAGGAAGUAUUACUCAAAAAAUUAUAAAAAAAAUAACCAGAACAUUAUCAGAAACCCCUCUAGGAAUCAAAAUGAGAUUACAAUUCCCUCCUCGCCCAGAAGAGAUGGUCAGUGCGGCGCUCUGGCCCCGGCGUUCCAGCGGCCACUCGUCCGGCGGUCCAGGCAGCAUGUUGUUUCACCGAGGAGGCACAACUGGUAGGCGUCGACAAGCCGAGGGAAGGAGGAGCAUCUCUGGCUCGAGCUCGAGGUGGAGGAGGUGAACGAUGGGCGGUGGCGCUCUUGCUCAAGGUGGAGUGGCUGGACGGCGGAAGACUGCGCUCUGUAUCCUCACGUGCCAGUUCAAUCACGGCGGGGGAAGGCGAGUGGCGGUUGUGGGGGCGGCCACGGGCGGACGAGGUGCACCAGUGGAGGGGAAUGGAGACGAGGGAUCGAAACGGUACGGGUUACUUGGCGGUGGCAGGAGGCAAUAAUUUUUCUUAACUCCCGCUUCCAAGUUUUCAAGGAGCUCGGGUUUCCCAACUCCACAACUCCUCAGAUUUUACACUACAAGCUUAGCUAGCUUCUUUUCUUCAAAACCAGGAGUUAGACCGUUCGGGGCAGCUCCACACCCGGAGUUGACGGGGUAUGGAGUUGGAGGGCUACCGAACCCGUCCAAAGUAGCGAAGGGAUCGUUGGCUUAUAAUUAUAAUAAAUGGACGAAACCCUAGCAAGUUCCCGGUAACCGGUGGUCCUUGUGGGCUGUCCACUAAGAUUUUUUCUCGGCCCCAGCCCAUUAACGAACGAAACGAAACCAGUCGAGCCGAGGAAGCAAGCGGAUCCUAUCUACUACUUCCUCUGUUCCGAAUUACUUGUCGUGGGAAUAAAUGUAUCUAGAUGUAUUUUAAUGCUAGAUACAUUCAUUUCUGCGACGAGUAAUUUGAAACGGAGGGAGUAUUUGGGGCUCGGAUCAUGGAAUUCCCUAUUCGCCGCUUACUACAGCAAAUAGUCGCCGCUUUGCGAGAUUAAAAAAACGCAAAAAAAGGUCCCACUAGGGAUCGAAGCGACAACCUCCUGUAGAGGUACACGCCGCUGUAGCCACACCGACUGGCUCGUGGAUGUAUGAAAUAAACAAUGCUAAACUUAAAGAAACUAAAAGAGACGACAAAACUUAAAACCAAUUCGCGGAAAUUCCAAAAAACUUUUGUUCCUUCUACUAGUUCUUUCUGUUUUUUCUUCACAGUCCUAUUCUGUUCUUUCUUCUUCUUUUUAAAUAUUUUCCCUUUUUCUUUUUAAGCUUUUCAAAAAGAUCAUAUAUGGUUCAGAAUUUUCAAAAAUGUUCUUUUUGUCAAAAUUUGUUAUUAUUUCUGAAAUAGUGUUCACAUUUUCAAAAUUUUGUUCACAUUUUCUAAAAAUGUUCCUGAUUAUUUAUGUUUUCUUUCUUUUUCUUUUUCUUCAAAAGAAAUUCAAAAUAUUCAAAAAAAUUGUAUUUUUCUAAAAUGUUCAGUUAUCGAAAAAAUGUUCUCAAAAUUCAAAAAUUGUUCUCGUUACACAAAAAAGUUCAAAACUUUCGAAAUGCAGAAAAUGUAGCGGAUUUCAUAAAAUGUUCGCGCUUCCUAAUUUGUUCAGGAUUUUUCAAAAUUGUUCUAUAUUUCAAAAUUUGUUCUCAAGAUUCAAAAAACGUUUGUGCUUUAAAAAAUUGUUCACACUUCCAUAUUUGUUCAGGAUUUUUAAAAAAAGUUCUCAAUUGUUUGUUUUCAGAAUUACUUUUUUGCGUAAUCGUAUGUUCAAAAAGUUGUUCACUACAGUAACUAAUUCCGGUUUGACACAGCAUACCUUGUGCUAAGUUAUUUUCGAUGUGGGUUGUUCCACUACAAACAAUGCUAGUUAGAUGGAGUGGCUGGGAGCACGCUCUUCCAAUCUGUCGGCGCCUUCCUCUGUUUUUGCUUUCUUUUGCUUUCAGAUCUUCAACAGGCGCAUAAAAGUUUCACGCGCUAAAAUAGUUGUAGUGCGUCAUUGUAACAUUUUUAGUGCGUCGGAUUCAAUAUUGGUUUAGCAGAUGUCCAAAAACACACGCCCAAAAAGACACCGUAGUGCAAAUUAUGAAGCGCGCACAAUCCGGUACCCCAAUUUUGCAGCUUCUGAUAAUGUCUUUUAGCGCGUGUCCAAUCCUUUUUGCGCAUGCACUAUUUUAUAGCUUCUGCUGGAGUUGUUUGGCGUUUAAAAAAUCUGAAUUUUAGCAUGCGAAGCAGUUUUUGUGCGUCUGUUGGAGAUACUCUUAAGCGCCGGUUCGCAAACGGGUGCAUGGAGCAUGCACACCCUCCCGCUGGCGAGCUGGGCCAGCCCAUUAUGUUUUGUUUAUUCUGUAAAAAAAUAUUAAAAAAUCGGCUGCCGGAGUCAAACUGGCGAUGAAUUCCUUCAUCUCCAAUGACUACCUCAUCUAACAUCAAGCGAUUCAUAAUUUGUUUUUUUAUUUCUUCUCUUCGGUCGCGGGAAUCCUCUGGUUUUGGGAACUGGGAAGCUUCUUCCCAAACUGGUUUUUUUCCCAGUUCGUGGUCAUUUCAAGGGUGGUUUUUAUUUCGAUUUUCUUUUUUUGUUCUUUUUAAAAAUUAUUUUUUUAAAUCGAUGAUUUCCAACUUUUGCUUUUUUAUAAACAAAUCUAUGAAAUUUUUCACAAAAUUGAUUAAUUUCUUCAAAAUAGGACGAAGUUUUUCCUAAUUUGAUGAUUUUUUUUCAAGUUCGAUGAAGUUUUUUCCAAAAUCGAUGAAAUUUUUUCAAAUGUGUUGAAUUUUUUUCAAACCUUUUCAAAUCCGAGGACUUGAUUUUCAAAUUUUGGGAACUUCUUUCAAAUCCGAUGAAAAAAAUUCAAAUAUGUGAACAUUUUUCAAAUUUCAUCGAAUUUGAUAAAAGUUCAUCGAAAAAUGAAAAAAAUCAUCGAUUUGAAAAGAGUCCACGAAUUUGAAAUGAUUUCAUCAUAUAAGUAAGAAAAAAGGCAAAAAAAAAAUGGGAAAAAGGAAAAAAGAAUCAAGAAAAACAAAAGGAUAAAAUGUAACUUAUCGGAUCUUCCCAAGGACGCGUUUGGUUGCCCGCAUUUGGGCCAACCAGGCCCGCGGGGAAGAAACCGGCCUAUUUGGUUGCCCGCGUCUCCUAUUGUCCCUGCACCGAACGACGUUUAAAGCGCCUCCGAGCCAGGUCCGUGAGCUACGCUCAGAUCUGCAGUUUCUUGCGAGUCAGGCCGAGCGGAGCCACAACGAGAGCAUGUGGGUGAGCCCCUUGCACGAGAGGAGACGUGAGGGAUGCGAGUUCUUUACAUGCUUCUUCUUCCUCCUCCACUAACCUCAUGCCUAAUCUCCUUUCUUCCUUCUCCUCUCUAAUCUACACAAUGGUGCUUGGAUUCGAGAUAAGCUUCACACAAAAAAGAUGCACAUCAAUGUUAUGGUUCCAUUCAGGCAAUCAGUUUGUAGUUUUGUUGGCCGUAAAUGUUUUAUUUUUUGUUCAUGUUUGAAGUUGUUUCAGACGAAUUUUGUCAGAUUCGUCGCCUACGAUCGACCGUUUGGAAUUUCCUUUGACCGACAACUUCAUCAUGCAGUUCCACAUGAUGUUGGUGUUGCAAGUUUUUCGUUUCAAUGAUCCUACUACAUUGACGCCACUAUUACGCGCACACUAUAUUUCUUCUCCUCUAUCCUCUGUCUCACAGCCCUCCUGUUCGUCCCUUUCGACUCUGACAUUGUUCCUUUUGGCCUCCUUGCCUGCAUCCUACUGUAUGCAAUCCUAAUGCAUAACACACACAUCUUAUUAGCAGCAAUUGUCUGUAUUAUUAUUGGUCUACACACACAUUUUUUAUUGCAAACCUUUUUGCCGCGUAUCACACACAUCUUGUUAUAUUAAACGGUUUCUAUUAUCUUGGCUCAACGCAAACAGUUCAUCCGAGUGAACUUUUUGCCCUUUAUCGCACACAUCUUGAUUUGGCUGAACGUUUUUUUUGUUCCGCCUAAUCAUAAAUUGUUCAUCCGAGUGAACCGUAUGCCGUAUACCGCGCACACCUUCAUCGGACUGCCGUUUCUGUUCUUCUGCCUCAUCGUAAACAGUUCAUUAAACUGAACCGUAUGCCCUACAUCGCACACGCAACGAAAUAUAAACCGUGUUUGAUGCAUCCGUCAUCGCAAAAGUUUUGCACCUUUUUUGACGGUUUUUUACAUCAUCGCUUGCGAUUAUUGUAUCGCACACAGUUUCGUCGAAGUGUCUCUGACCGUAGUGUCGCGUUAGCAGCAUCCUGCAGUAGUAUUAUGACCGAAGUCAUUUCACACACUUCGUUUUUAUAAAGUUUUUUGACAAUAAAUGACCACGAUUUGUCCCUCUUCUAGCCUACGCAUGACCAAACUAGCCGGGCGGGAAGCUUGCGCGGUAAACUGCGCGGUUGCGCGGGAACAAGCUCACCAAUGAUACAUUUGGCGCCUCUUCGAGCCCAUGCGUGGUCAAACGAAAAGCGUGCGGUGUUCUCAAGCGUGCACUCGAAUCCUCCGCUAUGAAUGCUGUGACAAGACAUGACGAUUACAGGCCGGCCGACCCCCAUUUAUUAUAGUGACCAUUUAAUCCUUGUGUCUCUUCAACUUUCGAUCGCGCCCCACCAUUGCAAGAAGCACACCCACCACGACAAAUUCUUAGAGGGUAUCCUGCGCUGCUCCAAUGGCGCUCCGAGCGGAUGCCGAUGACGAGCAGCAGUUCACCAUACAUGCCAUGGUGGACACCCACAGAAGGUUCAUGGAGCUCUUGGUGGUGUACACCAACAACCCGGUCUGGGUGGAGCACUCCAUCCAUAUCAUGGAGUUGUUGCUUACUGAGGAGAAGUACAAGGUGGUCGGGUUCGACCUCGAGUACACCCGCGCUCGUGUCGGGUCUCGUCCCAAGGUCGUCGUCGCCUAGAUAUGCAUGCGUAAUCACGUCCUCGUCUACCACUACUGCCUGGCCACAAGGCCUUGCGAGCGUUUCGCCAGGUUUGUCAACAUCCCCCACUACAUGUUCGCUACGGUGGACAUCACCAACGAUGUAAAGGUGCUCAAGAAUUCAGGCAUCGCCCGCUAGAAUCUUGUCGACAUUCGGAGCCAAUGCAAGAUCUAGGGUAGCAACGAGCAUGAGAAGGACUCACUGGUUCACCUCACCGAGGCCAUCAUUGAUCCCUACUAUAAAGACAUGAAGGAUUUCUGCAACAAGGACAAGCGUGCCUAGCACUCGGCCUGGAUGGAGAAACUCGACAUAGCUCACGUCGUGUACGUGGCCAAGGAGGCGUACACGAGCAACGAGAUGUACAUGCGGAUCGUUCACAUGAGGAAGUUCCUCCUUCCCCAAAACGGCCAGGGAUCCAGACGGAAGCAGAGCAAUGGCAAGUGUCGUCGUAACAAGUAGAUGAUUAGAUCCUCGUUUCUCCUUGUUUAGUAUGCAUGUGUGGAAAUGUUAUGUGUGUAGUCACUUGUGUAAUUUUAUGCUUAAUUUGGUUAUGCAGUGCUGUCUUUUUAAGUGUAUAUGUUGAUGCUCUGUAGACAGAGCAAAUCACAUCACACACGGACUAAACGAUGGAACCCGUCGGUGAUGAUUUCAUCAAUCACUGACAAUUGUAUACCAGCAAUCGUUUGCUCACAAGACACGCGGCUUGUUAACAUGAACCGUCUGUGUUGUUGUCGGUCUUUCAACACAUUUUCGAUUACAGACCUGUUUGCCAUGUAUCACACACAUCUUAUUAAGUUGAACCGUUUAUGUUCUCUUCCCUUAUCGAAAAUAGUUCAUUCGAGUGAACCGUAUGCCGUAUAUCACACACAUCUUGAUCUGACUGACCAUUUUGUUUCUUUCCCUAAUAGCAAACACUUCAUCAGAGCGAACUGCAUGUCGUAUACCGCACACACAUUGAUAUGGUUGCCCGUUUCUGUUGUUCUGUCUAAUCGCAAGAAGUUCGUAUGGAUAAACCGUAUGCCUAGCAUCGCGCACGCAACUAAAAUCUAAACCGUGUUUGAUGUAUCCGCUAUCGCAAACGUUUUGCAUCUUUUUUAACGGUUUUAUUACAUCACCGUUUGCGAUUAAUGCAUUGCACACAGUUUUGUCAAAGGGUCUCUGAUCGUUGUGUCGCGUUAGUAGCAUCCCGCAGUAGCGAUCCCUUUAUCGCGUUGGGUGCAAGUGUUUAAUUGUUUGUGCAGAUGCAUAUAUUGGAGACUUCCGUGUAUCUCCUACUAGAUUGAUAUUUUGGUUCUCAAAAAUAAGGGAAAUACUUAUCUCUACUUUGUUGCAUCACCCUUUCCUCUUUAAGGGAAAAUCAACGCAAGUUCAAGAAGUAGCAGGGUUUUGGAGCAAUAUCAUUAAGCACUUGAGCAACAAGAUCAUUAAGCAACACCUCACCCCCUUUUAAUAGUAUUGGCUUUUCUAUGGACUCAAUGUGAUCUUGGAUCACUUCAACAAAAUGAAGAGUCUUUAGCUUUUUGCCAAUCCAUUCCCUUAGCAUUUUGAGGGGUCCACAUAUCUCUAGUCCUUGCCAUGCCAAUCACUGAACAUCCUGAAAUGUUUAUUUUGAAUAGACAUAGAGAUAUAUGUUGUUAUGAAUUAUCAAAACCACCCGGGAUUAGUUGCACUUUCACGUUCCUUACACGUCCGGGGUUUAUGGGCCCCCCUUGACAGUUCACUUUGAAUAAAACUCUUUCAGCAAGACCCAACUUUGGUUUUAACAUUUGCCUAAUAACAACUAAAAUUUGUAUAGGGAGUAAUUAGCCCAAGGAGUCUUAAUCUACAACCCGGGCUAAUGCUCCUCAUGAGUGUUGGUCCAAACUAGGCGAUGUCCGGUGCCCCCUAGGCAACCAGUGUCUCGGCUAACCCGACGUAUGGCCCAUCCGGUGUCCCCUGAGAACGAGAUACGUGUGACUCCUAUCAGGAUUUUUCGAUACAUCGGACGGUCUUGCUGGUUUUGUUUUAUCAUUGUCGAAAUGUCUUGUGCGCCGGGACUUCGAGCUUGAUCGGGUUAUCUCGAGAUGAAGGUUUUUCCUCCGCGGACCAUGAGAAUUUAUAAUGGACUAAGUUGGGAUACCCCUGCAGGGUUUAAUCUUUUUGAGAGCCGUGCUCGCGGUUAUGGAACUUGGAGAUUUAUAAUAUCCGGUUGUAGAAAACUUGACACUAAAUCCAAUUAAAAUACACCAACCGCGUGUGUAACCAUGAUCGUCUCUUUUUGAUAAAAUUCGGGAAGAGAAUACGGUGAAGUUAUGUUUGAAACAUAAGUAGUCCAAGAUCACUCUUUGAUCAUGUUAAUUUUCGACCGACAUGCGUAUUCACUCGUCUUAUUCUUGUACUCGUAAGUUAGCCACGUAUACAUGCUUAGUGUUUGUUGCACCCUCACCACUUAAUCAUGCCACUCCCAUAAGCUUUGUUAGUUUUGAAACUGUGGGUAAUGAGAUUGCUGAGUCCCUAUGCCUCAUAGAUUACUACAAACACAGCUGCAGAUACCUCUGAGACAAACACAGGUGAAGCGCCCAGAGCUCCAGUGGAAGUAUGCCGAGGAUCGUGGGCGUACCUACGUCUCAUUUCCGGACGACCACUAGUCACGUCUUAGUCGGAUAGAUCUCAGGAUUUGUAGCAUGGGUGGUCUCUUCUCGUUUGUUUUCGUCCGUAGCCAAACCCUGUCUUCAUUUGAUGAAUGUAUGAAUGUUUUAAUUACAUGUUGUAGACAUGUGGUGAAUGUAAACCUAUAUCUCGUACUCUCAUAUCUUCAGUAAAUGAUAUGUGCGAAGCUAUAACCAUCCUACGACGGUCUAGUAUGCGCUUAUGCCCCUAAGUCGUGUCUCGACACAUGUGGAAUAUAGUCGCAUACCCUGUUUAAGAAUUCAUCCGAUUAACCAGUUAAUUUGCCGAUUAAUCCCUACUCGUAGGGUCAUCAAGUAGCCGAUAAACUGAUAAAUCAUCCGAUUAAUUGAUUAAAUGGCCGAUUAACUUGCCGAUUAGCCUAUUAAUCCCCUACUCGCCAGCCAACCGAGCAGUUACCAGUUAACGAUUUCCUCAACAAUGGUCGCAUAUCGGGAGAUCUCUAUGAAAUUUUAUUAAUGUACUUAUUUCCAGAUUUGUACACAUAAGUGACUUGUUACAGUGAAACUAGAUUCGUCGGCUCUAUCCCUUUUGAUGGACAACAAAGGCAUAAACACACUUGAUGUUAGCAUAACGGCUCCAGAUUAUGUGACGUUAGUAUAAGAUACAGUUCAUGUUGAAGCAUACGAUCACAAUGAUGUAUGCUGCUGGGCAUGAUAACUUAUCUUUGGAAAUAAUCAUAUGGUUGUCUCUUAUGGCUUAAUCUUCUCAUAUGAAAUGUCAGCAUUUUGCUUUUGCUUGGAGUAUACACAUUUCUGAAAAAACUACCAUUCUUUUUUUUCAUUUUGCAGUGGAAGUUUGUCCAACAGGCAUAUGCGUGUCUUGUUGCGCUUUUCCAACCGUGGCUGCAAAAUCCAGUUUUGUGUCUGUUGUUACAUGAUUGAUCAUGGGUGUUAUAUCACACAUGAAUUGCAGUAUAAUAUGCCUAUUCCGAUCUACAUACAUGAUAAGAGCAUGGUUAAUAGUUUAGCCAGUUGCUGGCUAUAUGGUCUUGCCACAUCAUCUAUAGUCAAGCUUAUAGCCGGCAGAUAUAAUAGUUGCAUAUAAUUUUUUUUUGCGGUGAAUAAACUUGCAUUACUCAAUCAAUAAGUCCUUACAAUCAAGAGAUACUAUCUCCAUCACCUCAUCCGGGCCAGCCCCUAACCAGGUCAUGGUAAAUAUGUGCUAGUUUUUAGAUACAUGACCCACCUCACUCUCUCACAACAUGCUUAGGAACGUGUGUUGCAGCCGGCUGUUAAUCAGCAGCAGUAUUGUAUUUUUUUCCCUAAUGUUUGCUAAAAUUGUCUCCCUGGGUAAGACUAGCCACAAUGGGUAGUAACAUAGAGUAGUAACAUGCCUCAUGUUACUACUCUAUGUUACUACCUUUAUAGUGAGGAGUAACAUAUGUGUGGUAACAUGCAACACUUUAUUUAUUAGGCUAUAGCAUCUUGCCUUGAUACGUGUGAUGUUACUCAUACUACUAGUAACUACCUAUGUUACCACAUGUCUCUCUUUCUUUAUUUAUUGCUUGCCACAUCAUUUAUUUUAUCUAAAUAUGUGUGAUGUUACUAUCUAUGUUACUUGAGAGUCAUUAGGGUUAAUUAGAGAAUUGUCGCUUUCUUAGGGGUCAAGUAAACCUUACUUGGGAGUCAAGUAAACCUCUCUAUAUAAAAAGAGGAGAUAUAUCAAUCUAAUCAAGCAAGAAUUAAAAAGGAAAUCCCUUCCUUCUUGCCCGGUCAUGGGCAAAAGCCCCCCCCCCCAGCCGGCCCUCUCGCGCCCUCCUUCUAGCAGCGCCAUAACAAUUUGGUAUCAGUUAGCUUCGGUUUGAUCAUGUCUUCACCGCCGCCCAACCCGUCUCUUCUGCUGUCGACCACCACGCCCGUUGCCCCGCUCCUGCCCGCGCCGGGAUCCUCCAUCUCGCCCGCCCCCGCCGUCCUCACCCCGGAGGAGAUGUCUGGGGAGCUGCGGGACCUAACCCAGGCGGUCAAGGAGAUCCACCUGUUCUUGGUCGGGUCCUACGGGUCGCACCCGGCUGCGCCGUCCAUCGCUGGCACCGCGCUGCCGUGGUAGCCGCUACACCAGGCGGCCUCCGCCGCGCUCACCGGGCCGCUGUAGCUGCCAUCCACCGCCCCGCCCUGGCCGCAAUGGCAGCCGCCGCUCCUGGCGGCCUCCGCCGUGCCCGGCGCUCCGCCGCAGUAGCCGUUGCCACUGCCCCAGGGCGUCCUCGCCGCGCUCGCCGGGCCGCUGCAUCUGCCAUCCACCGUCACCACCGCCCUGGCUACAGUGGCAGCUGCCGCUCCUGGCGGCCUCCGCCACGCCCGGUGCUCCGCUGCAGCAGCCACCGCCGGUCAGUUUCGGCCCCGCAUCGACCGCGCCGGCGGGAGUCCCGAUCCACCAGAUCAAGUUCUUGUCGUCGCCAUUAUCGCUUCCCCAGGGCAUCCCCAUCCAGCAGAUCAAGUUCCCGCCGUCGCCGUCACCGUCACCGCUUCCGGCUUGGAUCACUACCCACCACGUGUCGGCGGCAGUGAGGCUGCAGGCUGCAGCGCGUCGGCGUGUGCGGGAGAUGCGUGGUCUGCAGCUGCCGCUCCUCCCAGCUGCGCUUCGCUGCGCAAAGGACCUCGAUCUCGUCCGCUACGUCGGGGAUCUUGGGCAUGCUCUUUUCCCCGUAGGUAACGACCUCAAAGUCCGCGACAUCGGCGGUUGAGGGGCGUACCCCUCCUUGUCAUUCUCCAUCGCAAGCCCUCCACUCUUCUCUGUGCGCUGCAGACCAAUAGUCGUCCGACGGGGAGAAGGCAGGGUGUCACCGACAGGAGCGCACCGCGUAGCAUCACUGCAUUCCGCUGGCCGCCGUGAGGGCGCCUCUGCUGGUCGCUCUUGCGACCACUUCCAGGUGGCCAUACACAUGCACUCCUUUUGUCCAUAUGGUGUCCAUGGGAUUCAGGUAGUUGUACACGUGCACAUCCGACGUACGGAUGGUGUCCACUUUUUGUUAAGGGGUCCAAAAUAAAGCGUUCCAGUUCAUUUCAGGUUGAGAGUAAUAAAACAAGCCGAGAUGUAAAAGGCUUGUUUUUAGGUGUUAUGUUUGUAUUGCGUCGAGUCAUGGUUAUAAGUUGGUUAGGCUGCAGCUCGAGGACAAGCUGCAUGUCCAAGUGGGGUGUAGUGUUAGAGUACGUAAUGGACCUGGGCUGGCAGUAUAGCCCAUUAAUCUUAGGGUUAAUUAGAGAAGGGUCGCUUGCUUAGGGGUCAAGUAAACCUUACUUGAGAGUCAAGUAAACCUCUUUAUAUAAAAAGAGAAAAUGUAUCAAUCUAAUCAAGCAAGAAUUAAAAAGAAAAUUAAUUUCAUCUUGCCAAAGCCCCCGGCCGGCCCUCUCACACCCUCCAUCUAGCAGCGCCAUAACAGACAUGGCCAUAAUUCUCAAGAGUCACAGAAGAAAAAAAACCUGUACAAUCAAUCUUGACACCGCAGUCACAAGGAACACCUUCCGAGUUCCGAGUACAGUAAUACCGAGGCAGAGGGUGCGUAAGCAAGAUGGUGGUCCAGCAUACCAGAAGCUCAUUCCGGUGGAUGACAACUGGGGAGACGGCUGGGAGCCUGAGAUGGCGAGGAGGCGCCGUCGACAUCAUUGAACUCUAUGCCCAGCCUGCCGUCGAAAGGUCUGGCUUCAAGGAGGUCGACCAAGGAUGGCGGGAAAGAUUAGCCGGCACGUCUAUAUCAAUGCCUAUACUGUUUCCGUUCUUCUAAAAAAGGGAAUUUUUGCGCCUAGCUAUUUUGAUAGACUUCAUGAGGGAAUGUAAUAUGCUGGCACCACUGAUUUAAAAAAAAAUUGCAGGAGAGAAGAAAUAUGAAUGCUACUGCAACACCAAAUCAGUUUCAUUAGAUUAGAUUUGUCAUAAAAUAAGUGUGGCAGUUUUGAACUGGGAUUAGCUCAAAACUGCGACACUUACUAUGGAUCAGAGGUACUCCCUCCAUCCCAUAAUAUAAGAACGUUUUUGACACUAGUGUAGUGUUAAAAACGUUCUUAUAUUUUGGGACAGAGGGAGUAGUAUAUAUUGGAUAUUGUAAAUAUAAACACAUUUUUUCUAUACACUUGUCAAACCUCAUAAGGUCUGACAUAGGACAAAUCUAGAACUUCAUGCCACAAAAGUUCUUUAUCUGGAAAGUGUAUAACUUCAUAGCCGAAAAUGCUUUGUCGAUGAGCUCCGGAAGAUCUUUUCCAGACCAGUUUAUUCCAAAAAGAUUUAGCAGCUAAUCAGAGUAAAAGCACUUCAUUUCCACGCACUGUUCCAAAGUAGGAAAGCCAUAUAAGAUCUCUACAAUACAUCUGCGGUACACAUUGCAGCUGCAAAAUACAAUGCACAGGUGCCUCAUGUAAAACAUGACGGCUGUACCAGAAUUACACCCACAGGGAAAGCAAAACGGAUAUCCAGACAAGCAAACAAGCGCCACCGUGCGGAAGAGCUACCCUUUGAGAUGAAACUA